rnacentral:lncRNA from 1 species
GAAAAGGCCUGAACAAUUGGUCAGCUCCCAGCAGCCUGGUCUUUGGGCCCAAAUGGGCAUGGCUCUAAUUAAAGGUUGUUACUCAGGCCACCUGGUCUGUUCUCUCCCCGUGAAGUGCAUUGCGCCAAAAGGUAUAUCACGUCAAGGUAGAAAGUGGAAAUCUAACAAAACGUUUCAUCGCUGAAUAUUGGGAUGUGCCACAGUGCAAAGAAAGAUCACUCAUUCCAGCCAGUGGAACGCAUUUAAUAUUGUCCAAUCCUAAAAAGGACUGACUGCAAGAUCCAAGCUGAACGGUAUCCAGACAUCUUAGCAUGGCCCACAAGGUCUUCCAUGAUGUGCCUUCGCUGAUCUCGGCUUCCCCACAAGGUCAUGAUCAUCCUGCCCCAAGGCCUGUGCCGUUCCCUGGGCUGGACUACCUUCCCCACCGAUCUCAGGGAUGGCUCCCAUUGGUUCCAGUUUCAGCUGAAAUGUCACCUUCUCAGAGACCUCUUCCUCUGUCCCAGGGCACAGCCUUUCACAUGACCCUGUCAUUUCUCGUCUUCGCAGCAUCGAGGCUGUGGGAAUACCUCUGCUUUGAUUUCCUGCUGCCGUCUGUCUCCAUCACUAAAAUGAAACUCCCUGAAAGUAGGAAUGGUCUGUGGUCUGCAGGUGGUACCUUAGCAUCUAGAAUAGUGCCAGGCAUGAAGCAGAUGCUCAGUAAUACUUGUGAUGUUUUAAUUAAUGACGCUAAGGGCAUAAAUAGAGACUAUAUAAUGGUCUUUGUAUUCAUUUGCAAUAGAAGAAACUUCAAUGAAAAGGGAAGGGGCAUAUGUAAUGGCAAAGGCUAUCAGUGAAUUUAUGAUUGCCUGGAUCUUUAUGAGUCUUAAUUGAAAUCUCACCAAACUAACACCUAUUCACCUUUCAGCUCGGAAGCAGAGCUCACUCCCUUCUGGAAGCUUCCCCAACCAACAUAUUUUCUUCAGUCUUGCUUCGUCACUUAUACGUCUUCCAUGAUCGCACUAAUCACACUGUACUAUAACUUCCAGCUUCCUAGUUUGCCUUCACCACCGGACUGUUUUUGUCUUGCAUAGUGCAUGGUACUUUGUUGUUACCCAGUAAUUAAAAAUAAAUAAGAUAGGGGCACCUGGCUGGCCUAGUCAGAGGAGAAUGCGACUCUUGAACUCAGGGUUGUGGGUUCGAGCCCCACGUUGGGUGUAGAGAUUAUUUCAAAAUAAAAUCUUUAACAAAAUAAAUAAAACCAACCAAACUGAACCCAGCCAAACAAAAUAAGAUAAAAUAAGAUUAAAUAAGAUAAAAGAAAAGGAAAGAAAAGGAAAGAAAAUGAGAUAAAAUAAAAUAAAAUAAAAUAAAAUAAAAUAAAAUAAAAUAAAGGGAUGCUUAUGACAUGGUUUUAAAGGAAAGCUCUAAGUUGCCACUGGAGGACUUUUCACCGACUGUUAAAGUGUCUAAUAAACCCCCUGUGCCCAGAAAUCACUCGGGCUCUCUCCCCUCUUUGAGUGAUUACCAAGAGGCAUUAUAACCCUCUGGGGAGUCUUAGCUCCCAGACUCUGCCAUUUACAGUGUAAUGUAAGAAGUCCGUUUCUGGAAGCAGCACCGUGCAUGGUGGUACCUUCCAGCAUAGUGAAAACUCGAAAAAUAGGGUGGUCUCAGCCAGGGGUCAAAUUGCAGAUACAAUGCUUUAUGUAUCUGGCAGUGCUCUAGAGACAAAUACAUAAUCACCGAGGUAUGCGAUCCGGUCGGAAAAUUCAGGCCAGAUAGAAUGACACGGGUAGAAACGCACACGCACACAAACACACGUAACAAUGAGCGCUCUUAUUUGUAAAAACCACAUGAAGGGAUGGCAGUUCCCUACCUCUGAAGUGAUUUAUAAAUUAAAAUAAUUGCCUCUUUGAACUGUUCAGAUAUUAAUUGACCUAUCACUAAUGUAUGCACGGUCCCCAAACCAUCCAAACAUUACCUAAACAUUUUUAUUCCCUUUAUUCUGGAUAUCCAAAAAGACCACAAAAAUAGGCUCUUUGUUCUGACGCCAAGGGCCAUAAAGGAAAAGCCAUCAUCUUUGAUGACUUUGCUGUUCUUAUUCUAUUUCUUCCUCAAAUUAAUUCUAAGUGAAAUAGUGAGUACUCUGAGCUUGAAUAAGCCUUCCCACUCCCCUCCCCUUCUAACAAUCUCAUCCCAGCGCACAUGGAUCCAGUUCUGGCUCAGAUUUCUGGUAAUGAGAGCAGGGCAAUUCAUUAUUUUUUUUUAUUAAUUUUAGCUUUGGGUACACAUCCCAAACCACCCCAGAUUGUGGGUGGCAGGCAUUUCCUUCCUAGGUAGAAUGAGGGAGAAACUACACAUUGGCCAAGGCCCAGAUGUGCAUAGACUGGAACAAGUUUCCUGGGGGCCCAUUCCGCAGAGGGUGAUCUUGACCUAAAUUGAAAGGCAGGCAGAAAAGCUUAGCGCUUAAGACAGGAGCUUUAGAGCAGUAGUUGCAAACCAGAGGCGAUUUUGCAUCCCACCCCCAGGGCAAAUAUGGCAAAUCCGGACACAUUGUUGGUUGUUCCAACUUGGCACAACCUGGCAGUUGGCAGGGGUGGGAGGGUGGGGUGUGGAGGGGAGUGCCAGUGGCACCUAAUAAGCAACUGAGGAUAGUGCUCAGUCCUACGAUGCCCAAGACAGUCCCCACAACAAAGGACUAUCCAGUCCAAAAUGUCAAAAGUGCUGAGGUUGAGAACUCUACCCUAGAGUCCAAAACAUUUGAAUUCACAUUCCCACUCUGCUCUUUUAUGGCUGGGACUGUGGGCCAUGUUUCCUGAUCUCUCCGAGCCUCAGAUUUCUCUUCUGCCAAUGGAGAUAAUGAUAAAAUACCCACUCUGCUGGCCUUCUGUCAAGGCUGGCACUGGUGAGGGUUUGUAAGUACAAUUUAUUUUCAUUUCUCUAUUAACGUAUUCGUUUUAAGUUCGUUUUUGAGAUGGAGACAGUGCAAGAGGGGGAGGGGCAGAGAGAAAGGGAGGCAGAAUCCCAAGGAGGCUCCAUGCUGUCAGCACAGAGCUGGACAUGGGGCUCGAACUCACAAACCCUUGAGAACAUGACCUGAGACAAAACCAAGAGUCAGACGCUCAGUGGACUGAGCCACCCGGUCUCCCCUGAUGUAUUUUAUUUUUUUAAUGUGUUUUCAUUUACUACAUAAUUAUUGUAAGAAUCAAGUACUUUUAAAAAUUUUAUUUUUUGUUUUAUUCCAUUUUGUUUAUGAAAAAAAUGUUUUUAUGUUUAUUUUUAUUUUUGAGAGAGAGAGAGAGAGAGAGAGAGAGAGAGAGAGAGACAGAGCACCAGCAGGGGAGGGGCAGAGAGAGAGGGAGACACAGAAUCUGAAGCAGGCUCAGGCUCUGAGCUGUCAGCACAGAGCCCGACACAGGGCUUGAACCCAUGAACCCUGAGAUCAUGACCUGAGCUGAAGUUGGACGCUUAACCAACUAAACCACCCAGGCACCCCUAUUCUAAUUUGAUUUAGAAAGAGAGUAUGUGCAAAUCAGGGAGAAAGGCAGAGGAAGAGAGAGUGAGAGAGAGAGAGAGAGAGAGAGAGAGAGAGAAUCUUAAGCAGGUUCCACACUCAGCACAGAGCCCAACACAGGGCUCAAUCCCAUGACCCAGGGAUCAUGACCUAGGCCUAAAUCAAGAGUCAGACGCUCAACCAACUGAGCCACCCAGGUGCCCCAAGUACUUUUUUUUUUUUUUAAAGUAAGUUCUACACCCAGUGUGGGGCUUGAACUCACAACCCCGAGAUCAAGAGUCACAUGUUAUAGCGACUGAGCCAGCCAGGCAUCCCUCUGUUAAUGAAUUUUAAAUGAAAACACAAAUUGCCACAACUUGAGGGGAACUGUCAACUUUUAAAUUUCGGUUCUGAACCCAAGUUUUACUUUGUCUUUAUAUUAAUGCAAAAUGCAUGAUUCAAUGGAAGGAUACAGAAACGCAUAAUUCAAUCUAUAAAAUAGAAAGAUCUGGCAAUAAUUGACUCUUCGUUUGGUGUGGCUAAGUAACACUAAUUUCAAAAUGUCAAAAACCCAUUCUGUUUUGAGUCAAUAAUAGGAAAAAACAAUUAUGAAUAGAUAUGUUUUCCAGCCUCUACCCAGAUCCAUGGUGGCAAAGUCAGAAAUACAGGACUACUUGCUUGAGUUUAAAAAGUUAAAAAAGUCCCAAGUUUCUAGUGGGCAAAGACACAGCGUUUUCAAAAUGCUUAAGAGAGGAGAAGAAAAUGGACAUCUAAGUCACAUUCUGGUAUACUUCCAUGUGAUGUUAAUGUGUAAUACCAGUUUAAGCAAAUAUGACUGCUAUACAAAGUUUAAUAUUUAUUUGAAUAUGAAAUCAAUGUGGUCUUAUAACACGUUUACACGAGAAUUGUCCUGAAACUGUUAUUUAAAAUCCGAAAUCUUUUGGUAUUACAUAGAAAUAGUGUGCUAGUGCUUUAUAUCAACUGAAAAUACUGUUCCCAGAUAAUCUGAUGUGUGAAAAUCACGGCCUCCCGAUACUUGUGAAAGUCACAACUCACCCUUCCUUGUACUGGUUCUUACUUAACAGACCAACGAGGAUAGUCCUGGGGUGCCUGGAUUAAUACAGUUAGUCCUGGAUUCUCUCUCUCUCUCUCCUUCCGCCCCCUCCCCUGCCCUCUCUCACGUACAUGUGCUCACUCCCUCUCAAAAUAAAAAAUAAAAAUUAAAUAACAAUUUUUAAAAAAGAGGACAGUCUUUCUGGUCAUUCUACAGAUAUUUCCUGAGUGCUAACUAUGCGCACCCACUAUGACAGGUGCUGGGGAUAGGUCAUGUUUUGCAACAUUCAAACGGUCAGGAGAUAGCAUAGCUUGGAGAGUGAGUUCUCAGAUUCGGGACUCAAAGAAAGGUGGCUUGAUUUCUGGUUAAGCCAUGUGUUAGCUGGUGACCCUCUGGCCACCUAUCAAACUUGCCAGAGGCUCAGUUUCCUCAGCUGAAAAAUAGGCUGAGAGAGUUUUUCUCCCCUUUUGUUAAAAAAAAAAAAAAAUGCCAGUACAAAGCACUGUACAAAGCACAGUACAGAGCACAGUACAAAGCAUUAAGAAAAGUGCUCAAAAACCAGUUAUGUUAUUAUAAGGGCCACUAUGCUAUUUUUACAGCCCAGAAAUGGCCCAGUUUUGGAAAAUGGAGGCCGUGUUUCUACAUCAAUGGGAGAAUUUAAAAAGCAUUACAAACGGGAGGCUGAAUAAGCCAUAUUUCUUACAGUUACGUGUAUACGCUUACCAAAUGGAGCCAGCUGUCACAAAAACAAUCCAAGGUUGUUGUUGCUGCUUUUUGUUUUAAUUCUUAAACUUCUGAUGGCCAACUGGAUGCUUAAUCCAGUAGCUGGCCGAGCUUCUCCACAUGGCAUUGUUUACAUAUUUUCUUCAGACAUGGGUAGUAUUAUGAAACAAACCCUUCGGUUUGCACACAUUCAGAGCUGCUCUCUAACUUCACUUCUGACAAAUGUAUUUUUUUAAUGUUUAUUAUUUUUGAGAGAGAGAGAGAGAGAAAAACAGAGCAUGAGUGGGGGAGGGGCAGAGAGAGAGGGAGACACAGAAUCAGAAGCAGGCUCCAGGCUCUGCCAGCACAGAGCCCAAUGCGAGGCUCGAACUCAUGAGCUGUGAGAUCAUGACCUGAGCCAAAGUUGGAUGCUUAACCAACUGAGACAUCCAGGUGCCCCCUGAUAAAUGUAUUUUUUAUAGACAGCCAACUCAUGACAAAAUUCUCCAUGGUCGUGAAGAAGAAACACAAAUGGUAAAUAGCACUUACUGUUUUUCUUAUUAAAAAAAAAAAAAGCAAUAUGUGGUUUCUUGUGAAAAAUAUAAAAAACACAAAAGGAAGAAUAUAAAACAUUCACCUCUAAUCUCAAAGACCAGAGAGAGUUUUUCUUUUCUGUGCGUGUGUGUGCAUGUGCGUGUAUGUGUUUGUAGGCAUACACAUUGAAUGCUACUCUCCCUCAACAAACUUUUCCUACUUCAUUUUAUCCUUGAUUGGGAUCACCAGAUGUUACCAUACUAAAAACAGAGGUCAGCAAACUCUUUCUGUGAAGGGCCACAUAGUAAAUAUGUCAGACUUUGUGGGCCAUGUCAUCUCUGUCACAACUAUUUGAUUCUGCCAUGGUAGCAUGAGAGCCACCAUAAACAAUCUGUAAAUGAACGUGGCUGCAUUUUGCUCACUGCAGGCUAGAUUUCUCCCCAGCCCGUAUUUUGCUGACUCUUGUACGAGAGCCUCAUGGAUAGUUAUGAUAGAUUAUGAAGCAUAAUUAUACUCUAGUGGUAUCACUAAGUAUAUUUUGUUAUAACGCUUCCAAGGAAAAACGCUGGCUCUCUAAUCUCGUAGAGCGCUUUUUAAAAUUUAUUUUUUAUUUGAUUUUUUUUUAAGUAAUCUCCACAGCUACUGUGGGGUUCGAACUCACACCCGGAGAUCAAGAGUCACACGCCCCACCAACUGAGCCAGCUGGGCACCCAAUGCCUUAGACGAUUUCUUAAAGGGUUAUCACGUGAGCGCGUAUUUUGAGAAAUUAAACAUAAACGAAAGAUAACCAGGCAUGAAAGGAAACAAGUUUUCUGGAGGUCAAUUAAAAAUGCAAAGGACUCCUGACACGGCUCAUAAUUAAGUGUGUGCUUGUUUCCCCUGAGCUCGUCGUGUUGUUUGGGGAGCAGCAUUCCCAGGGAAUGCACGAAGAGGUGGCCUGUUUCUCCUGGCUACCAGAGUCUUUGUGUUGCCUUACGUGAAUAGUGUGAAUCCAACUCUCUGUCGCAGCUGCUCCCAAGAUCCAGUAGCUUUCUCAAAUAAUAACAUCAUUUGUUACUAAAUGGUUCAAAUGGGGGAAAGGAAGUCCUUGAAUGGAUUCCUUUGUGUUUCAUUCUGUGGAAACAGAGAGGCAUGGGUUAUAGGUUGUGCUCUGCGGGAAGCUAAGUCAGGGUCAAAUAUUAGCAUUUGGGAGGUUGAUUAGGAAGUGCUCUUGGGAUCAACACCUGGGGACGGGGUGGGACAAAAGCAGGAUGGGGCAGCGAGAGAGAGGUUGGGCUGUUCUGCACUCUCAGCAAAAGCUCAGCAGACCCCAGUGGGAGCUCUGGAGCUGGGGAGACCCUGCGACAUCGUCCUGAGUUGGAGAGAGGAGGUCUGGCCUUUCCAGUGGUGUUGACCAGGUACUGGCAGAGGGCAAGGUAGCGUCCCUCAGCGGUCUUUUCCCAAGGUGGGCAGACAACCAAGGGUGCUUUCUAGCAGGGAGGAUAAGUCCUUCAACCCCGAAGGAAGUUUAUGGGUGGUGCGUCAGGGCACCUACUGUCUCCAGGGUUAACUCGAGAUGAGAAACUUGCCCAAGUCAAUAUUCUGUCCUUAGUUUGAAAAACCAAUGUUUUAGGGGUAGUGUGGCAUUUUAGCUCAGGUUUAAUUAAGCCAUUUUGGUUUAGUGAUUUCACUGAGUCAUUACUUCAGUUUCAAGACCUGGCAACUCUCUCUGUGCAAGGCACUGUCAGUGCAUGUAAGUUAGACACAAAAACAAAUUCAAGGCCUAGGUCUUGUCCUCGGGGACCUGAUAGUCUCUUUGGAGAAUGCAGAAACUUGAGAUUCAAGGAUUUUGAAGUGGUGACAAGUAUUGGGGAUGAUGUAGCAAUUCUUGGGCUUAAAAAAACACCCUUUGGGGCGCCUGGGUGGCUCAGUCGGUUAAGCGUCCGACUUCGGCUCAGGUCACGAUCUCACUGUCCGUGAGUUGGAGUCCCACGUCGGGCUCUGUGCUGACAGCUCAGAGCCUGGAGCCUGUUUCGGAUUCUGUGUCUCCCUCUCUCUCUGACCCUCCCCCGUUCAUGCUCUGUCUCUCCCUGUCUCAAAAAUAAAUAGUUAAAAAAAAAAACAAACCACGCUUCACCCAACCCAAAUUCAUGCAAAAGAAUUCCCAUUUUACUUUUUUAAGCCACUACCCUUUAUAAGUUUAUUAAUAAAUGGCAUUAGUAAUAAUCAUGGCUCCGUUUCUGCUGCAGGGAAGCCUGGGGUAAUAAACAGAGUAGAGAUGUGUGGCAAGACUUGGAGACUGGUAUCAUGGCCAAGAUUUAUUAUCUCCGAUAGACACUUAGUUAUCUAAAGUCCCCUGUGCCAGCUACCCCAGCUUUCAAUACUGUGAUCUAUCAUUUUCUUUGGGGUGUCACUUUUUUCUUCCCCCGAGGGUUGUAUAUAUUUUACCAGCAUAUUAUAAUACAUUACAGAUAUUACCCAAGGGUCCCAUUGAAUAAGAAUCCUAUAUUCAAAACACACUUUGACUCACAAAUGGAAUACAGCUUUAGCGCUUUUUCACCUGCAAGUUACAAACGAGAUCCCUGUACAAUUAAGAAGCCAGAGUGGGACUUUAUACUGGCACCUGGAGGGUUGUGGACCAAGUUCAAGAAUAUGAAAAAGUGUUUGUGGAAUUCAGAGGAGAGCAAAAAAGAUCUCAUUCAGAACACGUAAAAUGCCCAAAUAACUGCUUCCGUGUGACAUACAUGCAAGGCAUAUGUAACUACCUGGGGUUUUACGGUUUUUAGGAAAUACUGGACGUCAAAUAUCAUGUUCAGCAACAACACAAUUCUUUUUUUAAAAAACUUUUUUUUUUUUUUUUUUACACUAUCUCUAUUUUUGAGAGACAGAGAGAGACAGAACAUGAGUGGGGGAGUGGCACAGAGAGGGAGACACAGAAUCCGAAACAGUCUCCAGGCUCUGAGCUGUCACCACAGAGCCCGAUGCGGGUCUCGAACCUACAGACUGUGAGAUCAUGACCUGAGCUGAAGUCGGACGCUUAACCGACCGAGCCAUCCAGGUGCCCCACCGCAAUAACGCAAUUCAGUAUCAGCGGUUUCGUUUACUCAUUAUUUAUUCCUUCUUUCAUUCCAUCCAGGCAGCAUCACUGAUAUCGUCUGUGUGGAUGGCGCCUCUGGAGCUGGGCAGUACACAGCCUGUACAACUGCAUCCUGGGGCCCCGAUUCAACAAUAUGUACUGGGUGAGUAUGUGCCAGGCACUGUGCUGGGCACUGAGAGCAGAGUGGUGAGCAAGACAGAUUCGGAUCUUGCCCUCAUGGAGCUUUAUUUAAAUGAAGUCGGAAAAAAACCCCACAAAAAGCAAACAAAUACAAGUUGAGAUAAGUCCUCUGAAGUAUAGGAACAGGAUAGGAUAUGGACCUCUCACAGGGAGAUCUAGGCUGGCAGGUAAGAAAUUCUGAGGAAGUAACUCUGAAGGGGGGCCCUAAAAGACAAGAAUGUGUGUGGUUGUGAAAACUGGGAUAGGGAAGAUCAAGAAGUAGUAUGAGAUAGCCCCAGAACUGAACCGGACCAGUGUAGACGGGGUACAGACGUGGGAGCGGGAGGAGAUGGGGCUGGAGAAGCAGACAGGGGACAGACCUUCCAGAGCUUUGAAGGCAGUGUUGAGGAUUUCGGUCUUCGUCCUAAGAAAUAUCAGAAGAGGGCACCUGGGUGGCUCAGUUGGUUAAGCGUCUGACUUCAUCUCAGGUCAUGAUCUUGCAGUUCCUGGGUUCGGGCCCCGUGUAGGGCUCUGUGCUGACAGCUCUGAGCUUGGAGCCUGCUUGGGAUUCUGUGUCUCCCCCCCCUCUCUCUGCACCUCUCCUGCUCAUACUGUCUCUCUCGAGGCAGAAUUAUUUGAUGUUAACAUCAAAGACCACCGCAAUCAAGUGUGGGGUUUGCCUAUUAAUAUGCCAUGUAGCUAAUAAAAUGGUCAUUCCCUUUUUAUUUACCAGAAGCCUAUGUGACAGCCUAAAAGUGAAUCCCUCUUUCCUCUUCUGUAACAUAUAGUACUGACUUGUUUGGGGAUAUUUGACAGACUAAAAUUUAAGCCCUCUUUCCUUUUCCAUAAUAUGUAGUACCAAUUCGUUUGGGAUUGCAGUGAAAAUUCAAAGAGACAAUACAUAACUAAACCAUUUAGCACAAUGACUGCUCUACCAUAAUUAUUGUUAGCUGCUCUUGCUUACUACUGUUAGCCGUACAUAUGUUAGAGGUUUACGGUAAGAAUCACAUCCUUUUCCCUCUAAAUUGAGAACCAAAAUUCAAGAAAAUAGAUACAGGAAUUAAACCAAGAGAGAUGAAAGGAUUAGUUUUGUAACUGAUAUUGCUAAUUGGAAGAACAUGGACUGGAUUUUCUGUCCACCUCUACCAAAUCUAGCAAUUGGUAUAGCUAAGCCAAGGAAACAUGGAAAUUGCUUUUUUUGCCUCCAUCAAAGAGGGAGCGGCCCGGACACUGUCCCGUCCCAGGUUGGCUGACAUCAUGGCAGAACAGAGCCGACCCCUCAGGUGAGUCACAGAGCAGAGAAGUUGAGAGCUCUGAUCGUGGCGUUGAACACGUGAGCGAACCUGGCCGUGCCAUUCAUUAGCCAAGAAAUACCCAGCUCUCAACGUUUCUGUGACAGUCUUGUCAUCUCUAAGAAGCGGAUGGUAAUGGCACCACCUCACAGGACUGUCAUGGGGGUUGAAUAGAUGAAAAUGUUGCUCUCUGGCACAUAGAAACUCCAGUAAUAUAUGUUUGUCGCUAUCAGUGUCGACAAAAAGAAUACAGAAUACAGAAAGCAUGGCACCCCCAUGUUCUCCAGUCCUUCCUAUCAAAGAGGUUACUCUUCUUCCCAAGGAGAAGAGCACGUUAGGAGCAAAUACUUCUGAAAGAGAGGUCGUGGUCCCAUGCAUUUUCUUUCUCUACUCUGGAUACUAAGCAGAAGGGAAUAGGGUUUACCUUCCAUAUAUUUUAUCACUUGAUAUGGGUUUGAAGCUAUCCUAUCCCUGCAGGUCCCUGUGUCCACCUGGAGAGAAGGGGCUUUGUCACAUUCAUCAAAUAUUCCCAUAAAAAAGGCCAUGUGCUGUGCUUUGCAUCCAGUCAGCACUCAAUCAAUGCAUGAUGCACUUGAACGUGAGCAUCUUUCUCUGAGAGAUUUUGUUUCCAAUAUACUACUUGUGAGGGGCUAAUGUGCGGGGGCAAAAUACAGGCUCUGAACGGAAGUGUGAGGUUCCCACUUGUUUUCUCCCUUUCUUCAAAACAAUCGAGGCUUCUGGAUCCUGAUUUGCAGGACCAUCCUGAAACUGCAGGAUAUCUGACACUGACAAAUUUUUUAGCACAGGGCAAACACUUUUUACAUUCAACUUCCUCGUGUCUGCUUUUUUCCUGAUCUAGAGUUAUUGGACUUAUAUGUCCAAAGCAGAAACAAAGAAUUAGAAAAAAGUUUACUGUAAGAUGAACACCUUGAUUUAUUUGCUCCCUCCAUUUGUAUGCUCAUAAAUUAGGUUUAGCUAAAUAUACACAUAGAGGAAGGAUUCAGUGAAAUAUGGAAUGGCAACUGGGGCGCCUGGGUGGCUCAGUUGGUAAGCAUUUGACUCUGGAUUUCAGCUCAGGUCAUGAUGUCAUGGUUUGUGGGAUUGAGCCCUGCAUCAGGCAUGGUGUGGAGCCUGCUUGGGAUUCUCUCUCUCCCUCUCUCUGCACACCACCCUCCACCCCUGCGGCCCGUUCUCUCUCUCUCAAAAAUAAAUAAAUAAAACAUUAAAAAAUAUGGUAUAGCAACUAAGCAAUAUAUUGUGAGGCUAGUAAAUAUGAAGAUUGUGUGGCUAUGUAGAAAACAUUCACAAAAUAAUAUUCAAUUCAGUAAAGGAGGGCACCAUACUGGAGGUAUACUAUCAUUCUAACAUAAGAAAUACAUUUCCUUUGUUGUACUAGUUACUCUCGGAAAUUAUUUGCUUGGUAUUUAUUACCUGCCUCCCCCAAUUGCAAUGUAUGUUCAAUGGGAUUUUGCCUAUUUUGUUUGUCUCGAUAAUUCCAUGGCCUUGUGGCAGGGUUUGGCACACCAUGGCCAGCUGGCCAAAUCUGACACGCUGCCUGUUUUGUAAAUAAAGCUUUAUUGAAACACCACCAGCCAUCUUUGUUCACAUAUUGUCUAUGACUGUCUUUGCCCUACAAUGGCUGACCUGGGAAGUUGUAACAGAGCCUGGGUGGCCCUGGAAAUCUCAGUCUUUUACUACGUGGCCCAUCAUGGAAGAUGUUUGCUGAUCUCUGGCCUAAACCACUGGCUGACACAUGUUAGUGCUUAAGAAGACUUAGAGAAUGAAUGAGUGAGUCAAUGGAUAAAUGAAUACAUGUAAAUAAAGAGCGACAGAAAAUGCUGAUAAAGAAAAACGUGUAUGAAAGGGAUAGAACUAUGGUUGACAUUCUUGCCUUUUGAAAUCCUGAACUGUUUGUUUAGCAACGUUAUUCCUUAAACAGAAGUAGAAGAAAAAUUUUAAAAGUCAUCCUACCAUCUUUGUAGAUCUCAGAGAAUAUAGUUUUGAGGUCUGCGGUUCAAGAAUUGCUGAAAUUCUAGAUUAUUGAGCUAUUCACUCAUGUUUUCAUUUUUAGUUCAAAAGCAAAGCGCCCUCAUUACUAAUUAUCCUUCUAAUUGUGAGUUAACAGUGGGGAAAGCCAGUCCGUGGGGAUUACUGGAGAGGCUAUGCCACAGCAGACCGUGUGGGUUGUGCAAACAUGAAUGGAACAGACCCGACUUGUGUAGUAAUGUAAAUAAUAUUUACCAAACUGGUCAUUCAUCAGAAUUAAAUUGAUCCAAGGCCCCACGAGGCUUGGUUAUCUCAGUCUGUGCUCCAGACAUAACAUUUACCUGAUAACUCACAGGGUCCCCAGGCCAGCUCUGCCCUCCUUAGUGGAGUUCUUCUUCUUUUGGCCUUCAAAAGGAGUCUUCUUUGUUUAAAAGUCAAUCUGUUGGCCGAGAAAAGAGAAAUCAGCAUAUACCUUUUUAAAAGAUCAAGAAACAAAAAUAGGACGAGAGACAUUUUGUUUGCUUCACGUGAUGAUGAAAAUUGGUCUCACACACUGCCUCCAUCCAUUCCCAUGCUCCUGUGAAUCUGGUGAGCACUUUUGUAACUAUUUGCUCAUUUGCUUAACACUCCUUUAGGGUCCUAUCCAACUACUAGCGGAAGCCAAAAGAGGAAAAGCAAUCUAUUCACCAAAAGGCUGCAUUUUUAAAAGACAUUCUGCAUACUCCAUUUCACAAACAACGGUACUGUGAGCUCUGGGACAUUAAUUUUUCAUAGGCAAGAUAUUCAUCUUUAAUGCACAUGGCCAUAGGUUCAAAAAGUGAUGUUAAGCUUGUGUAUGUUGGCUGGAGUAAUGCUGUUCAAGACUUCCUCCUAGCUCCCUGUUGCACAGGAGUUUUACCCCACUGUGUUCAGUGUUUUCCUUUGCAUUUCAGAGCCCUGGAAUCAAGUGUAAUUGAGGUUGCAUGCUGGAUUUUGGUAGAGGCAUGUGUUUGCGUGAAUUUACCUGUAUUUACAUCCUUCAUUAACAGUGGGGGCAAUUAUUCUAAAGUAACCAAACAAUAACAUGCAAAUUAUUUGACCCCUUUGAGCACAAAGUCAGGAAAAGAUCACAAUGCCCCAGAAAAGUGCUCGGAUACCUGAAUGACCUCAUUAAAUAUGGCUGUCCCAUCCCUCCUAGAGCUCCUAUUUAUAAUUAAUCAUUAAAAUGGCUAGAUUAAGCAGAAUCCAAUUAUGAUGAAGGCACAGCUUGCCUCUUUGGAAGAGAAAACGGAAAUGCUUCUCUAGCUUGGGGUGAUACAGCUCUUUGUACAGGUUCACUUCAGAAUUGACCUCGCUUGAACGAGACGGGAAAGGUCUUCGAAUGAACAGAAGAGGCGGCAGCCCCAAUAAAACAGCACUGACAUACGUAGACACACAGAGAAUGAAGACACCAAGUGGGACAGAAUGCCAAAGGCAUGCAAAAAGUCACGCCGACAGAAAUGGAGCAGGGACGCUAUUUGUGACUCUGCUUCAUAAAACACAUAUUUACUUAGGCCACGAACAUAUCUUUCUCCACAAUUUCAAAUGUAGGAUAUCACAUAAGCCUCUUUUUGCUCUAGACCCAAAGCUGCAGGAAGUCCACCAGCCGUGUACUCUGCUUUUAUUAGGUUGAGUAUAUCCAGAUGAUUUUAAUAAAGUUUUAAAAGGGCAUUAGUUUCCUGCUAUUUCAAUGAAAACCACUUGCAAGAUGAAUUUAAAGCAAUAGAUCUAUUUCUUGUCAACACGUGCCCCUUUUAUGCAAAUAGGCUACUCUUCUGUAAUAGCCAACAAAACAACACACACACAUAAUCAUCAACUGCGUGUGACAUGGAAGAAAAAUGUCAGUGUUGUAAAUGUUUAAAGAUGAAGAAAAUGGAACGUAUGCUGGGUGCCAUGGUAUGCUGUCCAGAUUCCCCAUUCAGGACCGAGGUUCUUGUUACCUCAAUUGCCGUAAGCUCAGAGUCUGGACACUGGAGGCUCUCUCUGGGAAGUGUCAGCCAAAUAGUGUCUUUAAAAAAAAAAGUAUUUAUUUUUGAGAGACAGAGACAGAGCGUGAGCAGGGGACGGGCAGAGAGAGAGGGAGACACAAAAACUGACGCAGGCUCCAGGAUCCGAGCUGUCAGCACAGAGCCCGAUGCGGGGCUUGAACUCAUGAACCGCGAGAUCAUGACCUGAGCCAAAGUCAGAUGCUUAACAGAGACUGAGCCACCUGGGUGUCCCGAUAGUGUCUUGUCUUAAGUCAUGCCUGUUCCCUAGAGGCAGCUCACAAACCAGUGACUGGUCAAUAUGUGUGUUGGAUGGGAGGGCAGAGAGAGGUGCAUAAAGGCCUGACCCCCUGACGUCACGUGACCGUGAGGCCAUUCUAGCAGGAAGCUACUGAGGUCUUGCUGUGACCACAUCAUGGUUCAACAUCUCCUUGGGCCCAGUUCUAUCUCUUGCUUCCUCCAACAGGGUUUAAACUUAAGAGAAUUACAUGCAGAUCUGUAGGUCGGAGCUAAUUUCCUAGGGAACCCAACCUAAAAUAGUGAAGAAUAUUCCUUCCCAAUCUCUCUUUGAUUUUCUUUUCAGCUUGUUAUUAUGGAAAUAUGCAAACAUACACAAAAGUCAAGAAUAUAACUCAUCAGCCUUAUCAACAUCUUGCCAUUUUUGUUUCAUCUAAGCCUUUUUUAAAGCUGUCUUCUUUUCAAGUCAAUCAUUUUAGCCGUAAAUAUUUCAGUAUGUAUCUAACGUAUGAAGAUGUUCUAAAAGCAAUAACCACAAUGCUAUUAUAACAUGUAAAAUUAACAUAUAAAAAUAAUUCCUUAAAACCAUCUAAAACCCAACCUGUGUCCAAAAUUCCUCAGUUGCUUCCAAUUUUUUUUUCUUUUUCUUUCCUUUUCUUUCUUUCUUUCUUUCUUUCUUUCUUUCUUUCUUUCUUUCUUUCUUUCUUUCUUUCUUUCUUUCUUUCUUUCUUUCUUUUCUUACAGGACACAAUGAUUUGUGAAUUGUUAUUCCUACUUGAGGACUCAUCUUAAGGUAAUCAUGACUCCUCACCAGCAUGCCUACCCUGGCCUUCUAUCUGGUCUCCUCGUCUGUACCUCACCUCCCUCUUUGGAAGCCUUUCCCACUGUUGUCAGGUCAGUUUUCCUAAGAUUCAGCUCUAUUAAUGUUUCCCACCACAAACAGCACUAUUUCUCUAAGUAUGGCGUAUGGAACAUUAGUCUGUCAACUGCGUUUUGAGAAAGGAAAAAACAUAAAUGGAUAUUCUGUGAUCAAAUAAAUCUCAGAAACGCUAUGAAUUUUGUUCCCUAUUCAAGGCUCUGAGCAGUCCUGCAGUAAAAGACCUGUCAAACCUUUUAAUCCAGUGCUUUUCAAACCUGUUUGGUGAUAGAACACUGUUUAGACCCUGUUGACAUCCAACAGAGACUGUGCUCUGUGGAACACCCCUUGGGAAUUGCUGGCUUCCUGGAACGGCAUUCAAGGUCCUUUGUAGCCUGACUGCAGCUACAUCUUCCAAGUAGUAGGUCUAGAAUUUUCUUUCCAUUUUUCUUCUUUGAUCCUUUGGUACCUGCCACCUUAGACAGUCCUUUUGUUGAAAUCCAUCACAUGCUGUAUUAUUUUUUUUUUUUUUUUAGUUUUUUGAUGUUUGUUUAUUUUUGAGAGAGAGAGAGAGAGAGAGAGAGGCAGAGAGAGGAGGAGACACAGAAUCAGAAGUAGGCUCCAGGCUCUGAGCUGUCAGCACAGAGCUCUAUGUGGGGCUUGAACUCACUAACAGUGAGAUCAUGACCUGAGCCAAAGUCGGAUGCUUAAUUGACUGAGCCACCCAGGUGCCUCUCCAUCACAUGCUUUAAAUCCCAGAUUCUCUAAGAAGCCUUACACAUAUUUCCCAACCAGAGUGAAUCGUUCCUUUCUCUGAAUUCUCAAAGUAUCUGUGCAAUAUGUGGCAGCCAUGGAGGCCUCAGGCUCUGAAUGAUGUUUUGCAGGUUACCAGAAAGAGGACUUUCUCAUUUCAAAAUGGGAAAAUGUAGCACUUGCUCCAUUAGAAUUAUGUUGUGGGUUAAACAAGAGGAUGAAUGUGGGUACGAUUAAAUCUAAAGUAUUAAAAUCAAGGUCUGCAUAGAAUUCAUCAUUGUACUUUCUGAUAAAUCUUGCAUAGCUUUGAGUACAAGUGAUCUUUGUUUACGUUUGUAGAAUUGUUAUACUCAACUGUUGACUCAAUUUUUCUACUCAUCUGAGAUUCCGGGUCAUCUGUUACCUUCAUAACAUUGAUGAGACAAAUUCUUUGUGCUUUUGGAGGAGAAUUCUGUGUUUUAGGCUGUGAUCAUUCAUCCUAGUUGUACUUAUAAACGAGAUGGGCUUUGGAAGGUCACUUAUCCUCUCUGGAGGUCAGUCUCCAGAUUUGUAACGUUUAAGAGAUCAAGCUAAGUCAAUAAGACUCUCAAAAAUUUUUUAAAUGUUUAUUUAUUUUGAGAGAGAGAGAGAGAGAGAGAAGAAGUGUGCAUGUAGCAGGGGGAGGGGCAGAGAGAGAGGAAGAGAGAGAAUCCUAAGCAGGCUUCAUGCCAUCAGCACAGAGCCAGACGUGGAUCUCGAUCCUGUGAACCACAAGAUCAUGACCCAAGCCGAAAUCAAGAGUCAGAUGCUUAACCAACUAAGCCACGUAGGCACUCCUCAAAAAAAUUUUUAAACCAAGACCUUUAAAAAUUAAUAUUGCCAUGAUUUGAAAGACAUUUAAAAAAAAAAAAGCAAACAGGACUCAUUGAAGUAAUAAUCAAUGAUGUUCCUAUUUUUUUCUAAUCAAAGUGAUAUUAAAAAAAACCUGAUGAUUUUGCUUCCUUGUUCAGUCUUACCACAAGUAAGUGGACAGUUUUUCCCUGGGCUUUCUAUAGUGUUGAACCAUGGCACUUAGACAUAGAUUGUGGCCUUCACGGAUAGAGAAGGAACAUAGGUGAUGAGUAGACCUCAUCUAGACAGACAAGGCAGUGAGAGAGUCGGUAGGAACAGAGAUCUGGGCAGAAGGAACUGGUAUAAAGGCCCAAACACAAGAAAGAUCGGAGAAAAUUCCGUACUUGAGGGAACUCUGUGUGUGUGUGCAUGUAUGAAUGCAGCACAUAUUUAUAUGGGGUCACGGUAUAAAAUUUAUUGCUAACUAUGUGUUGGGGUCAAAAAGGUUUGCUCAACAUGACUCCAGACUUCAGGAAGCUUUCUUACAAAUGCUUACUGAGUCACCAUGGGAACCAGGUGGUAGACAUUAAACAAAGCAGCACAAAUCCAUCUCUCCCACUAAAGAGAGCAUGACCUGUUGCUGUUGUGUAAGAAUCUACUGACAAGCUCAAGUUGAAAGAAAAACUUCCCCCAGAAGACCAGCGAUGGACUGCUUCACAAGAUGCACACGUUUGGGACACCUGAGUGGCUUGGUUCGUUCAGCUCAGGUCAUGAUCUUGCAGUCCUUGAGUUGGAGUCCCACACUGGCUCUGUGCUGACAGCUCGGAGCCUGGAGCCUGCUUCGGAUUCUGUGUCUCCCUCUCUCUCUGCCCCUUGCCAGCUCGUGUGCACUCUCUUGCUCCCUAAAUAAAUAAAUAAAUAAAUAAAUAAAUAAAUAAAUAACAUUUAAAAAACUUUAAAAAAAAAAGGAGAUGAAUAGGUUUAAUGCAUCUCAUGUUGGACAGGGGCAGUGCUCGGCCAUUUCUGUAGUGUUGGAUAUUUGUGGUCUCAACUUCCUGUGGGAGAGGACUCCCUUUUGUGCUUAGCAUCUACCAUGGGAGGGCUGGGACCUGCCAUCUGUGCACGAACUUCAAAGAUGUGUUUUGGUUUACAUUCUGUUACAAUGAACUCAAUGCAAAUUGUUUUUAUGUUGUUUUUAAAAUGUGUUAUUUUACUUGUUUUUGGAAGGGGGACAUUAAGGGCAGUGAAGUGGUAUUGGCCAUGGUUUAAUAUGGUGUUGGCCUGACUGGAAAAAAAAAAAAAGAAGAAGAAAAGAAGAUCAACAGUUAUUAGUUUUGAUUCAUUGUUUUCUGUGGGAAUCUAGUUUUUACUAGUUUUUUUUACUAGUUUUCAAAUUCUAUUUGGAUCCACAUUUUUCUUGGUAGGGGAAAAUGCUAAAUUUCCAUUUAGAUAGAUGCACUUUAACAGUGGCAACUUGCCAUAUGCUCCUCCUUUCUUCCCUUAUUUUUUUUCAAAAUAGCACAAACCCUUCCUCAAGCUUCAGGCUGAGCUGAACUUUAUUGAAUGGUCCUUCAAAGGUCAACUGGAAGGCACUAUUUCUCACGGACGAGAAGGCUCUCAAUCAGAGCUUGGAGUGAACCGGAAGAGACAUGACAGUGAAUUGAAUUGCAUUUCUACUGAUUUUGCUUAAGAGAAGUCAAGCUUAAGAGAGGUGUUGUCAACUGCCCGUGCUCACCGGUUCCCAAGCUAGACCUCAGCCCGAGCUCAGGAAAACCAGACGAGGCUCUUACAUUUGACUUCAUUGCCUCUUCAGAUGCUUGGCAAUAGCUUCUCCAAGAUGCAAGUUGGCAUGGCAAACACUAGCCAUGCUGAUCAGAUAACAUGUAUCGUACAUUGUGUUACUGGCAAGGGAAUUUCAAAAGUAAUUGAUGUUGGAGAAUUGGAGAUUUUAUUUAGUGGUUAAUUAAGUUUAUUUUUAUAGCAGGAGUCUCCAGAGAAAAUUGCUAGUUUGUUAAGGGUAUUUACUGUGAUAAAUAAGAAGAUAGAAUGAAAGUCCGUAAGAAUUGUCAAGGUUUCUGAUACUUAGAAUUUUUUUCUGUUAGAAUUAUAAUUAUUAGAAGGGUGUACAUUAUAAUCAGAGGAAUUAUACAAAUCACCUUCUGGCAGUUAGAAUUGAGGAAGGAAAAUCUCUAAUAAUUUAGACCAGAGUUUAUUAACCUCGGCACUAUUAACAGUUUGGAGCAGACAAUUCCUUGUUAUGGGGGGGGCUCACCUAUGAUUGCAAGGUAUUUAGCAGCAUUCCUGGCCCCUGCCUCAUAGAUGCGAGUAACACCCCCCCCAGUGGUAAUAACCAAAAUUGUCUCCAGACCUUGCCAAAUGCCCCUUGGGGGUGGGUGAGACUACCCCACUUGAGAAUCACUAAUUUAGGCAAGGAUGGAUGUUUAAAAUGUAAGGGUCUAGUUCAUUUCCAAAAAGAAAGAGAAAGAGAAUAGGAGAGGGAGACAGGUAAUAUUCUUUUGACUAUAGAUGUAACACCUUAUAAAACAUCGAAGCAUAUUAUUUAAAUGAUACCAGAUUACCUCAAGGUCCAUCUCUGCAUGUUGUCGCCGUCAAGAACGUCACAAGCCUGACCUCCCAAAAUCAUUUAAAAAAAGGUGGCUUGUCACCGAAGUCCCCCUAAGAGAUGGAGGGACAGCAGAUGCAGGUCAUGGCUGAGACUUUGUUAAAGCUCUCUUUGACCACAUAUCAGUUCCUCUUAUCGGAGCAGGUGCUCUCUCACAAUUUCUCUUCUUCUCUCUCAAACUCAACCGCAAACCCCAGCUCUUGCAGGCUUUCCCAUCUCUUUUUUGCUGCCCUCACUGUAGUAGCCACCGACCCAGUCCUUCCCCAUGGGGUUCUCUACCUUUCUGGUCUAGACCCGCACAACCUCUUACCACGUGGCUGCCUUACCUCUUGCCUCGAUCCGCACUGCAAAAGGCCUGGAGCCCAAGCAAAUACUUAAUCUUCUGUGGAAUGUUCUGAGGCGAGGGAAGGUUUUAAAGUUUUAUACAAGACUGUUUUUGUCCCAGUCAUACUAGGAAGAAGAAAAUAAGCAGCCAUUCCAGUACUCACAAACAAAUCUGGCGGAUGUCUAGGUAGGCGAUUUUGACAGCUGGAGCUAUAAGAAGGAGAGAAUCAAGGGGGAAAAUAUAUAGUUUGCGUUCCCCAGUCAUGGAGGGAAACUAAGAUGACUUGACCUUUUCUUCCACAUCCUUUAUUGAAUUACGAGGCUGACUUCAGGAUGUUUCAGGUUUUUUUUUAACUUUACUUUUAUUUAUUUGAGAGAGAGAGAGAGAGAGAGAGAGCACGAGCAAACAGGGGAGGGUCAGAGAGAGAGGGAGAGAAAGAAUCCAAGGAGGUGGAGCUCGAACCCAUGAACUGUGAGAUCAUGACCUGAGGCGAAAUCAAGAGUCGGACACAACCGACUGAGCCACCCAGGCGCCCCAGGAUGCAUCAGUCUUAGAUGGGACUGUCAUCAUCAUGGUUGUCAUCCUCCUCCUCAUUUAUGAAGUACUUACUAUGUGCCACAGUGCAAGCAUUUGGAAGAAUGUAAUACUUAACUUUCAUUACAAUUAUUAACGUGGUACUAUUAGUAUGUCCAACUGACCGGGGAGGAAAUGAGUCUCAUAGUGGUUAUGCCAGCUACCCAGGACCACAUAGCUCUAAAGUUUUGACUUGUAAGUGCAAGAAAAAUUCCUGAGCUCAAGAAUCUCUAGCUCCACUUCUUCCUUUGCCGUGUGUCUGUCUUUGAACCCAGGCUAGGUCAGGUGGCCAGGUGCCUUUGCCACCUGACUUCCAACAAAGGUCUGUGGACGGCUGGAGGAGGGCUGGUCAGGUGGGCAGUGGGAGGCACUUUGCCCAUGAUUUCAAUCGUAAGAACACAGCCAAAUAUUCUUCCCUCUGCAUACUAGCCAUGCCUGUUCUAGUUUCGUUGGAAGCGUCUUGUGAUCCUGUUACUCAAAAUUGACUCCACACGCCUACAGCAUCAAUGUAGCACCUGGAAGCUUGUGAGAAAUGCAGCAUCUUGGACCACACUCCGGACCUACCGAAUAGUAUCCCAGGUGAUUUGAACACAGUGUCCUCGGGAUGUUGGCAUGUGGUCCCAGUACAAAAUUUCCAUGGUCCCGUGGUUCCUCAAACUUGUGUCAACAUCAAAUUCACUUGGAGGGCUUGAGAAAACACACAUUGCUGAGCCUCUCCUUGCCCUAGGGUUUUGGGUUUGGUAGAUGUGGGGUGGGGCCCAAGAAUCUGCAUUUCUGAUAAGUUCCCAGGGGGGCUGGGGAGCACAGUUCGUGAGCCACUGUUACAGUCAAAUAAAUACACUGAGAAGCUGCUAAAAGUUAAACCAAAUGAAACCACUGGUUUUCUAACAGGUCUCAGAGCUGUUACUGGGCUAAGACUUGGGUUCCCAAACCCCUGGCCCAUUAAAACCACUUGGGGGCGGGGAGGCACGGGGAAGAUAGUGUUCCACAAAAUGCACUUUGGGAACCACCACUGCUCUGCAAACAAUAAAGUCUACCAAUUAUGACAAAAAAAACCCACAAAAGCUGAACGGAGUAAAAUGACCACGACCGCUUCGGUUGAGCAAAGGGUAGCCUUGACUUUGGUAGUGUCAGCACAGCUGUUGUGUCUUGGAGCAAAUGAGAAGCACAUUUCUCUAAGGGAUUUCUACAGACUGAAAAUAAAUUAUAAAUUAUUGAGAUUCACAUAACAUAGACCGGGAAUUAAAAAGAGACUAAAAAAAAAAUCCUCAACGACAUUUGAAUUGCUGCUUCAUUCCCCCUCUUCCCCCCCCAUUGAAAUACAAGCCAAGAAUAAAACAUUGAUUAAAUAGAGAGCAUUGACAUUUUACUCCUGUGGUGCUGGAUACCAGCCUAGACAAAGAGCCGGUUAAACUCGAAAGACAAAGAGCCCUUUUGUUAGGCAGUAAGUUCAUCUGGGAGAAAUAUUAAGUGAACUCUCAAAGGAGAGAGUUCUUCAACAUCUUUACCUACAACAUUCAUUGAGAAGCAACAGGUAAAAUCACACUCAAAAUAUAUGGGGGAUAAAGGGAUUUAUUAAAGGAUGGAAUUGGGAUACACAUAAAACACAACUUUGGCCUCCAGUGAUGGAAAUUUAUACUAGGAAAUGAAAACCAAAAUGAACAAUGAGAUAUGAGCAAGAAGAUAUAUUCUUCUGAGCAAACAAAACGUAAAAUGUCAAUCUGGUCAUAUUCUCUCUAGGGAGGAGAUAUAGCCGUGGACAAAAUAGGCAUUUUUCUGUCAAAGAUCUAACUGUAAUAAGGAGCACAGGUUUAAAAAUAAUAAACAGUAGAUCAAAUAAGAUUCACGUUUGAAGAUAGACAAGGAGAGGAGACAAAGUAAGAGGGAUUGGAUAGAUUUGCUUUUGAAACUGUGCUCAGGGAAAGCUUUUCUGAUGAUUUAUUUGGGCUAAGAAGAAAGAGAAUAGAAGAAAUGACCCACAUAAAUGUUUGGGUAAAGAGCGUUCUAGAAAUCCAGAAUAUGGUGUGAAAAGGACAAUAAUCAGAAAAAGAAACAAGUAUUUAUGGAACUGAAAGGACAUGACAUUAAAUGGACACUAGCUUCACACAAGUGAUCAUGGUGAGUCACCUGUGAGUGUGUGCCUGCAUAUGCAGUAGGAUGGUGUUCAAGAUCAAGUUAGACCUCGGUCUCUUGAUUUUGACCAUGUCACUUCCUGUGAUUCCUUCACUCAGCCCUCAGCUGUUACGGGUUGGUUUCUGCCAUGUGAAUACACAACAAAUACAUCAUGUGACUACGUCCAGUUCUACAUGUAGAGUCACGUGUAGUAUUAGUAACUGUUAUUCUUUCUAAAGGAUUCUUUUAUAUCCCCAGCCUGUGGUUAAGAGCUAGUCCUUAACAAUGGUGCUAAGUUCAAUUUUGGACAAACAAAGGCAACAAUUUAAAGUUGCUCCGUGCUUACAAAUCCUUCAGGAAGCUCACAUCUCUUUAAAGUAGUGCUACAGUGAGAGAUGAAAUAUUAAGGCAUGCGUAGUCGAUGAUGGCCCCAAUUCAUUCUCCUUGUUGCAUAUUAUUGUAAAAGACUUUCAGAUGAACAGAGGUAGUAGGUAGAUCUUACGUAUAAGGAAAUGAUCGGUUGCGGCAUUCAAUAAGUUACAGAUAAAGAUUUCUUAACCCAAGACUUACAAAGAUGAGCAUGAAAGGGAUAUGAAUGUAUCUGGAAAUGAUUUUGUUGGAAGAGCAUUUUAGAAAGUGAACAUGCAGAAGAUUACUAUUGCAUUAUUUAAUAUAAUUAAAAUGAAAAUAAGAACACUCAGAAAAAUCCCAAAAGGUUGGAGUUAAUUAUCAAAUUGUCGUACUCAAGUAUCGAAGGGGAUUUGUUCCAGAAAGACAGAAGGCUGGCUGGCAAGUGAAUUCAAUGAAAGUAGCACAGCUCAGACUUGGGGAAAGAAAGCAUUUCUCUUCCCUCCUGUGAUUCCCAGUCCUAUGAACCCGAGAAUGUGCCUUCUAAGUUCAGAUCCUUGCAAUAGUAACUCUCCCACUGUCAGAGAGGAGCACAGGCCACGUGAUUGCUUCAUCACUCAGAAGCCUCAAAUACUAGGUUUUCCCUGGGCUUUCAAUUGGCAUCAAGUUAUUCAAGGCGGGCUGGAAACCUUCGAAGAAGAGGCAAAAGUCUGCUUUUCCUUUCCUUUCUGAGAGAUGGUCUGAUUGCAUAAUCAUACCCCAGCCGAAUCUGGCUUGUGUUGUUGGAGGAAUUAUCUCCUCAUUAAAAACAAAUCUUAAUAGGCCUAAUUUGAAGGCGGCUUUUGUCUGUAACUUGAUCAAGAGGGUAAUGACUGUGAGCCAUGCUAAACAGAGAGAGAGGAAAAGAAAGUCAGAAACAUUAAACAGUGCAGAUUACAGUCACAUUAGAGUGCUUUUGAUAUGCAAAUGAUGCACACAAGGCAAAACAUAAAAAAUAUAAAUGGACUUAUUUCUAUUUCAUUUCUUGAUACUCUCCUCAGGGCAUGCGGGAAAAGCCAAGUCUUUAAGAAAUGAUUCAGUUUGAGAGACAUUUAAUUGUUAUUUUCAGGGUCUUAGUGACCUCGGUUGUAAAAUGGGAAUACUAAUGUCUAUAAUUAUUAUAAUAGGGCGGUUACAAGGAUUAAAUGAAUUAAUAAAUGUGAAGCAUUUAGAACAGUGUCUGGCUUUCUAAUCCAUCCAACACAUAAUGAUAGCACUAUAAGGUUUAGCUAUUAUUAUUGUUGUUAUUGCUAUUACUAUUAGCAUUUUCCCCCUAUUCUAUAUGAACUAGAAUACCAGUCAUAGAUACACAGAAUUUUGGAACCGGAAAAACCUUAGGGUAGAGUUUCCAGAACUGUAGCCCAUGAAGAUCCACUGUUACCUAACAGGUUUUUUCUGAUCAGUGACUUUUCGGGGGAAUUUUAGGUUAGAUAAAAUCAAGACCAUUUCACCACAGAGGCUCUUGAGACCCUUUAAGGUGUCGGCAAUGUGAAUCUCAAAGAGCACGAUGUUCUAUUCAGUCUUCCCUAAAUGUAUUUGACCUCAAACCCAUUUCUCACAGAAUGUCUUAUGACCCCCUGAGAAACAUUAAUUCUUGAAGAAAAUUAUGAAUGGCAAUUCAAUGAUGCCCACAGGGAAAAUGACUUCUCCUAAGCCCUCAGCUAGUUAGGGGCAGAGUCUGGGCUUAAGCCUGGGUCUCCUGGUACAUUCUCCAGGAUGCUUUGCAUUCAUGCUCACAGCCUCUUCUGUCCCGCAUUUCUGCAGGAAAAGGUCUCACAGGAGCUCUUUGAAGAGCAAAGCAUGCUGGUUAAAAACCAGGACCUGGUUUAAGCGCCCACUUCCCACUGUAUGACCUCACACGAGUUGCGUGAUUUUCCAAAGACUCAUUUUUUCCCUCCUCUUAAAAUGGGGAUAAUGAUUGCACCUGCCUUGCAAGGUUGCUGAGAAUUUAAGUGACAUAAUGCAUGUAAAGUACAUACAUUAAUUAUAAACAAUUUAUCAUUGUUUCUGGACAUAGUAAGAGUUCAAAAUAUGUUGCCAAUUAUUAGUAAAUAGUAUUUUAAAAGUGGGGGACAGAUCCCAUAGAGGGAAGGGAGAUCUGAUGACCAGACUUUUAUUUAAGAGUUUUUCAAUAGAAGCUCCUCUAUAAUGCUCUUCUGUAAGCGAUGCUAAGAAGCUCUCUAUACCAUUGAACCAGACCCGAAACAAAUCAUCAUCUCCCCCUUUAUAUCGGAUGGCGAAGAGAAAGGACUGUUAAGCAUCAAUGGCAAGGGUAGGAGAUUCUGGCCUAGAUUUGGGAUCUUCCAUUCUACUGCAGGAAUUUCUCACACAGGAAACAUCCUUAGGGCCCCCAGGCCAACGCUACUCAGUAAGGCCAGGAGUGCUAUCGUCGGUUUCCUGUAACCGGUCCACAAUGAGGUAAGUACAGACAUUGUGGGUCAGCAUUCAGAAACUUUUAUAACAAUUCGCAGAGGAAUUCUGUGUGUAUGCAGACGUGGAAUCUAAGUGACAGUUUUUAAAACAGGACUUGUAGGGGCGCCUGGGUGGUGCAGUCGGUUAAGCGUCCGACUUCAGCCAGGUCAUGAUCUUGCGGUCCGUGAGUUCGAGCCCCGCGUCAGGCUCUGGGCUGAUGGCUCAGAGACUGGAACCUGUUUCUGAUUCUGUGUCUCCCUCUCUCUCUGCCCUUCCCCCUUUCAUGCUCUCUCUCUGUCCCAAAAAUAAAUAAACGUUGAAAAAAAAUUUUUUUAAUUAAAAAAAAAAACCAGGACUUGUAUUUGUAAACCUUUUUAAUAUUUCAUUUUCUAGUAAUUCAUUUUUAUUGUAUUUUACAAAAGCAUCAGUCCAGGACAGAUUAAACAUUUAAAAAAAAAAAUAAAACUCGCCCACUACCUUAGAUAGUUGGAGAAACUGAAUCUCAGAAGUGUGGAAUCAGAAUCAGAAUUAUCAGCAUCACAUAGGAACUUUUUAGAAAUGCAGUUCUCAGUCCCAUCCCAGACCUACUGCAUUAGAAAUUCUGGGGUAGGGCCCAGGAAUCUUUAUUUUAAGAAGCAGUUUGGGUGAUUACUAUGCACACGAAGUUUUAGAAUGCAUACAUAGAUAUACAUACAUAUACAUACAUAAAUCCACAUAUGUAUAUAUAUACAUACACACACACACACACACAUACAUAUAUGUAUAUGAGAGAAAGAGAGAGGGAGAGACACAGAUCCUAAACUCUGGUGUGCAAAGAUAAUAUGACAUUAUUUCUCUAUAACCAAAUUAAAUUAUACUCCUAACCACCACUCAUUCAGGUUGGAAGUAAUUUCGAUGUCAGUUAGGAUUAGGUUCAGUUAUGAAUCAUGGAGACCCCCAAAAACGGUGGCCUCAUUAAUAGAGAGACUUUCAGGAAAAAAGCCAAGUUGCAAGUUUCUUUGAGGUGAAUUCUGUCUUCUGCUCUACUAUCCAAAUUCUCUGAAACAAGAGGACACAGAGGCCUGCCUACCUUUUUUAAUAGAGCAGGAAAAACUCCGGGAGGAACCAAAACAAGACUCCAGUAUACUAUUCUGCUGUAUCAACAAUGAUAUUUAAUCAUCCGCUGUGGUGAUCUUGGAGCCAAACCAAUGCCCAGAAGGUUUGGGGCCCACUCUGAGUAACUUGGAGUUCUUUAUGCAUCAGAUAGAGUUUUCCCCUUUCAACCAUUGUCAGCCCCGGUCAUUAAAACCCCCUGCAUCGGUUUUAGAAGCCAAAUGAUUUCUUUCACGUCCUUAUCGGUCUGUCUAGGAUUCUCUCGCUUGUUAUAGAUUUUUAUUUUCUUGAUGCAUUUCUUUGUAACUGGAACCCUCAAGCAAAAAAAAGGUGGGUGAAAGCACAUUUUAUGAAUUCAUGCUCAGGCCUCUGAUACUAAAGUCAAUUUCUAACUGAAAAAUUAGUCUCCAGGGGCCAGUAAUUGAGACUUCGAGAUUAAUGCUUUGUGCAAAAUUUAGUGCCUUUCCAGUCUACCCUGUUUUUGAUGGUCCCUUUUUUUUUCAUUCUUUCUAUUUUGUAGCUUAAGGGGUUCCCAUUGGUCUGGGCUGCUAGCGAUAAUGCUUACAUAGUAAUAUUUUUGAAAAUGCAGGUGAAAACAUUGGCAACUUUGAAAUGAAUUGUCAUACAUUGCCCAAUGUCUACUACUGUCUCUCAUGAGUUAUGUAACUUUUUUAGUGUAUUAGAUAAUUAUGUGUUUGUCAUAUAUCCAUUUAGUUGUAAGGUUUUUAAAAAGCUAUGUUCAGAAGACCAUUUCAUUUAUUCCUGUUUCUUUCCCCGUGUGACCUCUGUUCCAUUAUAUGAGUCUCCACCUUUUGUUUCAGAAUAAAAAAAAAAUCCCCAUCGGGGCGCCUGGGUGGCGCAGUCGGUUAAGCGUCCGACUUCAGCCAGGUCACGAUCUCGCGGUCCGUGAGUUCGAGCCCCGCGUCAGGCUCUGGGCUGAUGGCUCGGAGCCUGGAGCCUGUUUCCGAUUCUGCGUCUCCCUCUCUCUCUGCCCCUCCCCCGUUCAUGCUCUGUCUCUCUCUGUCCCAAAAAUAAAUAAACGCUGAAAAAAAAAAAAAAAUCCCCAGAAAAUGUAGACUUUCCUCCUAUCCCUGUUUACUUCUCCGCCAAAGAGUUCAAAAAAAAAAUUGGAAAAAUGGGAAUCCUAGCAAAUUAAAUAGUAUAUUACUUACACUAAUUUUUUAGGAAUAACUCGUACAAUUUGGAUAUCAAUCUCAUUCUUCGUUUCCAUGUACUUCCAUGCUCUAAUAUAACUUUUCCCUCAUUUUUCUUGCUUAGCUUUAAAGAAGAAUGAAAUUACUUGCAAUUUCACUCAGAGACAUCCGCUGUUGAAUAUUUUGUUUCACUUCCUUCUAAUCUCAAAGAAAGCUUUCGUUUUAGAAACGCUACCUUUAUUUUUUAACGUGUAUAUGUAUUUUGCUUCUAUCCAAAUGAAUUAUUUUUUCCCAUUUAUAAAAGCAAUACAUAUUAUUGCCAUAAAAUUAAACCCAAUAAGGUGCAUAAAGAAAAAAAUUGGUUGUGUUUUCUUACCAAAUCUUUAGACGCAUUUGCCCAAAAUUUCAGGCAAAUCUCUGUGGCUCUGGCAACCAUUGGUUGGCUGUUAUUGAAACUUUUCUGCCAAAUUACAGGGAAGGUGGAUAAUCCUCUGGGCCCCCAGGUCAAUUUGAAUGGACCCUUUGUUAGUUUCAAGAUAUUUAAAAUACAUGUUGUUUUGGAACAUCUUUUCUGAGUAGUAGGGUCAAAACUUACUUCCCUGUCUUUCCUAGAGCAAACUAGAACAGGGCGGUCUAGCUAAUUGAGUGUGAUAUUUAAAUUUUUCUAAUGUUUAUUUAUUUCUGAGAAAGAGAGAGACAGAGACAGAGACAGAGACAGAGUGUGAGAAGCGGAGGGGCAGAGAGAGGGAGACACAGAAUCUGAAAGCAGGCUCCAGGCUCUGACCUGUCAGCACAGAGCCCGAUGUGGGGCUCGAACCCAUGAGCCAUGAGAUCAUGACUUGAGCUGAAGUCAGAUGCCUAACUGACUGAACCAGCUAGGCACCCCUUAUGAGACUGAUUUACUGAGUACACUGAUUCAUUUAUUCAACAUUUAUUGAACAUCUAAACUGUGCCAGGCAUGGUAAAGGCAUUCGGGAGCAAGACACGGAACUUACAUUCUAAUGAAAUGAAAACUUUUUAUUACCUUUUUUGGCCCUGCCCAUUUGCUUGGCAUGUAGUAAGCACUCAAUAAAUUUCUUUUGUCACACUGCCUUGAAGUGACUUGUGUAGAGUAUUCUGGCAUCAGCUGACCCAGCUGAGACGCGGAGUGUGGCCAUGGUUCUCCCUGAAAUAACGAGAACAUUUGUUCCGCCCCGGUUCACUUCCUGCUCAAGGUCUAUUAAAAACAAACUCACCGUCAAGAUUAGUUCUCAACUGGGUAUGUUUCCAGGGGCAGGGGUAGAUAGCCAGCAGACGCAUCAUACAUGGAAACUCAUCUCAUCCCUUAAAUCUGACCUCCGAAUGUCUUUUAGAUCUGCCGAUUAGAUUCUUGCUAGAACACAAUAUCAGACUCCAUCCUCAAAGGAAAUAAAUUAAGCUGCGCCACACGAGGACAAAUGGUUGACAUUCUGCUCUGGCUAGCAUCUUGUGUGCAGCUGUGAACAGCUGUGUGAGUGCCAGUUAAGCUGUGAUGCUAUCACUGGGGAGAGAGAUAAAGGGCAAUUCAUUCACAAAGCACUAUUCAAAGGGCCUCACAGGUGUGUUCUAAGGAUUGGUUUUCUGCUAUCCCCUUUCCAUCUGAAAUUUAUCCUGAGAUAAGGUGAUAGAACAUAAUAUAGAAUUAUAGGCCUUCUCCCUCCGGGAAUGGUGUUUUAGGAAUACAUGCUGUGACAUUCAUAAGCAAACAUGAAAUAGGGAAACGCACUCUCCACUUGACAAAGAGGAUUAGCUUCUGACUCUCUGGAGCGAUUCUUGGACCAUUUAUUCAUUCCCUUAUGAAUAAGCCUCAGUGCCCCCCCCCCCCCCCCCCCCCCCCCCCCCCCGCCCCCGCGGCNCACCGCCCCCGGCGGCACCGCCGGUAGAGAAAGCACAAAUGUGGCAAAGAGAGUGGCCCUUUUAGAGAACAGCUUUAUUUAUCACCCAUAUUUGCAAUUCCACUCCCCUAAAAGAAGCCGUCAGCUGCUCAUCCUUUGACUACAGUCGAGGCCUUUGGUGAACAAGGAUGGGGGCAGAUGCUAACUGCCAAUGAGGGGGACAAAAUGAGGUGAGGAGAGGGCAUUUUGUAAAGAGAUUGAAAUGGCCUGUGGAUGCUUGUUUGAAAUAGACUGCACAUUGCUGCUUGAAGGGAAAAUGGUAUGUAUCAGCGACCCUCUUGAGAAAUGCAGUUAGAAGGUAAAACAGGAAAAUUAACACUGGGUACAAAUCCUAGGUCAGUGUUCCUAAAUGCUGGCCGGGGACAUGGGCCACCUUCGUGGACUCGGUUGCCUAGUAACCUUGUUAAAGCUGCAGCUUUCCUGGUUUCACUCAUGACUGCAGAAUCGCCAAAGGACUACCUGAGUUUUUGCAACCAGCUCCCCGAGAUGAGCCGAGGGUACAUGGCCCUGUUGGGGAGUGACUGGUAGAUCCCAGGCUAAACAAAUAAACAAACCAGCAAACAAAAAUAAAGCAGAUGGGGAGGGGGAAAUCACAAACCAAGCCAGAAAAAUGAGACAGCAGGGCUUCCUGCCCUGCUUUGUGGUCAUAAACCAAUAAGUAAUAGUUUGCAAUCAAUAAAUAGCAAUUAAUUGAAGGCUUACACUAUAUCCAGGACUGAUCUAUUGCCUUAAAUCUUUUCAUCUUUAAAUUGCAAGGAAAUUUAUGAGUGAGGUAGGAUCCAUGAAGCCCCGGGUACAUGAGACACAAGCAUUUUAAGGCGCUCAGGGAAGACCACACCACUGGAAGCUGCCAGGACCAGGCUUCAAACUCAGCAAGUCUGGCUCCAGAGGCGGUGGUUAAACUUUGACCAGUUACUGUCUUUCCUGUGCAAACGGCAGGGCUUGGGGAAAUGAAGUUGAAUAAGGCAGUGUUGUCCCUCAAGGAGCUCAUGGAAAUUUGUAACGUCACGUAGCAAGUGCAGUGUGUAAAGCACAAAGAGAGACUCGGCGGUCUUCGCAGGAUUACAGAUUAUAGAUGACCCAGUUUGGGGAGCGGGCUCUCUGGACCUGAGCAGAAAUUUGAAAGGAUGAGCAAGAGUGAGCCACAAAAAGACUGGAGGGAGGGAGGGUUCUCCCGGGGGAGGACACAGAAGGAGCCAAGCCCCAGAGAAAAGAUAUAGGGGUUCCAGGCUUCUCCCAGGGUGUUUUUCCAGAAGAAGGGUGAAUGGAUACAAGGUGGCAAGAAUGAGAACUCUGUUUGAUCAUGGAAAAUAAUUUCUAAUGAUCACUAUUUGAGAUUAACGUUAAUAAUUGUCACAAUCGUUUUUAGUAACUGACAUGAAUGACAGUUGUGGUGUUUCAUAACCUAUUGCUGUGUUGUCCUGAAAUUAUCCUAAAGCUUAGCUGCUUGAGAAAACAACCCCUCUACUGUGCUGUUGGGAGUCUAUGGUUCAGGAAUUUUGAGAGGACAUAAGCGGGAUGGCUUGAGUCUGCUUUCUAAAUCAAAAAAAGAUUAAUGUUUAUUUAUUUUUGAAAGAGAGAGAGAGAGAGAGAGAGAGGGAGGGAGCGCGCAAGCAGGGGAGGGGCAGCAAGAGGGAGACACAGAACCCAAAGCAGGCUCCGGAUCUGAGCUGUCAGCCCGGAGCAUGAUGUGAGGCUCGAACCCAUGAACUACAAGAUCAUGACCUGAACCGAAGUCGGAGGCUUAACCGACUGAGUCACCCAGAUGCCCCAAGUCUGCUUUCUGAUGUCCAAGGCCUUCACCUGGGGCUGGAAAUUCUUCUUCCAAGAAGGAUGGUCUACCAUCUUGGUGGGGUGAUUGGAAGGCUGGACUUAAAUGGGACUGUCGGCCAGAGCAUCGCCAUGUGCCCUCCUCAGCAUGGUGACCUUAGGAAAGUGGGGCUUCUUCUAAGGUGAGUCACAGUCCCAGGGAGUAAGAUGGAGGGUGAUACUUUCUGACCUAGCUUUGGAAUGACACCAAGUGUUACCCUACUAUAUUCUAUGAAUGAAAGCAGUCACAAGCACAUCCAGAUUCAAGAGGAAACAUAACCUGAGGCGUGUCAAAGAAUUUGGAGCCAAGUUUUAAAAUCACCUUAUGGUUAACAUUUACUGAGUGCUUUCUAAUGUGCCAGGCACUGUGCUAAAUGCUUUAGCAAGGAUAUCUCAUCUAAAGUUCAUCAUAGUACGGGGCACCUGGGUGGCUUAAUUGGUUGAGUGUCCAACUUUGGCUCAGAUCAUGAUUUCACAGCCUGUGGGUUCGAGCCCCAUGUCAGGCCCUGUUGCUGGCAGCUUGGAGCCUGGAGCCUCCUUGGGAUUCUAUGUCUCCCUCUCUCUCUGCCCCUCCCCAACUCACGCCCUGUCUGUCUCUCUCUCUCUCUCUCAAAAAUAAAUAAAUAAAUAAAUAAACAUAGGGCACCUGGGUGGCUUAGACCCAGCUUCAGCUCGGGUCAUGAUCUCACGGUCUGUGAGUUCAAGCUCUGCACUGGACUCCGCUGCUGACAGCUCGGAGCCUGGAGCCUGCUUUGGAUUCUUGUGUCUGCUUCUCUCUCUGCCCCUCCCCAACUCACAUUCUCUCUCUCUCAAAAAUAAAUAAACAUUAAAAAAAUUCAAAUAAUUAGACAUUAAAAAAAUAACAAAGUUCAUCAUAAUGGUAUGAAAUAUGUGCUCUGAUUAUGCCAGUUACAGAUAGGGGAUCACAGCCUUAGGGAGGAUGUUUAACUUGUCCAAGGUCACCAGGAAGUGGCCAUAUAUAUGAGAAAAUGAACUCAACUUCGUAGGGUUUAAAAGCAUUAAGCCUAAGCCGUAUCACCUUGGUAUUCUUCUUCGUAACUCAGCCCCAACUCUUGGCCCAACAUGCAUGGAAGGCUCACUGUUAAUGUUUGUGGGAGGGAAGAAAGUCUUAGCAACUAUACAUCUAAGGGGACUCAAACAGGGACUCUCUGGGGGCAACAUCAUGGUUGGCGACUUCUGUGCUCUCUGUUGCCCUUGUCAGAAGUGGACCCCUGAAGAAGCAAUGGCUGUGUGGACUGUGGGCCUGCUAUUUACAUUUCUCAUGUAAAUGUUCACACAAUUCUCUCCCUGGAAGCCUCAUCCCCAGAGGCCUUGGGCCUGAAUCCUGAAAUCAAAGAAACAGGACAAAUAUACUUUGGAAAAUGCUUCUGAAUUGAAGUUCUCUCAGAUCCAGGAAAAGUGUUACACACUGGCAGUAUUCAUUCCCAGGAAUAUGAAAAAAUACCUUUGACUACUUUUUUACAACUUAUACAUAUUGGAAGAGUAAUCUAUGGUAUUUAAACUCAAUUUUGUUUCAUGUACCCACUCGAUAUAUAUCGAACAAUACAUAUUGAAUACCUAUUAUGUGCCAGACAUGAUGCAGGAUUAUGAAGAUCCUAUGGGCAAGCAAGACAGAGAUGAUUUCUUCCCUCCUAGAGCUCGCAGUCUAGUGAAGGAGACGCAGAGAAACUAAGUACAGAACUAUAGCAGUAUAUAAUUGCUAAUUCUCAAAAGUGCCUUGAGGGAAAUUAAUACGGUGAUAAGAUAAAAAUAAGACAAGAGUAAGGUGGGAAAUCUGUAUGUAUGCUGGUUGAAUUAGGCCCCUCUGGAGACAUGAUAUUACUUAAUCAGAGAGCCAAAGUGAGAGAAGAAAAGAAAGGCUAUGAUCCUGUUUAUUUUUAUUCUGUUCUUUAGUCCCAACCUCCUUUCCUUUGAGUUCAGACCCUGUUCCAAAGGGAAUUCAGCUAAAAGAAUGUUGAUGGACGAAGAAACUAACUGGUCCUUAUUCCAGUAUCGAGUUCAUGCACACAGAUUCUUAAUAGGCAAGUGUAAAACCUGACAUUUAAGGGAUGACCUUAUUCCCCAGCUGCAUAGAAAUCUGAGCCCACCUCUAGCUAACAGUCUCAAAGUGUCGGUCCCUAGUGUGUUCACCAAGCCCCUGAGUCCUCACCCUGGUGGGCCAUUCUUCCUGCCUUCCACGGGCACCUUCAAACGACAAGAGAGUGCUGAGUGUUCAGGCUAGAAGAUAUGCUCCCCAAAAGCUUCAGGGAUUUUCCUUUCCAAGAUCAAACCAUAUUUAUCAAUACUGAGGGAUUGACAUUUAAGGAAACUUGGCCUUGGGGGUGGUGUUGCGAUGGGGAAUCCUACUAAUAAUUACCCCUUAAUAUAGUUAUUUAAAGUUAGGUAUUCACUGAUCUGGUAAAGGAGUCUCUAAUAUUUGAGACCCAACACCUAUGGCAGUUGCAAUAGGUGACACAGGGAUUCAGUGAGUUCGAGCCCUGCAUCAGGCUCUGUGCUGACAGCUCAGAGCCUGGAGCCUGCUUCAGAUUCCCUGUCUCUGUCUCACUCUCUAUCCCUCCCCCGCUCAUGCUCUGUCUCUCUCUCUCAAACUGUGAGAUCAUGACCUGAGCCAAAGUCGGAUGCUUAACCAACUGAGCCACCCAGGUGUUCCAAGAGCAGCUAAUAACCUAAUUCACACUCACUAAUCUCACUUAAUUCUUAUAACCACCCUAAUUAUUGUAUGACAUUCGAUAGGUGAAGAAGCAAUUGUAUAGGAAGUAAGACCUAUGUGGUUCACUAGAAUAGCCACCAGAUAUAUGUGGCUGUUUAAUUUAAAUUAUUUAAAAAUAAAUUAACACUCAGUGCCUCCGUCACACCAGCCACAUUUCAAGUAUUUAGUCGUACAUUUCCACCACUGUAGAAAGUUCUGUUGGAUAGCUCUGGAGACUAUAGGCCAGAGUUUCUCAACUUUGGCAAUAGUGACAUUUGGGGCCAGCUAAAUGCUGUGGGGAAGGGCUCUCUUGUACAUUAUGUUUAGCAGCCACUACCCACUGGUCACCAGUAGCACCCUCCCCUAGUUGCAGCAACCAAGAAGGUCUCCUGAGAGUGUCAAAUGUCCCCUUGAAGGGGAAAUAAAAUCAUCCAUGGUUGAGACAACUGUCCUAGACCCAGCCUAGGCUUUAUAGCCUAUGUGGGAACUUGGGUAAGUUGCUUUCAAUUCUUUCAGCUCAAUUUCCCUCAUUGGUAAAAUAUUUAAAAAACAGAACACAUUUCCAUAAGGUUUUUGUGAGUGUUAAAGGUAAAGCAUUGGUAGGUAAUAAAAGCACAUUAAAUGGUCUUUAGGAAGGUAAUCCACUAAUUCCCCCCCUUAACUGAGAGACAUCCAGAUUAGCUGAUAUGGGAUCUGGGAUCCUGGAAAUUCAACUUUCUGCUUGCUGCUCCAAAGUUCCAUCCAUGAACUUGGGCUUCCAUGUGUAGGUACCUCCAAGGCUGCCGACAAUGACAGAUAUGAGUGAUUUAUUUAGACAACAAAGUCUGGGGACUUGAAAACAAAAAACAAAAUGGGGCGCCCGGUGGCUCAGUUGGUUGAGCGUCUGACUCUGGGUUUCAGCUCAGGUCAUGAUCUCAGGGUCAUGGGAUUGAGCCCCGAGUCGGAUUCUACACUGAGUGUGGAGCCUGCUUAAGAUUCUCUCUCUCUCUCUCUCUCUGUCUCUCUCUUUCUGCCCUUUUCCCCUGCUCACACACUCUCUCUUUAUCCUCUCUCUCUAAAAACAAACAAACAAACAAAAUUCCAACCAAACAUAGAAAACCAUCUUUCAUUAUCUAGAGCCUGAAUUUUGUCAUGAUAGCUUUGAAAAUGUAUCGGACAGUGAGGCAAUCAAUUAAUGAGGAAGGUUUUUAAAGGUCUCUAUAAAAAUUGAAUCAAAUAUUUAGAUCAAUCACAGUGAAGAUGAUUAAAACACAUCAACGGACAGCUGCCAGUAAAUUAAUUGAAGUUUCAACUCAAAUGUCUAAAUAGGCACAUUCAGACAAUUGGCCCUAUCAGUGUAUCAGGUUUAGACUACCAUGUUAGUAGGAUGGAAAGAUAAUUAAAUGAAUUAUUUGAAGUUUGUGCUUAUUCUUGCCUUGAAAAAACCAAAUACAAGUGCUUUAAUGGGCUCACAGAGGAGACUUAUUUUUAUCCUUGAGAUUUUUUUUCCUGUGGUUUAUAGGAUUAAGCUGAGUGUAACUUUCUAAAUCUAAAACUGUCAUUAGAUUGGACAAUAUGAACCAAUAUUUGACCAUUUUUGACCCAUAAGAGAGGAAAUUCCAUAAGAUGUAAAACGAAUGCAUCGAAGAGAGGAGCAAACAUAGAGUAGUUCAUUUCUUCAAUUUAUGUUUCAAUAAUUGAUACCUGGUAGGUCAUCUCUCUAUCAGAAACAGAGAUCAGGUUCACCCAUUCACAUAAUAACCUAGCCAUUCGUCAUGCAUUUACAAUUGGGCCCCAGGCUAAGCAUUACCUCAUUAACCUCAUUUAAACUUAACAAAAACAAUGUGAAAAGGGUAUUAUUUAUUUCCAUUUUGAAGAUGGGAAGACAGGUUGACAAGGUUUGCUAACUUUUAGGUAAGAGGUAUAGCCAGAUUUCACAUUCAGGAGUGCAGAAUUUUAAAGCUUUUGUCCCCGGCCAUACUGUAGCUGCAGGUGAAUGGUGAAGAACAUACUCAUUCUCAGUGUUACAAAUCACGUCCUUAACUAGUACUCCUCCACAACACUUAACCUACUCACUGCAUCUGGACCACAUGGGACAUAGUAGGUAUCAUCUUUUAUGGUCUGACCCCUUUGGCCAUAUGAGUUCAUUAAAUCAGAUUAUGAAUGAGACUUCUUUCACACUUUUGUGAUGUAAAAUAUUUUCUUUUCAAGAUGCCAAUCGCCAAAAUCUUUUACAUUUUUUUUUUCUGGCUUCUUAUUCAUCAGAGAAAAAUUCUGACUGGCCAUUUUAAAAAAAGAAGUAGGUUCUUAACAAAUUAAUCCAUCCAGAAUACCACCGGGCCCAGGAUAAGAAAGAUACUGUCUCAAAGAAGGAACUCACUAAUUGAGAGUAACUGAAGGGAGAGACAAUUCUGAAUUAAUAAAAUGUCUUAAUUAAAAGCAUGAGUUAAAAGAAAGAAAGUCUUAAUAUCUUUUGAUAUCUGAUGGAUAAAUGAAUCAAUGAAGCUGGAGUGUGGAAAAUAUAAAACCCUGUGGUUUUAUGGAACCCUGUGGAAGUCUACUUAAGUCUAUUUUGAUGAACAAAUGAGGUCUAAGGAAAUGGAGUAUAGUUUUCCAGUUACUUGUAGGUCAAGGUGCUACUACGGUCUUGGGAAAAAAAGAAUUCUCAUAAGCUGAUAAACAUUCCCCUUGCAAUCCUUUCACACUGUACUACAUAUAAAUUGUAUGAUGUGUACUAUAUAUAUAUAUAUAUAUACACACACACACACAUAUAUCAAAUCUAUACUAUAUAUAUAAUCUGUAUACUAUCUAAUCUUAACUAUAUAUUAAUAUAUACGAAUACAAAUACUAAUACCAAAUUAUCCUAUAUACUGUAUAACCUAUCUGCCUCUCUAUUUAUAUAUAAUCUCACAAAGAUAAUGAACUCUUCAGACUCUAUUCAAAUAAUUAAAUUUUGAAUUGUUGGGGGUGGAAUUCAUGAAGUCUUUAUAAUUGAUGGAGUCAAACUUAAAAAAAAAAAAACACAACUAAAAAAGGACAACCAAGUAUGGUUUCUACUUGAACCGGUCACAUUAUGUUCCAUCAAAUUUAUUACUCAUCUCGUACCAAUCACACGUGAAAACCAACUCUGAUGUGAAGUGUUGGUAUUCAUUUCUGGUUUGGUAAAGCACUUAGUCCUACCUCCAAUAUCUGUCUAGAAGAAAAAGCCAUUUCACUGCUAUCCCACACUCAAGGAGGAGGGGGUGCACAAGGGUAUGGAUAGCAAAAAGGUCAUCUUAGAGGCUGCCCAGCACAGUGAAUUUCUUCUGUGCUAAUAUCUAUGUUCUGCGGAAUAUCUAGAUAUUGUCAUCUCUGCAAAGCAUGCCCUGAUAAUAUUAGAAAGAGAAAUAAAACAAGGAGUAGAAGUAUCUAAACCAUGUUUCAAUGCUUGUCCCUCACCACGGCCCCCGCAAUCUUUCUCCUAACUCUUAAAGAGAAUCAAUUCUGUUCUCAGAGUUGACAGCCCAGAGAGACGCACAUAUUGGUCAUGUCCACUGUGUGGCUUGAGAGGAGUCAGCGAGCGGGCUUCAGAGCAUUUUAAAAGAAGCUGUAUGAUUCCAAGGGUGUUAAACAUACAUUCUCAAGGGGGAAAUGCCACCCCCAAGGGGCCAACAAUUCAUUCUUCGGGGGCAAAUAGUUCUUAUUCUUUUUAUGUAGAAAGCACAGAUGUACAUACAGCACAUAAGCAGAUAUAUGGUAGAUCUGUGGCAUGAAACUUCUAUGGUGGGUGUGAUUAGGGAAAAAAUGUCUUCAAAAGCUACCGUAGAAGAACGAUGAGAAAAAAGGCUGAGAACAGCUUGAUGCAGGACAAGGCAGUAAAGAGUAUUCUGAGGUCAAGAAAGCUUCAGGGAGGGAGGGGCUGGGAUGCAGAUUUGGCAGGGAGGAGACAGUAUUCGGAACUUGGAAGAGGGCUUCCGAGGCACCUAGAGGGCUUUGGUUUUACUCCAUUCUGAUUUUACCCAAUUUCUACCUUCCGGGGAUUCCCCACAGUGUCUGACCCACUGAGAAUUCCUUUCUGGCUUUGGAGUACAACUAUGUUCAGAUUCACUUUAAGCAUGUUUUCUAAUGUUUCUGAGAGAUUUGGGGUUUGUGGGGAAGCUUAUAGCAAGGGUUUUGUUCACUACCUAGAAAUGUAAAGUAUUCAUUACCAUGUAAGCAAAGAUAGGCUCCACUUUCUCUCUCUUCUUCCUUCCUCCUACUCUCUCUGUUGGGUAGACGCAAAGUCUGUGAGUUGAAGGAGGAAAGAGGAAAGGUCUUGAACAUUGGCAGAAUGGUGUCACAGGAAACCUUGCCCUAUCAGCCACCAUGUGAGGGUCUGGUCCUGAGGCUUCUGGUGUGUCUAGAUUUCAUACUUCUUGUGUUUGAAAUGAAGACUUUGUAUAAAAUAAUACUUAAGGUUGAUUCCAGCUUCAAUAAUACAUUAGCCCAUAAAAUGUCAUCUGCAUUUACACAAUAAUGUGUUUAAAGUAUAGCUGUUGGAGUUGUACAUCUUUGGGUGAAGGUUUUGAUUCUCCUGUUGCAAUCCAAACACUCAGUAGAGUGUUGAGCUGAAUCUAUAAUUGCGACCUUUGUGUGAACUGCACAUCACCACAAUACAAGGGGAAUAGCCUCCACCGCCGAGUCUUUACAGAUUCAACAUAGGGGCCAAGGUUCAAGUCCUCUGGACUUGGAAGCCUCUGAAGACAUACUUAGCCAAAAUCACAAUCUUGCCUACUACAGUGAGCCACAUGAAAUUCCCAUUUUUGUAGUUCAAAAAUCGUUGAAUUUUGGCAAAUUUAGAGUUCAACCUGGAGCUUAACCAGCAGAUCAGUCUCCUUUAAUGAGGCGACCAUUUUUACUAAAUAAAAUCUUUACCUAUGUCAAGACACAAGAAAUAGCUGUCACUGAUUUAUUAUUUUUUUUAAGUUUUUAUUUUAAUCACCUGGUGCUCAUUACAACAAGCGCUUUCCUUAAUCCCCAUCACCUAAUUUUGCUCAUCGCUCCCCCCCUCCAAGCAUCAGAUUGUUCUCUAGAGUCAGGAGUCUGUUUCUUGGUUUGUCUCUUUGUUUCUCUCUCCCCCCCACCCUUUGCUCACUUGUUUUGUUUCUUAAAUUCCACAUAUGAGUGAGAUCAUGUUAUUUGUCUUUCACUGACUGACUUAUUUCAUUUAGCCUGGUACUGUCUAGCUCCAUCCAUGUUGUUGCAAAUGGCAAGAUUUCAUUCUUUUUGUGGCUGAAUAAUAUUCCGUUGUAAACAUAUGACACAUCUUUAUCCAUUCAUCAAUUGAUUGACAUUUGGUCUCCUUCCGUAGUUUGGCUAUUGUAAAUAAUGAUACAAUAAACAUAGGGGUGCAGGUAUCCCUUUGAAUUAGUGUUUUUGUAUUGGGGGGGUAAAUGCUUACUAGUGCAAUUGCUGGAUCAUAGGAUUUUAAGUUUUUGAGGAACAUCCAUACUGUUUUCCACAAUGGCUGCACCAGUUUGCAACCCCACUAACAGUGCAUGAGGGUUCCUUUUUCUCCAUAUUCUUGCCAACACCUGUUGUUUCUUGUGUUUUGGUUUUAGCCAUUCUGACCAGUAUAAGGUGAUAUCCCAUUGUGGUUUUGAUUUUCAUUUCCCUGAUGAUGAGUGAUGUUUAGAAUCUUUCCAUGAGUCCGUUGGCCAUCUGUAUGUCUUCUCUCGGAGAAAUGUCUGUUUACGUCUUCUGCCCGUUUUUAGACUGGAUUGGUUGCCUUUUGGGUGUUGGGUUUUGUAAGUUCUUUACAUAUUUUGCAUUAAAACCCUUUGUUGGAUAUGUCAUUUGCAAAUACUUUCUCCCAUUUUAUAGGUUGCUUUUUAGUUUUGUUGAUUGUUUCCUUCACUGUGCAGAAGGUUUUUAAUUUGCUAUAGUUCCAAAGCUAGAAAAAAAGUUGCUAUGGCUGACGUCAGAGAAGUUACUGAGUACACUCUCCUAUGGUUUUUAUGGUUUCAGGUCUCACAUUUAGGUCUUUAAUGCAUUCUGAAUUUAUUUUUGUGUAUGGUGUAAGAGAGUGGUCCACUUUAUUCUUUUGCAGUAUCUGUCCAGUUUUCCCAACACCAUUUGUUGACGACACUGUCUUUUACCCAUUGGAUAUUAUUUUCUGCUUUACCAAAUAUUAAUUGACCAUAUAAUUUUGAAUUCAUGUCUGGAUUUUCUGUUCUAUUCCAUUGAUCUACAUAUCUGGUUUUGUGCCAGUACAAUACUGUUUUGAUUACUACAGCUUUGUAUUAUAACUUGAAGUCCAGAAUUGUCAUGCUUCCAGCUUUGCUUUUCUUUUUCAAGACUGCUUUGGCUAUUUGAGGUCUUUUGUGGUUCCAUACAAAGUUUAGGAUUGUGUGUUCUAGCUCUGUGAAAAGUGCUGUUGGUAUUUUGAUAGGGAUCGCAUUAAAUAUGUAGGUUGCUUCGGGUAUUGUAACCAUUUUAACAAUAUUUGUUCUUCCAAUCCAUGAGCAUGGAAUGUCCCCAUUUCUUUGUGUCAUCAUCAGUUUUCAUCAGUGCCCCAGCUGUGUGGUUUUCAUAUAUGGCCUUUAUUAUGGUGAGGUAUGUUCCCUCUAAAUCUACUUUGUUGAGCGAUUUUAUCAUGAAUGGAUGUUAUAUUUUGUCAAACACUUUUCCUACAUCUAUUGAAAUGAUCACAUGGUUCUUAUCCUUUCUCUUAUUGACAUGAUGCAUCACGUUGAUUGACUUGUGAAUAUUGAACCACCCUUGCAACUCAGGAAUAAAUCCCACUUGAUCAUGGUGGGUGACUUUUUUUUAACAUAUCGUUGGAUUCAGUUUGUAUUAUGUUGAGGAUUUUUUGUUCUUUUUUUUAAAUUUUAAUGUUUAUUUAUUUUAGAGAGAGAGAGACAGAGUGCAAGCAGUGGAGAGGCAGAGAGAGGGAAACACAGAAUCCGAGGCAGGCUCCAGGCUCUGAGCUGUCAGCACAGAGUCUGAGGUGGGGCUCAAACCCAUGAGCUGUGAGAUCAUGACCUAAGCCGAAGUCAGAUGCUUACCCAAUUUAGCCACCCAGGCACCCCAAUAUUGGCCUGUAAUUCUUAAAAAAUUUUUUUUAAAUGUUUAUUUGAGAGAGAGAGAGAGAGAGAGAGAGAGAGAGAGCGAGCAUGAGAAGGGGAGGGGCAAAUAGAAAGGGAGACACAGAAUCUGAAGUAGGCUCCAGGCUCUGAGCUGUCAGCACAGAGCAUGACGUGGAGUUCAAACUCACAAACUAUGAGAUCAUGACCUGAGCUGAAAUCAGAUGCUUAACUGACUGAGCCACCCAGGCAUCCCUAUAGUUCUCUUUUUUUGUGGUGUCCUUAUCUGGCUUUGGUAUUAAGGUAAUGCUGGCCUCAUAAAAUGAAUUUAGAAGGUUUCCUUUCUCUUUUCCUUUUUUUUUUUUUAAUGUUUAUUUUUGAGAGACAGUGCAUGCACACACAAGCAGGGGAGGGGAAGAGAGAGUGGGAGACAGGAUCUGAAGCAGGCUCCCCACUGACAGCAGACAUCCUGAUGCGGGGCUCAAACUAACCCCAAGAUCAUGACCUGAGCCAAAAUCAGAUACUCAACCAGCUAAGCCACCGAGGUGACCCUCUUUUUUACUCCUUGGAAUAGUUUGAGAAAAGAGGUACUAAGUCUUCUUUAAAUGUUUGGUAGAAUUUGCCUGUGAAGCCAUCUGGUCCUGGACUUUUGGAUGUUGAAAGUUUUUUGAUAAUUGAUUCAAUUUCUUUGCUGGGAAUUGGUCUGUUGAAAUUUUCUAUUUCCUGUUUCAGUUUUGGUAAGUUGUGUGUUUCUAGGAAUUUAUACAUUUCUUCUAGGUUGUCCAAUUUGUUGGCAUAUAGUUUUUCAAAAUAUUCUAUUAAUUGUUUGUAUUUCUGUGGGUUUUGUUGCUAUUUCUCUUCUCUCGUUUGUAAUUUUAUUUAUUUGGGUCCUUUCUCUUUUUUUCUUAAUAAGCCUGGCUAGAGGUUUAUCAAUUUUAUUGAUUUUUUUUCCCAAAGAACCAGUUCCUGGUUUCAUUAAUCUCUUCUAUUGUUUUUUGGUUUUUUUUGUUUAUUUUUUGUGUGUGUGUGUGUGUGUGUGUGUGUGUGUGUGUGUACGUGUGUGUGUGUGUGUGUGUGCGUGUGUGUGUGUUAGGUUCUAUAUCAUUUAUUUCUGCUCUAAUCUUUAUUACUUCCUUCCUUCUGCUGGUUUUAGCAGCAAAAGGUGUUCUGCUUUUUCUAGCUCCUUUAGGUCUAAGGUUAGGUUGUUUAUUUGAGAUUUUUCUUCCUUGUUGAGGUAGGUCUAUAUUGCUAUAAACUUUCCUCUUAGCCACUUUUGCUGCAUCCCAAAGUUUUUGAACUGUUGUGUUUUCAUCUUCAUUUGUUUCCAUGUACUUUUUUAAUUUCUUCUUUUAUUUCUUGGUUGACCCGUUCAUUGUUUAGCAGCAUGUUAUUUAACCUCCAUGUAUUUGUGGUCUUUCCAGAUUUUUUACUGUGGUUGACUUCAAGUUUCAUAGCAUUGUGGUCAAAAAAGAUGCAUGGUAUGACUUUGUUCUCUUUGAAUUUGUUGAUGCUUGUUUUGUGGCCUGAUACAUAAUCUGUUCUGGAGAAUGUUCCAUGUACACUUGAAAAGAAUGUGUAGUCUGCUGUUAUAGGAUGGAAUGUCCUGAAUGUAUCUGUUAAAUCCACCUGGUCCACUGUGUCAUUCAAAGCCACUGUUUCCUUGUUGAUUUUCUGUUUAGAUAAUAUGUCCAUUGAUGUAAAUGGGGUGUUAAAAUCUCCUAUUAUCGUAUUAUUAAUGAUUAAUUCCUUUAUGUUGGUUAUUAACCGUUUUGCAUAUUUGGGUGCUCCCAAGUUGGAUGCAAAAAUAAUUUAUUGUUAUAUCUUCUUGUUGGAUUGUCGCCUUUAUUAUCAUAUAGUGUCCUUCUUUGUCUCUUGUUACUGUCUUUAUUUCAAAGUCUCUUUUGCUGUUAAAAAUAUUGCUACUCUGGUUUUCUUUUGACAUUCAUUUGCAUGAUAGACAUUUCUUCAUUCCCUCACUUUCAACCUGCAGGUGUCUAUAGGUCUAAAAUGAGUCUCUUGUAGGCAGCAUACAGAGGAGCCUUGUUUUUUUUAUCCAUUCUGUCACCUAUGUGUUUUGAUUGGAGGAUUUAGUCUAUUUACGCUUAAAGUAAUUAUUGAUAGACCUGUAUUUAUUGUCAAUUUAUUACUUAUUUUGUGUGUUUUUUUUCUGAAGAUUUUCUAUGAUCCUUUCUUAUCUUUCAUGAUUUUCUGGUUUUCUUUAGUAAUAUAUUUGGAUUUAUUUCUCUUUAUUCUUUGCAUAUCAAUUAGUGGUUUUCGAUUUGUGGUUACCAUUGGGUUUGUAUAUAACCUCUUCUGCAUAUAGCAGUGUAUAUUAAGUUGAUGGUCAUUUCAGUUUGAACCCAUUCUUUACUCCUGUUCUCCUCACAUUUUAGGUAUAUAGUGUCUAUUUUACAUCCUUUUGAGUUCCUUGACUGAUUUUUUACAGAAAUAUUCUUUUUUACUGUUUUGUGUUUCCUAUCUUUAUACUGUCACUUCAAGUCUCUCCUUUCCACUCAAAGAGCCCCCUUUAAUAUUUUUGUCUAUGGUGUAAGAGAGCAGUCCACUUCAUUCUUUUGCACAUAGCUGUCCAGUUGUCCUGACACCAUUUGUGCAAGCUACUUUUUCCCAUUUCAUAUUCUUUCCUCCUCUAUUUUUUUAUUUCAUUUUAUUUUAUUUUAUUUUAUUUUAUUUUUUUAAUUUUUUUUAACGUUUAUUAUUGAGAGAGAGAGAGACAGAGCAUGAGCACGGGAGGGACAGAGAGAGGGGGAGACGCAGAAUCUGAAGCAGGCUCCAGGCUCUGAGCUAUCAGCACGGAGCCUGACGCGGGGCUUGAACUCACAAACUGUGAGAUCGUGACCUGAGCCGAAGUCAGACGCUUAACCGACUGAGCUACCCAGGCACCCCAUCCUCCUCUAUUUUUUUAACCAUCGUUUUAUUUCCCACCCUUUUCCAAAAGAUCUUAAUGUGACCAGGAGUGCAAAGGAAUGGGAAUAUUCCAGAGCUGCUUUAAGAGAGACGAACCUAUAGCUUUCAAAGAAACGUCUAUUUCUUGUUGUGUUCCGUACGUCAUACAACAGCCCUGUGAAACUGAAUUAGGAAAUUCAGAGUCUUAAAAAAAAAAAGUGCUCUCUAGAAACCCUCUGUCAUCCUUUACAACCUAACCGAUCCCUUUUGGUCUUAAUGUGUUUCUAUGAGUUCUGACCUUUCUGGUAAUCAACAUGGAUAUGCCAUAUCCUGGAAACAGACUGGGAAUGUUGUUUGACAUGUGGAUUAGGCUGCAGUGACAGUGUGGUCUGUCAGAUAGUCCACAAAACACAGCUACCUGUAGAAAAUGAACUCCCAAGUAGCUAUAUCUUCUCUCCUAGUGAACACAGAACUGUCUCAUUUCUGAGCGAAAACACAGCAGAAAAGGAAGACUCGGCAUGCCGCUUCUCAGGCCGUAUCCUUAUUUCCAUGUCACUCCAGUCGACAAUUCCCAGGACAACACAAUCCACUAUCUCGACAAGCAAAUAAAAAGGUACAAGAAAUAAAGAAAUAAUCCUUCUCAGUAUCUUUUCUCAAGGUCUUUCUCCCAGAACAACUUUCUUCUCUCCAGAAGCCAGCUCCAAGGCCCUGGUUCAUUGGCAGUAUGUAUUUUCAGUUGGCAAAAAAUGUGAAAAGGAAUCAUGCUGAACUUAGCUUCCCCAAAACUGAAUUCAACUUGAUGUCAAACUCCUACUAGGGCUUGUAAAAGCUGCACUGGUGCCGGCAUCUGUAGUUAGAGAAAAGAGACAGCUGUAAAAAACAUCUUCUCACCCAAAGAUAAUUUGGGAAAGGUCAUUUUAUUACAUGAUUUAUUUAUAUUCUUUCUCCACGGUACACAGAGUUCUGAUGGGUACACAGAGCUGAGAGGAGGAGAAACAUUGAAAGAAACCCUUAAGGCCCACCAGUGGUAGGCAUCUUAUGGGCCAAGGAGACGUCUGGGGUACAUCCUUUAACUAAAAUAGCCUUCAAGUCAAUGCAGUCCUUCCGUGUCAGUCAAAUGAAAAGGAAAGUUCUACCAUAAGACCCAUGUUCUCCCCAAUUGUCUGAGGCAUCAUCAGUAAGAAACAUGAUUAGCAGAUCUUGCUUUUAUAGUCACCAAGAACAACCAAGAUAGUUUUCCCCUCUGAAAAGAAAAAAAAAUGUCAAGUUAAUCAAAUUUCCAAUGGUUCAUCUUCUUUACACAUUGUGUUGGCAUGUUAACGGGCAUAAAUUUUCUCUUCUGGAUUUCUUUGCCUGGAGAAGCAUGUGAUAAUUACAUUCUAAACAGACCUACAUAGUUAAUAUGGAAAGCUGAAUAUCUCUUUAAAUGCAAACAGAUGGGCAGUUUUGUUUAUCUUCACUUGGCUCUAUGACUGUGUCCUAAACACGCAGGCAGGAUUUUUUAAUACCAAGUUUAUAAUGGUGACAAGUAGGAUUUACUGGAGAAAUACUUUUUGACCAUAUAUUUGAUUUAACCUCCCCCUGAAAUGGAGUCCAAGCUAAACGUUUCUGGGUUUUGUAUUUUUGUUUUCUGUUUAAGCAUUACUCCUCUCUGUUUAUUGCCGGCAUGUCCCAGACGCUGGGGUCAGGUGUUUGAAAAUGAGAACCAAAUAGUUUUUAUUCUUGCCCUCAGAGUGUAGCCAGUACUGUGGCUUUGUUAAGCUUCUUGUUUCCCUUGCUAAAAAGUACUUUAAAGAAAUGCAGCGAAAGAGCCAAAGAGAAGGCGAAGGUAAAGAAUGUGACUUGCUUUCCAUGAUUUCCUUCAACCCAACCAGUUAGGCAUUCCUGUUUUUUGCUUUUACAAAUGUUUACAUAGGUAGCAACUUUCAGCGUCCUCUAGCCAAUUGUAAGUUUUCUGAUAGGGCAGACUUUAUCGUCCUUUCUUCAAAACUGGCUUACGGGGGAAAGCUGUGGUGAGGAUCGUAUUCUCUAAUAAUGUCUGUGGCUGUGUUUGACCGAUUUGCUUCUGAGACGAUGAAGUAUGAUGUCUCUAUGGAAUUCCAUUUGAAAGAGAUUUAAAAAUUAAACAUCAUGAAUAUUCAGUAAAGCUGCCUGGAAGUUUAGCUCUAAGUGACUUAAUCACUUUCUCUGCAGUUUUCGUUAAAGAAGCCAUUGUUGGAACUAGGAAAGGUGUUUUCUUUUGUUUUAUAUAGAAAACCCUUAAAGUUAAUUAGCAAUGCUAUGUGAACCAUUUCCUUGAAAUGUUGAAUUUUAAUGCCCCUCAAAAUACGAGUCACCCUAGCAAGGCCACGGCCCCGCUAUAGGAGCCAAGGUUAUUUCUUUUUUCUUUUUUUUUUUUUUAAUUUUUUUUUCAACGUUUUUUAUUUAUUUUUGGGACAGAGAGAGACAGAGCAUGAACGGGGGAGGGGCAGAGAGACAGGGAGACACAGAAUCGGAAACAGGCUCCAGGCUCCGAGCCAUCAGCCCAGAGCCUGACGCGGGGCUGGAACCCAUGGAGCGCGAGAUCGUGACCUGGCUGAAGUCGGACGCUUAACCGACUGCGCCACCCAGGCGCCCCCAAGGUUAUUUCUUAAUGCCAUCUCUCUGCUUGCAUGCACAUUAGUUUCCAAAGAACACAAGGCCAAUACAGAAUUGAUCAGUACUAAGUUCAUUUUGUUCUUUUUUUGUUCUGUGUUACAAAGAGAAUCUCAAAUUAUAAAACGUCCCAUUUAAAAUUAAGAGGACCAUCUCCAAAGUUAGAAAAGAAGUAAUAAUGUAGGAGAGGUAAUGUGUUCAGAAAAAUUACCCAAAAGUGACAUAAGGCAAAAACUUUACUAUUUGCUCCUUCAAAGUUGUAUCAGUUGUUCUAUCUAGCCCACCUUAAUACAUUAAAAAAAAAAACAAAAACAAAAACAAAAACAAACAAGAUAGCAACAAUCUCAAAAACUAACGGGAAAAUUAUUUAGAUUACUGAACGUAUGCAUACUUUGUAAAACAAGUAAGAAUGUCAAGACUGAGGCCACUGCUAUAGGCUCUGAGCUUUGAGUUGUCCAUUGCAUUAGUCAGACCACCUUUAAUUGAAUUAAAUUAAAUUAAAUUAAACUUGGCCACAAUGGGUCAAGUCCAAAGGCAGGAGGUCUUAUACCAAGUUGUUCCCUAUGGUGGGUAGUGAGAUUUCCCACCUAUAAUCCAUGCAUGACAUAGCAACUAAUUAAAAUCCAAUCAACUAGAGAUGUCACUAGUUAAUGAACAUUCAAGAAUAAUAACACAUUACAUGUAGUCAGCAUCUCUUAGAAGUCUCAGUACCCCAACUUUGGAAGGGAGAUAUUGUUAUUCUCAUUUUGCAAAUAGGAAUAUAGAUGCAUGGAGAGGCCAAACAGCUAUUUCACUGUAUAGCAUCCAGAGCUGGGAUUGAAAGUCAAGACUGUUGUGAGCUGGGAACGCCACUUAGUUUUAGUUACAGUUUCAAUAUGUACCAGUUGAAUAACCUCGAGGAAGUCACUUAACUUUUCUGAGCCUCAGUUUGUCCAUCUUUACUAAGGAGAAAACAAGCACUAACUCACUGUUGGGAGCAUUAAGGAGACCAUUCACUCACUUAAAGCAUUUUAGCACAGAGGCUAGCCCACAGUAAGUACUCGGUCAACCUACUCUGGACACAAAAAGAAAAAUGAGAUUCUAAUACAAAGUUGAUUUCCCAAGAGUCCUCCAAUGUGUUCAAGGAGAGAUACACAAACUACUGAGUGUUCAACUCAAUCGCCAUUCUCCACAAGGGUAAAUUACAGUGGGAACUCAUGUAGAAAAUGAUGAGUUAGAGGCAUAGGGUGGCAUAUGAGACAAAAAGAAACAUAUGAUGCAUCAUGUUUACUGUGAUUAACAAGGCAAGAAGGUGAACGUACACUUCAGAAAGCUCUUGAACGACAGCAGUGAGACAGUAAACCCAUUUCGUCAGUCUUCAGUUAGCUUAAAAAAUCAAUGCUCAUUCUGGUUUAUAUAAGUUAUAUAUGUUUCAAUAGGAAUUUUUUUUUUUAAAUACAAGGUGCUUAAAAACAACUCAAAAGUAAAAUUUCAAGACUCUUUGAGAACAUUCAGAAUUCCCUUUUUAACUUUCUUCUUCUGGACUGUAAUGAUUUAGGGUGAACUUUAUUUGACCUUCCAAUAAAGGCUUCAGUUAUUUGAGGGAACAAGAAAGAUGGGAAGAUGAAAGAAAUCGGGUCGCCCAAGUUGCCAGGGCUGGCAAAGUGAUUCCAAAUUCAGAAUCCUUGUGCCUUGAGCCCCUUUCAGAAACAGGCUCCUGGCAAAUCCAGGGCAGAACUCCAAGCCAUUGGCAGGCCAGUUUCAGUACAAAGCAAGCCAAAUGUAACAUAACUGCCUAGAUUCUGGUUCUUUGGAGGUGUUAACUCCAUCUAUGGAUUGUGAAAGUCCUUAGGAUUUAUCAGUGAGGGGCUUUUAAUGUAAGAGAGUUGAAAAUGGGCAGAUGCAGCCAGAAAUGCAUAAGCAAUGCAUUUUUCUUUUCCUUUUUCUUUUUAAUGCUUAUUUAUUUUUGAGACAGAGACAGAGUAUGAACAGGGAGGGGCAGAGAGAGAGAGGGAGACACAGAAUCUGAAACAGGCUCCAGGCUCUGAGCUGUCAGAACAGAGCCUGACGCGGGGCUCAAACCCAUGAACUGUGAGAUCAUGACCUGAGCUGAAGUCGGAUGCUUAACCAACAGAGCCACCCAGGCACCCCAGCAAUGCAUUUUUCUAUGAUACAAUGUAUCUGUCCCCUUCUGAACAAGGUACACGAGGGACCAUUAGAGGAUCCCCUUUUUUAAAAAUCUCAAUCUUUUCAUAAAUAGCUUAUCUGAAACAAAUCAAUACAAAUCCUCCUCGCAUCAUUUUAUCAUAAAGACCAUGUAUUUCCUUUCUUUUUUUUUUUAAAGGUCACACCGGUCUAUUUCCUUUAUGAGAGAUCUCUUUGGGAGGUUCACUGCUAACCAAUUAAAACCUAAUCACCUUGGUACACUAGAAUUUCUUUAUCAGAAGCCUUUCUUACCCAUUAAGAGUACUACAGUUUGGCAUUUGAGAACAGUUCAUUCUGGGCUGUCUGCAAAGAAGAAAGGGGAUGAGAACCAUUUUCAAGGGCUUUUCUCGUGACAUUUACUCCUCAGCUCUGCAGGAGAACACGUCAGCUCUCUCAGUCCACAGCUGCCUGUACGUCCGUCCUGACUGCAUUGCCCAGGGACUGUGUGCUCAGUUCUCAAAGGGGCCAUCAGUCUGAGAGCUGGAUGGGAGCCACCAGUGGGCAACGGUCUGGAAACAGACCAGUCCCUUCCUGUUCCUCAUAGCAAAAAAAGUCAAACAAGAUUGAUGGAGGGAAGGGUAGGAGAAACGAAAGUGUUAGGAAAAAUACUCCCAAAUUUGGAAAUAAGGCAAAAAGAAUACCACGAGCCGUUUCAAAGUCAUACUAACUGUUCUAAUUAGCCCCCUAAAGGUCAUUUGACGCUCCAGAACUGCGCUAAUAUAGUUGCCGAGAGCCACAUAUGGGCCCUUUAAGUUAAAUCCGAAUUAAAAUUAAAUAAAAAGCUUUUGUACAAUGAAGGAAAUCGUCAACAAAAUAAAAGGCAACCUACUGAAUGGGAGAAGUUAUUUGCAAAUGAUAUUGUAAUAAGGGGUUAAUAUCCAAAAUAUAUAAAGAACUUCUACAACUCAACACCAAAAAAAAAAAACAACAACAACAACAACCAAACAACAAAAAACAAAACCCUGAUUAAAAAUUGGUCAGAGGACCUCAAUAGACAUUUUUCAAAGAAGACAUACAGAUGGCCAACGUCUGUUAGCCAUGAAUGGAUGCUCAACAUCACCAAUCAUCAGAGAUAUGCGAAUAAAAACCACAAUGAGCUAUCACCUCAUGCCUGUCAGAAUGGCUAGCAUCAAAAAGAAAAGAAACAACAAAUGUUGGCAAAGAUGUGGAGGAAAAGGAACCCUCGUGCACUGUUGGUGGGAAUGUAAACGAGUGCAACCAUUGUGAAAAACAGCAUGGCGUUUCUACCAAAAAUUAAAAAUAGAAAUACUAUAUGAUCUAGUAAUUCCCCUGCUGGGUAUUUGCCCAAAGAAAAUGGAAUCAUGAAUUUGAAAAGUUAUAUGCACCCUUAUGUUUAGUGCAGCAUUACUUACAACAGCCAUGAUAUGGAAGCACCCAUAUAUUGAUGGAAGUGUCCGUCAACAGAUGAAUGGAUAAAGAAGAUAUGUAUAUGAAUGAUACACACACACACACACACACACACACACACACAAUGGUAGGAAUGAGAUCUUACCAUUUGCAACAACACAGAUGGAACUAGAGGGUAUUAUGCUAAGUGAAAUAAGUUAAAGAAAGACAAAUACUGUACGAUUUCACUUAUAUGUAGAAUCUAAAACACAACACAAAUGAACAAGGAAACAAAAAAGCCAAACAGUGGUAAAUACAGAGAACAGACUGGUGGUUGCCAAAAGGGAGGCAGGUGUGUCUGUGGGCAAAAUAGAUAAGAGAAUAAAGAUGUAAAAACUUCCAGAUAUAAAAUAAAUAAGUCACAGAGUUGAAAAGUACAGCAUAGGGAAUAGAGUCAAUAAUAUUGUAAUAAUGUUGUAUGAUGACAGACAGUGACUACAUUUACCGUAAACACUGAGUGAUGUAGAGAACUAUCUAAUCAAUAUAUGGUGCAUCUUAAACUAAUCUAAUAUUGUAUGUCAACUAUACUUCAAUAAAUAACUCAAUAAAAUUUAAAAGUCGUUUCUUCAGUUAUUCUAACCACAUUUCAAGAGUUCAAUGGCUACAAGAGGCUAGUGGCUGCAUACUGAACUGUGCAGAUAAAGAACAUUUCCAUCAUUGCAGAAAGUUCUAUUGGGUAGCUGUUCUAAGGAAAGGUAAAUUUGUGUUAAAAUUUACUAUUAAUUAGAGCUUAGACCAUAAAGUUGGAUGUCAACUGGUAGAAAACUGAUAAGUUGCAAAGAGUUUUUGUUUCUUAGAGAUGCAAAUAAUUUUUGCCCAGAAGAUAACUCCACAAGUUCUGGUUUUAUUACCCUGAAGGAAAUUAAUCAGUUUUGUAUAUACAUUAGUUAUUUUGUUCCAGCAUUGUUUAACUGAAUAAAUAUGUAUCAGUCUCUUACAUCCUCCUUUUGAACCAGUUUUGUCUUCCUGCUGUGUCUCUUGGUUACUGAAUUAGAGAAAUCCUUAACAUAUGCCCAUUAUAUAUUUUGGAGUAUUAUAUUUCUAACUUUUAGAGAACUGUAACAAAGGGAUUGAACAGAUGCACCUAGUGAGAAUUUGAUUUAAAUAGGGUCUAAAUUAAAUAUGGGGCAGAUUGUUCUCUUGGCAAAAUUUAUUGUAAGUGCUUCUCAGCUUUUCCAACAAUACAGUAGCACAGCAGAGAGAUUAGAGCCUACGCUUUGAGGAUCUUUGUCAAGGUCCAUAGAGGUCACUGCCAGGAUAAUACACAAGAAGGAUGUAGAAGCAAAAUAGAAGAGAAAAAGCUGAGGAAGAUUGAAACUUUCCCCCUUUUUUAUUUUGUGUAAUAUUGCAUGGUUUUAUUUUUAAUUAAUGAGUACACAGAACUACAUAAUUAAAAAUAAAAAUUAAAAAAUGCAUAAGCAGGGAGGCAAUUUAUCAUUAAAUCAGCACUCUACCACUUACUAGUGUGUCCUUAGGCAAGUGAUCUAAUUUCUCUGAGCCUUGGUUUACUCAUCUGUGAAAUGGAAAUAAUAACAAGUAGAUCAUAGGACCGGUGUGAUGAUCAGAUUAGAUGAAUUGUGACACAGAGUUAGGACUCAAUAAAUGUUAGCUAGAAUUAUUAUCACCCCUGGCAGUUUAGGAACAUUCCUUAGAGUUACUGAGAAAGCAACAUCUAAUACCUCUCAUCUGAUUUUGAAAAUUCAUGGGAAUACUGCUGCCUCAUCCAUAAUAUAUUUCAUUUUAAUUCGAUCAUAAUUUCACCUCACAUUCUUGAGUAAAGAUACUUCACUUUGAACUUGACUUUACCUGUUCUUGGUGAGCUCAGUGUAUCAUUAGGAGUAUGCAUACCCCGGAUGGGAAAACAUGGCAUCUAUGGUAGACAAUAGUUUCCCUGAAGACUCGUAGGAAAAACCAUUAUACCUAAUUUUAGUUGACUUUGAGAAAUCAAGAGUGUCAGAGGAAAGGUACAAAUACACAAAUAUACACAUGCCCCUACCACCACCAAUAGCACUACCCGAACAAUGCCCAAACAACCCAAAACUUAUUAGAACUUGCAAUUUGGACAAUUAUUUUUGGUGAAGGAAAAGAAGAAAGAACAAAGAUGUCACAUAUGACAUAUCACACCAACUUCCCUCCACCCCGUGCCCCAACCCCGUCCUUACUCAUUUCAUUUUCUCUUCCUGGUAGCUGAAUACGUAGAUUUGCAGAAAUUUACGUUCCAGAAUAGAGAGAAGCCCAGAGAAGGAAAGCUUAUAAGCAAGUGUGUUGGCAACAAAGAACCAAUCUUAAGAAGGUGGGAACCCAAAGUAGCCCAAUCUCCCUGGGAGAAUGGAAAUUCCUCCUCCUCCGCCCCAAAGGAGUCUAACCCAGGUUCUGUUGCCCUGCCUGUGGCAGAUGGUGAGAUGGUGAGAUGGUUAUGGGUGCCUGUGGAUUCCUCAAAGGGAAGUUAGGAGAGAAGGAAAGAUAGAUACUAAGUCUUUUGAUCUCAUGACAAUUAACCGUGAAGAUGUUUGUCGCAAGGAUUAAGCAAAAAGGAGUUUUUGCUAAAAGAGACCCCUUGUUCACAUUUAUCCAAUGCCCUUAAAGGAUUAUUUAAUAUAUUUUUAUUAAUAUUCAGUAUUUAUAAAAUUGAUAUUUAAUAUUAUUAUUUAAACAAUCAUUUCCUUUGGACUUAAACAGGCUUUAGCUGUAAGUGCCCUAUAAGAGGUUUCUGCCCCCCUGCAGCGUAUUACCUUGAGUAACUUUCAGGGACGGUCAGUCCUCACUUCCUAGGUAUCUUUGUGAACGGUGCUUAGUAGAGUACAUGAGGGCAUGGAAAGCCAGUAAGCAUUAGCUCCCAUUGUGAUGGCUACUGAACUAACCCUGGGGUCACCCUAAGAAGGCUAACUCUUAGUAUUUCUUAAACUUACUAAGGAAAAGCCAGUUGUGUGGUUUAUCAGGAUCCUGGCAAUAAAAAGGAUGCACCCCCAACCCUGAGGUUGGUUGUAAUGAGAAGGUGCUCAUGAUGGGAGGUGUGGAUGCAGAGAAACAAGAGGUGGCAAGGCACUAGACGACUAGCAAAACGAAGUAGUUAUGACUGUUUUUUUUAUGGCCUGAAUGCUGUAUGCCCCCAAAUGCAUACGUUAAAACCCUAACUCUCGACAAUGGUAUUAGGAGGUGGGGCCUUUAGGAGGUAAUUAGGUCACAAGGGUGGAGCUUUCAUGAGUGGGAUUGCUGCCUUUCUAAAAAAAUUUUUUUAAUGUUUAUUUUUGAAGGAGAGACAGAGCAUGAGUGCGGGAAGGGCAGAGAGAGAGGGAGACACAGAAUCUGAGCUGUCAGCACAGUGCCCAACGCGGGCCCAAACUCACAAACCGCUAGAUCAUGACCUCAGCCGAAGUUGGACACUUAACUGAGUCACCCAGGCGCCCCAUGGGAUUGCUGCCUUUCUAAGAGGAGACAGGAAAACUGAUUUCUCUCUCCACUCUCUGCCCUAGGAGGAUGCAAAGAAAAGAGGUCCAUCUGCCAACCAGGAAGUAUUCCCUCACCACACGCCAGAUCUGCCAGUGCCUUGAUCUUGGAUUUCCCAACCUCCAGAGCUGUGGGAAAAUAAAUUUCUUACUUAGGAUGUUUAGGCCAUCCAGUCUAUAGUCAUUUGUUAGAGCAGUCCAAGCUGACUAAGACAACUGUCCUUUGGGCUGAAGAGAUAAGUGGUAGCCUUAGUCACUGCCAGGGGGGAAAUGACAAAACACUAAGGGAGGAGGGAAGACAUACCCCGACUUCUUUCUCUCCUGCCCCCUGACUUCCUUGUCGGUAUCACUCUCUAGCCGAAUCCAACUUGAAGCUAGCUGGCCAAGGAGCCCCAAAUGCAGCCUAGAGGCGGCCCCCUGUGCCAGAGAUGGGGAAACAAGAAUGCAGGGGGAAGAGAGACAGAGAAUAACCAUGUUCUAAGACUGCAGUCACAUACAUGGUUAAUUUUCCUCUUCAUUCCUGAUGGUUGAAAUUCACUUUCCAGAAGAGGCCCACCCUGGCCUUCUGUCCCUAGCUCUGGCAACUUCCUUCUCUUCAUUAGUAAAUGCUGCCAUUAAAACAACAACCUAAGCAAGUCAGAGGAUAUACAAAGACAACUUGUGCUACUUAAUUUCAAAGCGCCAGCUCUUUGAACAGCAUUAAAGUCUGUUUCUCAUAGAGGGCAAAUUAGUUAAUUUCAAAUGUGCUCUGUGAAUAUCAAGAGACCACCCAAAUGUUUACUUAUUUUAGGCCCGUCCUCUUAGUAGGUUAAAAGAAUCCAUUUGCUCUGCGAGAAAGAAGGGGUCGGCAUUCAUGCAUAUAAAUUGUCUAAAUGAAGGGUCAGCUCUAUAUUAAAACAACAUUAAUUAUUCAUUUAGCAGAGGAGAAAAAUUUACCUAUCACAGAAAACCCUUAGGGUGACAUUCUUUUCUACAAGCCCGCUUCUAAACCAAAUAACAUCUCAAAUACUCCUCUUAUUCAGCCUCGCUUCCUGGAAAUGAGAAAAGGCAUGGAAAGAAAAACAACUCCGUGCUUUAUAGUCGCACGGUUGGUAUAAGCAAGUUCAUUUACACCAGGAGCUUAGAUCCAGAAUUCCAGAGCUGAAGAAAUGUGCGCUGAAAAAUCCCUUGACUGUUACUCUCUAAUAAAGCUCAAACUUUGGAAAAAAAUCAGUGGGGUCUGUUCCAGGCCUGGGAUUCUGGGGACUAGCAGAGGAGGACCCCAGAGGAGGUGUCUAACACCUGGCUGAGUUACAAGUCCCCCUUCCUCUCUCUGCCCCCACUCCCCCAGGGACUUUCUGGAAGCAGAACAAUCAUUGUCCAAACUCAACUCACAGUUGUCCACCAAGAAAACAGUCUCUUUUUCUGCCAACUGGAAUGUUUUAGAUUUGCAACAGCAGACUGAAGGCCAGUCCUGGGGACUUGAGGAAGAAGAGUAUCCAAAGAACACAUUUUUAUUUGCUAGAAAACAAGUACCUUGUUUAUCAUAACAAAGUCAGGGAUCUGUAUCUUUCUACUCUUUUUUUUUAAUUGUUUAUUUUUGAGAGAGACAGAGACACAGAGAGACAGAGCACGAGCAGGGGAGGGGCAGAGAGAGGGAGACACAGAAUCUGAAGCAAGCAGGCUCCAGACUCUGAGCUGCCAGCACAAAGCCCGAUGUGGGGCUCGAACCCACAAACUGUGAGAUCACCACCUGAGCCGAAGUCAGACGCUUAACCAACUGAGCCACCCAGGCGCUCCUCUUUCUAGUCUUGAUCUGGAUAAAUUCACUUUGCCCCUGCUCUCAAAAUAACUAUGGACUCCUACCAAUGGCUUAAAGAAUUUUUCUUGUUGUUCUGGUUUUGAUGAAUCAAACAGCUUAAGGUGUAGCCUGUUUUUGAGAGUUCCUGUGUGAUGAACUUGACAUUGCUGAAAGCCAGGGUUGUUAAAAUUUUCAGAGUAGGAGCAUCUACCUGGAGUCACCAUAGAAGCCUUGGGGAAGGCUACCAACAUACAAAGAUCUUCCCUCUUUGCUUGCUUGCAUGGUCUGAAAUUCAACCUUUAGAAGUGAUUUCUUUGGAUCUUUCAUUGUCUUGUUUUCUAGAAGACUCAUAUUCAAAUGCAAAUACCACUAAGAAAGAUACUGUUGAAGCUGUUGAGACCCUUGGCAGUUUGGGAAACGUGGUAUAAGGCACCAAGGCAUUCCCUUUGGCUUGAAAAGAGGGCGUUGAAAAGGUGCUAAAAAUGCACCUUCUUCAGAAUUUUUUUGAAGUUUUUUUCACCAUAGCACAAAGUUCUUUCAAACGACAGGCUUUAGGUUCAGAAGUUCCUGCUUAUUAGCAAUGUGGCCUUUGGCAAAUCUCUUAAAACUUCUAGGCCUCAGUUUCACCAUCAGUGAAACGGGCCAAUAACAUUCUAUUAAGUAUUUUUGUGGGUCUCACAUGAGAUAACUCGUAUCAAGUUACUAACAUGGCACUUAGAACAUAGUAGGUGUUCAGUAAGUGGAAAAUGGUGAUGACAAUCGCAUCUGCUCCCUACAAACAGAUGAAUCAGGAAAAACAUUUAAAUGUGUACAGAGUAGGGAAAAAUAAGGAAGAAGCAGAUGGUUGGAACAUUUCAAUGGCAGCUGGCUCUCUGUUUCACUCAUGCACUGCCUCUGUCUCUUGCUGGGAAGAGGGAGGUUUUAUAAAGGAACUGUCACUGCUUUCCGUAGAGCUGAUUUGACUCAGAGAAGGAGACACAGGGGAAACCAUAAAUAGAUGCAGCUGUCUGAUUCCUCAGGUCCAUCCCUGGGAGAAUAUUUACUCAGCUCCAAGGAAACAGUUUUAUUUGGCAGAUUAUGGUUUUAAAGUUUUUUUUGCAUCUGAAUGCUAACACUUCCUCUCUCUCCAGCUAACUGCUUUGUAACCUUUAUAAUGUGGCCUUGUAAAUAACCUUUUCUGCGGCUACCAGCCCGCUUGAAAUUUAACUAGCCAGAUGAAAGCCUAUCUCACACUGCAUCGCCUCCUAUAGUGAUGCAACAAUAGUCAGGGAAGACAGGGCAAAACAAAACAGAACAGGACGUAAUGGAUUGGGGGUCCAAUUGAGGCAUGCAGGUUUUAGUUUGAUGAUAAUCCUAAUAUGCUCAGUACAUGAGUUUGCAAUGGAAGGAAAAUGGCGUGGAUAAAGGUUUAGUCCUCAUGAAGAGGUCUUGAAAACCAUUCUGCUAAUUUUAAGUGAUGGGAAUCAUUUCAAGGGCACGUUUUCUUUGUGUACCAACCUGAUGGCCUGAUUUUCUGGUGGUAUGUUUAUCAUCCUAAAAAAGAAAACCCGUUUCAUUGAACAAGUAAUGCAUGUUUCCAUGGGCAUAUGUGAAAUCAUGUAGGGAGAAACAGGUGCAGAACUGAGCUCUGAUGUUCACCAGUCUGCCAGCUCUGCAGUUCCCAGUGGGCACUGGGACUUUCUGAAUUUCCUGCCAUUUUUUAGUUAGUCAAGUUCCAGCCUGUAGGGACAAUGCCCUUCUUUCAAGCUGAACACAGCACUUUGCCAAUUAGCCCCUGAUGCAACACUCUGGGGUUGUUAUGUCUCAAAGGUUGUCUGGAAAGGGUUCUAGAGGCUUCAGUUCCAGAAUGUGAGACUGCACCGUGGGCAUCCUCAUAUCCAUUUCCUCCUAUCCAUCUCUGUGUGAAUUUUAAGAUGCACCUAUAGGUUCCUCCACACUCAAAUGCAAAUGAAGAUAUUCUUGGCUCCUUAAAGUCAUCAAAUAUUCCCAGACAUGUUAGAAAUCCCUUUAGGCUCACCUAAGAUUCCAAAGGAUAUGGAUCUGCAGGGCUGCUAAUUGCCAUAUCUGUAUCCCCUGGGGAUGGCAAUUCCGUCUGCGCUCUCUAGACAAAGACCAGCAACUUUCUAGCCAAUAACCCCCCCCUCCCCUUGGUCAGAUGCUACUAAUAAUAUUGCCAGUCUCCAUCCUUCCUCCCCAUCCUAGUAAUGAAAUAAAAAAAAAACACAAGUAAAUGUUACAUCUUAGAAGAGGUUGGAAGUUGCUUAAAAACAGGUAGACUAUUUUGCUCUCAUUAUCCCGAAUCCUUAUUAAUAGCACCUCCUUCACUCUCACAAACUGUCACAAUUUCAGUGGUAAAAAAACAUGAUCGCCAUGUGUUCAGAGAUUACUUGAGAAACCAAAAUAUCCCCCAUAUCAGCGAAGGCAAGGGCUUGGUUGUUAUAACAAAGAAACCUCUAAAAUACAGUCGUUGAAAGAAUAGAGAGAUUUCUGUGCCAUCUAACAGUCCCAAGACAAAGUGUCUAGGAUGGCAGUCUGUUCCCCAACAGGAUCAUUGAGGAACCAAAGUUCCUUCCCUGUUGUUGUUCCGCCAUAUCUUAGAAGGUUGAAUUUGAAGUCAAAUUAGAUUCUCCAUAUUUGAAUCAGAGUAGUAGUGGGGGUUGGAGCUAGUGGGGGUUGGAGUGAAGGGGAGGAGGGGGGAGGGAGUGCAAAGGGGAGCAUGCCCAAAGAUCAAAGGCCUAGGAGUAAAGGCAGCGCACCUGACUCCUGCCCCCAUUUCUGUUUGCAAGAGCCUAGUUACACAGCUUAGGGUCACACAGCUAGUUGAGUGGUGGAAACUGGAUUUGAACCCAGGUAUCUCAAGCUGUGGUCUUUGAGAAAAAGACACAAACAAAUAAUUACAUUACACACAAAUAAACACAUCUAUAAUAAAUUAUAUAAUAGAAAACAGGUGCCAAUAAAAUACAUUGGAAUCUGAGAAAAGUGUGCCUAACCCCUUUCCCCCCACAUGAUCAUGGAAGUCUCCAGGGUGGGCCUAAAACUCUGUGUCUUAACAUAUGAGCAGGUGAUCUCUAAGCAGCCAAGAAGGUAGAAGGGCUAGAACGUCAAGCAUCACGGAGACAGGGAUUGGGUCAGUUUUGUUGUCUUCUGCCUCCGAAGCACCUGAAACGGUAUCUUGUAUACAGUAGGCACCUAAUAAAUAGUUCUGCUAUGAACAAUGGAAUUUCAGGCAAAGUGCACAGCAGGUAUAAGGGCUAGGCACCUGGCUUGCAUUGAGUCUCUUUGACUAAUACACAGCCAGUCUUUUGAGUUCAAGAGACAUUUUCCAGCUGCUUCUUUUUUAGAAAGCUUUUUCUUUUAAUUUUUUUUAACAUUUAUUCAUUGUUGAGAGACAGGGAAAUAGGAUGUGAGCAGGGGAGGGGCAGAGAGAGAGAGGGAGACGCAGAAUCCGAAGCAGGCUCCAGGCUCUGAGCUGUCAGCACUGAGUCUGAUGCAGGCCUCAAACCCACGAACCAUGAGAUCAUGACCUGAGCUGAAGUCAGACGCCGAACUGACUGAGCCAUCCAGGUGCCCCAAGAGACAUUUUCCAGCUGCUUCUCAUGGAAACCCUUGCAGAAAUCUUGACAUGAUUUUUAAAUUUCAACUGUCCAAUGGCCAGGUCCUGUACCCUGAGCCCUGGGAUUCAAGAGCCUUUCUAACAAUCCCCUUUUGAUAAGCCUGGCUUUGGCCUCUGUGGGCUGCCCCGAGGUGCAAACAAAACAGAGAUGUGAAACUUGGGAGGCAGGCUUCUGUUGCAGUGUUCUGCCAACUCUUUUGGAUGUUCUGGAUUCUGUUCCUCGUCUCUAAGGCACCAGCUCAGAUUCUGGCCAAAGAAGGCUGAAGCUCAUGGAGUGGCAGUUCCCAGGGGAGAGAAAAGGGGAUGGAUGAGAAACUAUUACUCAAAAAGCUCACAAAAGGGUGUUCAGGCAGGUGCACUGGGUGUCAGGAAGGCAGAGGGAGAGAUUGCUACCCUUUUUCUACAGAAAUUUGGAAAACGCUAUCAAGAAAAGAGUAUGAAAUUAACCUCAUGCCCACACUGAAAGAGAAGCAGUUAAAAUAUCAGAACAGACACUUAUGUUUUCUAGGGUUACAUAGAGGCACAGGCAAUGGAAUGAGGCCUGUGUGUCUGUGCUCUCACAUAAAGGAAUAGCAGGAACGUUUUGCAUCAACCUUAAUUAUUUGUCUACCAAUUCAUUUUCAAUAGCUGCAUUUGGGGGACACCUGGGUGGCUUAGUAAGUUGAGUGUCUCUCUCUUGGUAUAGGCUCAGGUCAUGAUCCCAGGGUCAUGGGAUCAAGCCCUACGUCAGGCUCAGUGCGGAGUGUGGAGGCUGCUUGAGAUUGUCUUUCUCUUCCUCUGCCCCUUCCCUGCUCGCAUUCUCUCUCUUCUCUCUCUCUCUCAAAAAAAUAGCUGCAUUUGUUCAAAAUUGGAUUUAACCAACUGUCAAGAUAUGUUUUCAUUGAAAAAGUUUUAUUGAUUUCAUUAAACAAGUAUGGUCAGGUGGUGCUAAAUGGGCUUUGGUGUGGACUGGAGGGCAGUCUUCUGGUGCAUUCUGGCUGCAUAACCUUAAAGGGGCUUAUGUUGCCUCAUCAGUAAAAUGAGGAUGAUAAUAGUACAUACUUCACUGGUCUCUUUGCAAAGGAGCCAGUGAAGUGAUUGCUAGGAAAUUCUUGGCAUCGUACCCACAGGAAAUGGCACCCACAUGGGCAAACCUCCAUACACAUUAGCUAUAAUUAUUAGUAUAAAAACAGACAAUGCAGAAAACCAUGAAAUUUAGAAAUCACCUGCAAUCCUACCACCCAGAGAAAAUCAAAGUUAACUCUGUCGUAUUACACUUGUGCUUCCGUAACAGAUAUACACCGCGGGCAUCUUUUUCCGCUAAGUUCUCUUGCUCUGCAGUCCAUAUCAUCCUUUCUAAUGACUGCAGAACAUUCCAUUGAUGCAAAUGUACCAGGAUGUAUUCUUGAUGAAGAAGAAAAUAAAGUUAAGCCCAGCAGACCACGAGUCCUCACUUCUAUGCCUGGCCAAAUCCUCAUCGUGCACAUUUCCUAUCACCAGCAAAAAAAAAAAAACCUCACUAUAAACUCAACGCCGCAGUCAGGAAGGAUCUGUGAACUGUGCCCCAAUUUCCUAAUCAGAGCUGACCUCGAGUGUUCCAGGAUAUCUCCCUUCGCUGGCAUACUCUGCUAUUGGCUUUCAAAAGAAUGAAGAGGAGAAGGGGUCAAAUCCCACCCACCUCCGCUCUAGGACUCCUGCCGACUCAGCAAACAGGGGCAGUUCUGAAAGUGCCCCUGGGUCUGGCCAAGCAGGCACUCAGGCCCCCUUGAGAGUCACAGCCUCCUGGGGACCUGACCGGGGAGGAGGGGCCCUUGUUUACACUGCAUCCCAGACCAAACAUCUGGGGAAAUUGUGACCCCUUUCUUUCCCGCUGCUGCCUUAAAAACUGAUUUGAUUAUCUCACACGAAGAAGAAAUUUCCUUUCUCACUCUUUGUUCUGCUCUCUCCUUUCCGUCUUCCCUUCUGCUUUUUCCCCCUUUUCUCCUCCCCUCCCUCCUUUCUUUUUUUUUUUUCUUCCCUGCUCAUCCCUUCUUUCCUCUUUCUCUCUUUUCUCCUUCCAGCUUCCAUUUGUUGAGGAAAGUUUAACAAAGUGAUACAUUCUUUAUUUUCCGAGCCAGAAGGAUUUUUUGUUUGUUUGUUUUUUUGGCCAAAGAUUUAUUUGCAACUGAAAGAACGAAUGAAAUAAAUGGGCCAAAGUCCUCUUUGUUAUUCAGGCAAAAAGUCCACGGAAAGUACAGAAAGGGCUGAACUUCAUGGUGACCUCAGCAAAUAUAUUUUUGGAAAAAGAGGCCUGGAGUGUGGUUUCUACUCCUGCCCAUGUGUCUCUGGUCCUCUGCCCCAGCCCUGUCAGUGGGAGAGUCCACUCCUACAAUCAGAGGAAAGGAAGGAGUGGUGUGGACAGGGGGUCCAAACCCCCAGCUGUAUGUCUUAUUCCAAUGUGACUAGUUCUGCGCUUCCUUGCGAAUGAAUCACUGAUCAACCUAAUGCAGGAGACAAAGACCUGUGGCCUGCAAUUAAAGCCCUCAUUUCAAUCCCUACUUAUUUUCUAGGAAGGCAAUAUGAAAUAAUAGGUAAAAGCACAUUUCACGAGUCUGCUAUUUAUACACUGUGUGCCUUCCAGAAUAUGACAGCCUUUCUAAGCCAAUGGGACCCAGGGACAAGGCUGUGCGUGUAGAGGCUUAUCAGCACGGUACCUUCCUUGCUCAGACAAUUUGUAGCCACCGGGGAUUAAUACGACUCAUUCAGUUAGCUGUGAAUCUAACUCAUCAAAUUAUCAUGUAGUCCACACUUUCCACGAGGAGCCCACACCUGUGUAGGAAAUACUCUUGUUGGAAUUGAAAUGCACCAUAUCUGCAAUUUUUGACUGGUCUACCAAAAAGCAAGUCUUGAAAGAGGAAGUAAAGUGAGGCCAGCACGACCUGGACCGCUGCAAGCUCCUCGCUGCCUGUGGCUGAGCUCUCUUUCCCAAACGUUCGUGAAGGGUGUGUUUAAUAAUGGAGUUCUGAAUGCUAUAUCCAUUGCCUUCUAGCUUUUAGAACCCACAUUUCUCUCAUUUUUGAAAACUGGAAUAACAUAUUCCUGUCUCCAAUUCCCUGGCCUUGCUCCCAGUCUCUGAUUUCUCUACGACUGCUGACAGUGGUUUUGUAAUCACAUCUGCAAACCCUUUCUAUAUUCUAGAAUUUAAUCCAACUUGAACUCAUUAAGUGUCUAGUUCCCUUUUAUUGUCUCUUGUGCUAUUUCAGGCUUCACUUUUCUCUUUAAAAGCAUGUUUCCUUAAAUAUUACAUAUUAUACGUAAUAUACACGUUCAUCUGAAGAUUUCACAAAUAUGGUUAAGCAAAAUGAUGAGGCCAGAAAUCAUCAGUAAUCCUAGCACGCGAAGAUGAUAAUGGUGCUUCCAGAUCUGCAAUGCUACCUUCUCUGUGUUUCUUAGGAGAAAUAGAUACACAUGCUGCUGGGUAAAUAAAGCAUGAAGGUUUCCCAAACAAUUCUUUUUCUACAACCUUAUUUUUAAUGUUAGCAUAGGGCUUCAGUAUAGUUAAUAUGAAAUAAUUCAUUUGAGCAUUUUGGCUUUUCAGCUACUUGCUAUGUUACCAAUGCCACAGUCACAGCUUUGGUAAAAGGAGGAGGUGCUCAGUAAAUAGUUGCUGAUGCCCUUAAGUAAGGAGGCUCCAGAGGCAUGACGAUGCAGACUUGGGAGUUAGAGACACUGUCCUGAAGCUUACUAUCCCCGUGUUAUAUGGCCGGCCCCAGGCCAAUCUCCAGAUUCAUCAGGGACUCAGUUUUCCUUCAGAGAGCUCUCUCCUGGUAAACGGGGGUGACAGACAGUGGCUCCUGGAAGGAGAUCUUGUGAAGGUUAAAUAUAAAUAUAAUGCUCGUACCACAGUGCUUGGUUCUUAAGGAAUAUCCAAAAAUAAUAGCUAUUGUUGUUAACAUUUUUUGGGUUAUAUGAUUCUGUAUGGUUGAAGGUCUACGUACUUUGAAAGCAAAGAUGUUUUUAGAAGUCAGUGGUUCUCUUCAUUUAAGAAAUUUACAUUUUGAGGGGCGCCUGGGUGGCUCAGUCAGUUAAGUGGCCGACUUCGGCUCAGGUCAUGAUCUCGCGGCCCGUGAGUUCGAGCCCCGCGUCGGGCUCUGUGCUGACCGCUCGGAGCCUGGAGUCUGUUUCGGGUUCUGUGUCUCCCUCUCUCUGACCCUCCCCCGUUCAUUCUCUGUCUCUCUGUCUCAAAAAUAAAUAAACGUUAAAAAAAUUUUUUUAAAAAAAGAAAUUUACAUUUUGAACUCCAUGCGAAGUAAAGGGAAUUCAACAGUGCCGUAUAAAUACGAUCUGCAUAAGCAUUCAUGUUCAAACACUCAUUUCAUAUGGACAGUCACUUCUGCUAUGAUGGGAUGUAUAUACGUUCCUAAAAAUUAUCAUGCUAUGCAAGUAAUCUGAAAAAUACCACAGGGCUCAUGGGACAUGGGGUUAUAGCAGCGCUUCUCUAUCACUCACAAAAUCUCAAAAUCCCAUACAAUUUUACCCCUGUCCUUAGGGGACAAUUAUAAUGUCUGGAAACAUUUUUAGUUGUCACACUGGUGGGCAGUGGUAAAGAGAAGGGGGUAGGGAAAGGCCAGGGAUGUUGGUAAACAUCCUGCAGGGCACAGAACACUUCCCACAGCACAGAAUUACCCAGGCCAGUAUACGAAAGCACCGAGAUUGAGAAACCCUAGGUUAGGGACACAACACUCGAAAAUUUGUCCAGGCCUCAUUAAAGAAAAAAAGGCUAGCUAUUUCAUAAAAACAGUCACACAGCAUAAAGAAAUGGUUAAGAAAUGGUUAAGAAAUGCAUAAAUACCGCGGCAUCGGGUGGCUCAGUGGCUCAGCAUCUGACUCUUGGUUUCGGCUCAGGUCACGAUCUCGCGGUUUCUGGAGUUCGAGCCCCACCUGGGGCUUCCCUCUGACAGGGCAGAGCCAACUCGGGAUUCUCUGUCUCAGUCUCUUCGCCCCUCCCCCAGUCAUGCUGUCUCUGUCUCUCUCAAAAUAAAUAAAUAAAUAAAUAAAUAAAUAAAUAAAUAAAUAAAUAAAUAAACAAACAAACUUAAAAAAAAACUCCAAAGACAUGCAUAAAUACUGCAGUAAAUAUUGCACUUCGCCUUGAAGAAGACCUGGCGUUUGCCUCUGGAAAUGGGCGUUGGAAGGGUUGCGGCCUGUGGGCUACUGCGCAGUGGGUAGAAGCAGCAUUGCGUACAAUGGGACAGACAGUUGUAGCACCAGACGCACAUAGUGUGGCUCAUAACACCCAGGGUGGCCCGAGGUGGAUGCUGAUGUCUGGGGGGAGGGGGGCAGGGAAAUGUAUUUCACCCCAGUCCGGUUCAGCAAGUGGCAGUUUUCCGCCCUCGCCUACUCUUUCCUGGGGGAUGAAAUCAUGCAUAAGCACACAUGCAAUUCAGUUAUGUCCGAAUCGUUCCUUAACGUAUCCGUGGAGUUGGAACAAAUCCACGUUCUCAAAACCGAUUUUAUAGCAGAAUUGACUAUACACACAUAAUUGCCCUUAAAUUGAUUUAACUAAAACUACACCUCACAGCAAGAGUGAUCCUCAAAAGUGUGACAGACUUCAUUACCACAAAGACUUUUAACCUAUAGAAAUUACCAAACAGGAAUGUUCAGAGAAGCAACGAGGACCCUGGUUAAAUAAAAUUCUUUCACAUGCGGUUGUAUAUAGCACAAGACUUUUCCAUGACCUGGCAAGCGGCCUGUGCUAUUUAUAACGAAGCCUACUUUAAAUCCUGUACGAUGCUGAGAUAUUUAAGGGUGAAAUUAUAUAUGUGGGAUUUAUUUGCUUCAAAAUAAUCCAGGUGGGAAGAGUGAGUAGUGGGGCUAAGAGGAGAAAUAAUUGGCCACGAGUUUAUAAAAGAAAUUAGGAGAUGGGAACGCGGGACUUGGUUAUAAGCUUCUCCCUACUUUUGAGCAAUAUGAAGAAAGAGAACAAUAGUUAAUUUAGAAAAUUGUACGCAGUGCCUUUGCAAACAGGUUCAUAUAACUAUUGAUUGUAAAAUGGUGACACUGCUGUUUGUGGGGCUCCCGUGUAGCUAUCGUACUGAAAUAUCAUGUUAAAAAAAAAUGGGAUGUAUGGAAGGUAUUUAAAGCACGCUUCGUUACCAGAGUUCCCAAAGGACCGGCUCUUCUAAGUAGAGUACGAUGAGUAGUAAAAUCAGGUGUCAAAAGGAGAAAAUUAACACUCACAUCCAGGUCAGUGACCAGGGCCAACUACUCAGUGUUGUUUCACAAGCUGAGAAUAGUAAAAGCGUGAACAGUGGAGGUGAGGUUGACCGUGUGAAUCCAGACUGAACAAAGGAGGAUACUGUGGUGGUUAAGAGCUUGGGUGGGCCUCACAGUCUGACCUCGCUGGGGCACAUGAAUCCAAUAACUUUGAGAAGUUUUGUUGCCCUUCAAGUUUAUGAAAACUGGAUACUUGUUAUAAUGAAAAAAAAAAGCACAAGUUUUAAAGAAACAACAACAGGGAUCACCGGAGAUGAUAAAGGCACAUCAGAAUAGACUUGCCGAAGCUCCAAAGCAAUGUUGAGGUACUCUUUGGAGCAUCUGAUGAAAACCAGAAAUAAUUUGCUCAGAAAAACGCACGUAUGAAUUCACACCAACAUUUGCGUGCAACGCCCAGAGAGUCACAGACCCCCGAACAUUCCUUCAGGCACUGGGUUAAGAACCUGGAUUAGGGGCCGGUGCCAACCGUUGGUCUAGAAGCCAGAGAGUGAAGACAAGUUAAAUGCGUUCCUGUCACUGCAGCUGUUCCUCCUGACCUAUUUCUCUUGCCAGAACAGUUUCCUCCACUCUCCCAGUUCUACCCCCUUCUUCAAAGUCCCUCACUUUCCGGACGCCUUCCUCAGCCAGGGCUAUCUGCAGAAUUUCUCCUCUGAACUCAGUACGGAACUUAUCAGUGCUACUAUUUUGGUCCUUAAUCAUAUGCUCUCUUUGGAUGUUUGUCUCUGGAUACCUGUGAGUGUGUGUGUGUGUGUGUGUGUGUGUGACCUAUAUAAGUAGAUUACAAGCAACUUGUGAGCAACACCAUGCAUCACACUUCCUGGUAUAUCCUCCCAGAACCAAUGAUGUACAGAACUAACAAAUAAACAGAUGCCGUAUGUAGCUUGGAAGGAGGCACUCAUGAAAUACUUACCGGACAAAUGAAUAUCUUACUCCUUCCCUCGCUCCUUUCUCUAAUACUUCAAACUUAGCACUGUUUGCUCCUUCUGUCGAGAGCACUCUUUCCCCAGGACUCCCUAGCAAACUCCCAUUUAUGAUUUGAAUCUCAGUUCAGAAUCUUCAGGGAAGUCCUCUGACCUCACUCUACCCCCUUCCUCCCCAGCUCCAUGGCAUCGCCGCUGGAAGAUCUCUGUCAUGUUCCUACAUGCAGCACGCCCCAUAUGGCAACGAUUCCCCAUGGGUGGUCUCCCCCCGCUGCUGGGAAUAGGUGAGGCAUGGUGCCUAUGUAGUACACGGAGGGACACGUUUACUUGCUUAUGCAUUUAUUUUAAUGUGCAUUUGUAACAAUGUAACUAAGACAUCAGACCCACAAUUUCACACUGUGUAUGAUGAGGGUGAGGCUAAGUAAAGAGGAAAAAAAGAGAGAGAGAAAGAGAGAGAGAGAGAAACAGAGAGGAGGUUUAAGGAAAAGUAGUGAGCAAGUGACAACCCGCUUGUUAGGUAUGGUUUUAUGGCAAAAUUUAUGGAGGUGAGGUAUGUUUAUUCAAUGUUUUUGAGCACCAGGCUGGCAUUUGGAAAAGGCAGGUAUGUCAUAACAUCCUGUCUCUGUGUCCAUCUCUCUUCCUAGGAGGCAGCCCCAGGAGGGCGGGGAUGGAACCUAAGGCAGCUCUACACCGUCCAGAGCUGGGGCUCAGGAGUUCUUUGGCUGAAUCGGGUCAAAGAGGACUGAACUAAAAAAUUCUGUCGCAGGGGCGCCUGGGUGGCUCAGUCGGUUGAGCGACCGACUUCGGCUCAGGUCACGAUCUCACAGUCUGUGGGUUUGAGCCCCGCGUCGGGCUCUGUGCUGACAGCUCAGAGCCUGGAGCCUGUUUCAGAUUCUGUGUCUCCCUCUUUCUCUGACCCUCCCCUGUUCAUGCUCUCUCUCUGUGUCAAAAAUAAAUAAAUGUUAAAAAAAAAUUUUAAAAAAAUUUAUAAAAAAAAAAUAUUCUGUCGCAGCACCAGCUUUGCCCUCCUCAAAGCGCUAUUUUGUCUGCUCCCUGGAACAGAGGGAAGGCACAAUGAUAGGCCAGAACACCACAGCUCUUUUUUCUCCCCCCGACAUGUCCCCAAGUAGACCAGACAGACCACUGUAGGAGCCCAUCCUAAUAAAAUCCCACCAGAUGCCUUCGUUUGCUUCAACCUUCUUCCUGCGUUUUCUAGGCAGCAUGAAAGCCUAGUUACGCUUCUGCAAAGAGCUUUCUUAACCAAGGACUCUCAGAGUCUCUUCACCGUGAGCACAAGUUUUACCCACCCGGGCGUUUGCUAACUCCACAGAACAAUUCUUAUUACCUUAGUAAUCAUGAGUUACUGAAAGAGAGGAAACGCAAAACACGAACGCUGCACCAAGGGAAAACUUGGUCAACUGGCACCCACCAGAAAAGCCCGGAGGGUGGGAAUGGAGUGGGGAGGCUUCCUCGGGCUCCUCCCCAGGGGGGCUGCUGCAACUUCCAAGCUGAAGGUCUUUGUGUAAGAGGUGAGGGGUGUGGUGGACCCAGAGACUUGUGGCUGGCUGGCGAACAAAGGAAGGAAAAGGGAAAGGCAAGGGUGCUUCCACUUUUCAAGGUAACAUAGUUGAACGAAUCCAAGAUUGAAUUGGCUGCAAUCACUGGUGAUUCAUUUUGAGAAUAUCACAAAGGGCCUCUUUCCCCCCAGUUUCCGCUGUAGGGAUUUCCCAGGCUAAGAGGGCAGCCCAGUUUGAGUCACCGGGUUGAAGAAACCUAGAAACGGUAACGUGAAACAGAUCAACUACACCCAUAAAGGACUGUCAACCCUGUGCCCGCAAGAAUUCUUUCAACACUAAUUUCUCUAUCAUCAAAUCUGGGUUUUUGUAAGUCUAUUUAUAAUGGGACUCCAGCUUUCUUUCUUUGCUCUGUAUCUUCUCCCUGUGAAUGGUCAGAGGGCCAUCUAAGAAAGAACUGACAAGUUGAAAUUAUCAUCAAUUAUGUUGGCUACGCAUUUCCAGGUAUCACAAUGAAGAGCUUUCCUUCUUUUUGGGGUGUGGCCAGGUAUCUCUAAUAGAGAGAUUUCACAGGACCUCAAUAUCAUUUCAUGUCUGUUCGACUGAAAAUAACAGCAUUUUUGAGUGCCGAGUGCAUUCUAGGCACUUAACAUUCAUUAUGUCCUUGAUUUCUCACAAGAAUCCCAUCAGAAAGGCAAUAUUUCAUUACUGAAUUGUCAAGAAAAGCUAAGGUCUAGAAAAGCUAAAUAAAUGAUUGGUCCACCAUCACCUAGAAAAUAAGUGGCAAAGCCAAGACAGAACCUCCGCUUUUACCUGUUCCCAAUUUUAUGUCUUCCCAUAAUGUCUUCUGAUGCCCUUCUAGAAACUCUAUAAAGACAGGACUUAACAAAAGCAAAAAGGAAUGUGAUUUAGUACGACAGUCAAGUAAAGUGUGACUCAUCACAAAUGUCCAUAACAUGACAUAUCUCUUGCUAUGAAAUAAUUCAACAACCUCACUCCGUUCGUGCAUACGUGCCAGUCAGCCCCCAUAAAUCCCCUGGGGCAUGUGCCCUAAUGUUCCCUAUUCAUCCCCCCGUCUGAUACCUUGCAACCACACGCGGACAUCACAAUAUUUAUUUUGUUAAUGGGUGGGAACAGAAGAAGUGGCCAUUUAUGGGGCAUGCGUUUUUUUUUUUUAAAUGAUUCCAUUCCUGGCAUUUGUGAACACCAAAAGCCCAGCGUUCAGCUCAUUUCCCUGAGGAUUCGAGGUUCUGAAAAGAAUGUUUUGGGAGACUGGGGACUCUUGUCGUUUCUACUUCUAGGAGUAUCUUCUCUCACUAUGAACUCAUUGAACAACCAGAGUCAGUAUAGGUGGCGAGAGAGCGAAAGAGCAGACAUCUCUUGAAGGCGCAGAAGAUGACAGAGACUAAGGGGAAGGCCAAUAUUCUCGGCCAGUGUUCAUGACUCUUUGCCACACCCAAAUCUGGUCGCCAUGAUAUGCCAUCCGCGGUAUUCACGCCAUGCCAUUGCUUUUGUUUUCUGAGUAUGGGUUUCAAUGCUUAGUGGUAACCCACAGGGUAUCAUCUUCUCAUUGCAUCUGGUGCCAUCUUCUCACCAACAGCCUCCUUAUUCGUGGACUGUGUCAAAUUCACUGCUCACUUUAGCAGUGAUCAAAAUCAAGCAUCAGGGCCUCACAGCUCCUAACUGACUCAGAGUUCCAGGAUCCGAGGCAAGCCCCACGCUGUCUCCUCACGAGUCCCAGUCACAUCUGUCAGGGUUGCUCUGUUGGAAAGAGCUCUGCCCGUAAACUUUUAACUGUGCGAUGUGCGGCCACACAGGCACUUCCAGUCCCACUUAUCCCCAGGCCAAAUAUCGGGGUAACGACUGCCCUUUGGUGAUGAUGUCCAGACCCUCUGAGGCCCGUUCUCACACUCGGCAGCAUUCUGUAGUAUGCUGGAAAAAACUGGAGCUGGACAAGCUUAUAAAAAACAAGGAAUGUGCCUCCUCCUUAAAGAACCCAUCACUCAGCAUACUCUCCCUGGGAGGUUUGCAUUCUUUAGAGUCCCCAACUUGCCAUGCAUAAUCCUGGGCCCGUAGCUUCUGUUUGAGUUGAACUGAAUCAAGAUAGGAAGGACACACACUGUUACGAUUCCCAUUUGCAGAUGGUGAAACUAAGACCGAUAGGUUCAAAUCAUUUGACUGGUGUUACAAACCUAACUGAACAUAUAACGAUCAGGCUGGCACCAGAUGCAAUUCAAACGUUAAAUAAGGAUUGUUUUAGUGGUCAUCGGAGGUAUACUUUUGGGGGGUGGACAAAGGUGAAUGCUGCAUACCUAAUGCAUCAGAAGCAGCAAAUGAAAGGGGGUGGGGUGACAACAGGGGGUGAGAAGGAGCUGUGGUAAGGCCCUCACAGUCAUGAACUAUUAAUGGCCAAGAAAGGGAAAGUUGUUUUUGCCACACGUGGUUGAAUAUGAGCUUUUCAGGGUGUGUGCUCACACCGUCGACUAACUGUGGGGAACUCAGAGGAAAAGACUUACGUUUCUCUUUGCCUUGGUUUCCUCAUUUCCUUAAAGUACAAACAAUACCACCUACCUCACAAGGUUGUUGUACGGAAGAAAUUAGAUAAUCUAGAUCAAGGUUUCUCAAUAGUGGCAUUAUUGAUGUCUGCAGCAGGAAAAUCCUCUGUUGGCCAAGGCAGUGCGGCUGCCCUGUGCAGUGGGGCAUGUUCAGCAGCCACACUGGCCCCCUGGCCCCCUACUAGAUGCCAAUACUGUAUCCCUCACCCUCAGUCAUGACAAUCAGAAACAUCUCCAGACAUUGCCAGAUGUCCCUAGAGAGGCAAAACUGCCCCCGGUUAAGAACCACAGAUUUAGCAGCGCCUGGGUGGCUCAGCCCAUUGAGCAUUGACUUCAGGUCAUGAUCUCGCGGUUCAUGAGUUGUAGCCCCACUCUGGGCUCUGUGCUGACAACUCAAAGUCUGGAGCCUGCUCCGGAUUCUGUGUCUCCCUCUCUCUGCCUCUACUCUGCUUGCACUCUGUCUCCCUCUCUCCAAAAUAAAUAAACAUUAAAAAAAAAAAAAAAGAAGAAGAAGAACCACUGAUCUAGAUAAAGUGUAGGGGUACGGCACACAUUUAAUAAAUCUUAUUAAUGAAUGUCCACCCUCCUACCUACUUUUCUUCCUGAGAUGUCUCUUCUGUGACCCCUCCCAAAUAUCUCCAGGUCUUCUGUUUCAAUAUUCGCAUUUAAAACAAUCUCUGGGGGAAGGGACGUGACAAAUGCAUUUACUUUGGGAGUGUUUUCAUUUCAAUCUGGGUAGAGCAACCUGAACCAAGGACACCACGUCAAAUGAGUUAAGUGUAAGCACUAGUGACCUGAGUGAGACCAGUAUUUCAGGGAAGUUUCCUUCCUGCCUUCUCAGAAGACAGUUUAUGCAAAGGGUUAUAUAUGUUGCCCACUUGUAAGAUACGAAUUAAUGGCUCCCAAAUGGUUCUGUGGAACUUCAGUUCUAAGUGGAUGGGAAUAAACCACAUAAUUAGAAAGUUCUGCGGUACAUGAACUUAAGAAAUUUUGGGUAGACCAAGAUUAAACAGAUCUCUUUACUUCUCGGGUCUUCUCGGGGUCUUUAACGUGCUGCUAUGCGCCAUAAUUACUCAUGAAGAGAUAUGUUUUGUAGCUUUUUUGAAACUCAUUUUUAUAUGGCACCAAUUUUUGUAGGUCAGGAGUCAGCAGACUAUAGCUGUGGGUCAAAUCUGGUCUACUGGCUAUUUUUAUAAGUAAAAUUUUAUUGGAAUACAGCCAACCUCAUUCAUUUACAUAUUCUCUAUGACUACUUUCACACUACAAUGGCAAUUUGAGUAGUGACAGAGACCGUAAGCCUAAAUUCUUCACUACCUGGCUUUGAAAAGAAGAAGUCGGUUAACCCCUUUUAUAGCCUGAAUGGUUUGUGAAAAACACUGCUUUGAAGAACCUCAGUGUUAGAGAGGAUUUAAAAGGUUACUGCUGCUUGUGGCAGUGUGACUUCACGGUGGCCAGCUCCUUCAACAUCAUCUGGGGAGCUUGUUAAGAAUGCGGAUUCUGGGCAUCCUGUCCUGACCCACCGAACUAGACGUCUAGGGGCAAAGUCCAGGAACCGAAGUUCAAUCAAAUCACCCACCAAUUCUUACGCACAACUGAGUGCUGCUGAUCUAACCUGAUUGCCACCCGGGUAACCGAAUCUCUCCUCAAGUGUCUUUGGCCUCCUUCCUACCUCGAAGGGUGGGGAACUCACUACCUUCCCCAAAGCCCAUUCUGUUCUUAGGCUGGGAAAAUGAUCAGAACGUUCUAUGUGCUGAAUAUAUAUAAGUCCUCUAGGAAGCCCACCCAUUGGCUUUCAUUUCCCUCCACUCCCACUUACAACUGUGGAGUGCAUGGAAGCAAGAAGGCAAAGGGCAAAGUUACCCAGAAAACCUACGUUUAUAAUUCCCUGGAUCUAGUAUUCCUCAGGAAGCCUUCUCUAGCUGCUCCACAUCCUGCCCUGUCCAGUGCGUUCAAAAAGCAUUGGAGGUUCCUCUGUGCAAUCUCCACGUGUCUGUGAUCCGGUAUUGUAGUGAAAGGUCCAGAUAUGUGACCAACUCAAAUAAACCUGAAGCCCGAGCCCAGUCUAUCACUCCAUAGCUGUGGGGCCUUGGGCAACCGACUUUGCCUUAGAUCUUCAUUUCCUUCUCUGUAAAAAGGGUGUGAUUAUAGCACCUACCUGGGGAUGGUUUUGAGGCUUUGAUAUUACAGGUACAACAGGGCUUAGCUCAGAACUGGUUUAUAGUAAAUGCUCGGUGUCAUCAAGGAGGGGAUGAGGUUGGUAUGUCCCUGGGUGGACGAUGACUUUCUCUAGGGAAGGGACCGUCCAUAACUUACCAUCCUUUGAAUGCCAGUGUGUAUCAUAUAAUAAAAAAGAAAGACUGAAGAGGGCAGAUAAAACAGUGGCCAAGAACAAUGAGAAUGAAAGAGCUGCCUAGUUUCAAAUCCCUUUACCACCUGUUGCCUCAUGUGUGGUCUGGAGGAAAGAGCUUGAUUUCUCUAUGUUUUAGUCUACUCCUGAGUGAAAGCACUACCUAGAGUGGUUGGGAAUGUUAAAUAAGAUAAUGCAGGCAAAGGACUUAGCACAUAACAAAAGUUCAGCAAGGGCUAUAAUUAUUAUUGCUAACACCAUUGUUAUUAAUAGUGUCCCCUCAGCAUGCGCCGGUGGGUGCUUAGAUAAGAGGCUUGCCUAGAAAACAUGUGUGUGCUCCUGAAGAGGUCUUGGCUCUUUUUUUUUCUACUUCUUAUCCUUAGAUCCCUUGGGAAGUACAUAGGCGGGGAGACAGCUUAAAUUUGGGACUAGGCUAACAGAGGCCCAGGCAAAUCCAUCCUAGAUUUAUAUACAGAGUAAAUCCUGUGGCUACACUAGGCUGUGCACAGUUAACAUUUCCCUCGGUGCCGUAAACCAGACGCCCCUCUCCUCCCCAACUGUUUGUAGCAUAUUAGGUGCAGAUUUCACUAAACUCCUAAACAAGGAAAUGACAGUACCCAAAGGAGAUGGAAGAAUGUCUUGUGUCCAAACCAAAUAAAGGAGAGACCAUAAAUACCAGGGCUCUGAGACAUCAACAUUCAUUCUCAGAAGGCCCUUCUUUCUGCUAAACCUGACUCUUUCAUCCCCCAGAGCCUUGCCCUUGCGUACCUCCCUCCGAGUUGAGGCUAAUGGCCAAAUAUGAGCACCUGGAGUUUUUAUCACACCUGCUUCUAAAGAGGUCAACAAAGUUGGAUAUUGAAUGUCCUACUGUCUGCUUUAUGAGCUGAACAUUGUAUUAGGCUCUGGGGGCAAAAGACAGACACACACAAUUCUUGCCCUUCUGGAGCUCAUAGUCCAGUCAAGGAUACAGACGUUAACCAAAGAAUUUGUGGUUUGCACAGUGAUGCAAGCAGAAGGAACAGGGCAAAGGCCCUGUGGCAGGAAGGAAGAAGGCAUGUCAGAGGAACGAGAGGGGGCCUGCUUGAUUAUAGGAGCAAACGGCAUGGUACAAAAUGAAGCUGGAGAAGAGAGGGAGGUCAGACCACAGCAACACGUAGCCGCUCUAACAAAUGCGGUCUUUCUGUGCCAAAAAGAACAAGAAGAAGCCACUGAAAUAUCAUAAGCAGUAGAUUGAUGGGAUUUGCAUUUCAAAAAGAUCAGAAGAGUACUAGAUUGAACAGAUCCAUUAGGAAGCACGAGAUGGGUGCUGACACUGGCCAGUGCUGAUAGACAGCAAAGGGGAAGACAGGCAGGACGGACCCAAGAGGUGGAACUGAGAUGAGGAAACAAUACCUUAGAUCGCAAACUAGGAAAUGUAUAGCUCCAUUCUCCUGAAAAAAAAUAAUAACACGGGGAUUUAUAAGCCUUCAAAAGUAGAAAAGGAAAGGCGAUUCAGUCUUAUUGGGCAACACUAAUGAUAUUUACAAAUCUAUCCUGCUCCAUUACAAACUUUAAAAACUCUAUGCAUGAUUUUGAUAAGGGUGCCAAGACCAUUCAGUGGGGGAAAGAACAGUCUUUAGAAUGAAUGGUGCUAGGAAAACUGGACAGCUACAUGCAAGAGAAGGAAAUUGCACCCUUACAUAAGACCAAAUACAAGUAUUAACUCAAAAUGGAUCAAAGCCCCAAAUGGAAGAGCUGAAACUACAAACUCUUAGAAGAAAACAAAAGGCAAAAAUCUUCACAACAUUGGAUUUGGCAAUGAUUCCUCGGAUAGGACACUGAAGGAACAGCCAAAAAUAUGGACAAAUUUGACUUAGUGAAAAUUAGAUAAUUGUGCCCAUCAAAAGACACUGUCAACAGAAUAAAUACGCAAUCCACGGAAUAGGAGAAAUAUUGGCAAAUCACAUAUUUGAUAAAAGAUUAAUAUGCAAAAUGUGUAGAGAACUCCUAAAACUCAACAACAAAAAUGAUUUAAAAAUGGGCAAAGGACUUGAAUACUCGCUGCUCCAAAGAGCUACAAAUGGCCCACAAGUACAUGAACAGAUGUUCAAUAUCACUAAUCGUUAGAGAAAUGCAAACUGAAACUCCAGGGAGAUGCCACCUCGCAGCCAUCAGGAAGGCCGCCUCCCCAAAAAUCAGAAAAUAAUGUGCUGCUGAGGACAAAGAGGAGUUGGAACCCUGGUGCCCUGUUGGUGGGAAUGUAAAUGCAGCCACUGUGGAAAACAGUACAGCAUUGCCUCAAAAAAUCAAAAGUGGCCCACCAUAUGAUCCACCAAUUCUACUUCUGGUUAUAUACCCAAAAGAAUUGAAAGCAGAGUUUUGAAGGCGUAUUUGUUUUUUUUUUUUUUUUAAUUUUUUUUUCAACGUUUUUUAUUUAUUUUUGGGACAGAGAGAGACAGAGCAUGAAUGGGGGAGGGGCAGAGAGAGAGGGAGACACAGAAUCGGAAACAGGCUCCAGGCUCCGAGCCAUCAGCCCAGAGCCUGACGCGGGGCUCGAACUCACGGACCGCGAGAUCGUGACCUGGCUGAAAUCGGACGCUCAACCGACUGCGCCACCCAGGCGCCCCUUGAAGGCGUAUUUGUACACCAAUGUUCACAGCAGCAUUAUUCAUAAGAGCUAAAAUAUGGAAUCAAGCCACUGUCCACUGACAGAGGAGUAGAUAAACGAAACGUGGUUUAUCUCUACAACUGAAUGUCAUUUAGUCCUAAGGACGAACGAAAUUCUGACACAGGUUACAACGUGGAGACAACUUGGGGGACAUUAUUCUCAACGAAAUAUAGUAUUCACCAAAAGACAAAUACUGUGUGGUUCCACUUCGAAGAGGUACUUAGAAUCAUCAAAAUCAUAGAACCAAGAAAGCAGAAAGGUGGUUGCAAAGGCCUGGGGUUGAAGGGGAGACAGAGUGUUAUUGUUCAGUGAGCACAGAGAUUCAGUUUCACGAAACGAACAGAGUUCUAGAGAUGGGUGGUGGUGAUGGCAGCACAAUAUUGUGAAUGUAUUGAAUACCACUGAACUUUGUACUUAAAAAUGGAUAAAAUGGUAAAUUUUAUGUUAGGCAAAAAUCAGGGGGAAAACUGGCACAAAUUCAAGGAUUCACUGUGAAGGGCACAAAUGCAGCUUCACAGCGUAUGCUCCGGUUAGUUGCAAUAUGUAAUUCCAUAAUCAACAUUCCAAGUUAGAAAUAAAACUAUUUAUAGCAAUAUAGAUCACUUUACACUUAGCAUCGGAGUCAGAAGAGAGUGGGUUCAAAUCCCAGCUCAGUCACUUCCUGGAAAUUGACUAGUAAUAUCUCCGUCCUGACCCUCAGUUUUCUCAUCAGUCCAAUGGAAAGGAUGAACCCUGCCUCGUAGGGUUAUUAUGAGGCUUGAAGGAUAUGACAUAAGGAUUAAAUGUGGAUCAUGUGUAUACACUGCCUAGUCCUGAGCUAGUUAUAUAUAUAUAUGUCCAUAUAUAUAUAUUUUAGCUCUUGUCUCCAUCGAUGACACACUGCCUGGCAGGAACAGACACAACAGGAAGAAUGAAGGUUGAUUUCUUUCAAGACAGGAAAGUCGUACCAUGUCUCCAUCCUUCAACAGGGGCUGGUGGAUUUAGUUAGAAUCAUAGUAGAGAAACCUCUUAGAAGUAAAAGGGUAGGGCAGUUUCAAACAUUUUCAGAUCACAAAGAAAUACAUUAUAGGCUCUGAGCCAGUUACAAACUCUGCUGUUUUCCAUUUGAUCUGAUUGUAUUUCAUUUAAAAAAAAAAAACAACAACAAUCUGGUCACGACUCAACCAAAGUGAGGUGUUUUUUUUGUUUUGUUUUUUGGGUUUUUUUUUUUGACCCUGGGGUCAUGACUCACAGUUUGAAAAACACCUGGUUAGGGAAUUCACAGUGUGCGUCCUUCCGGGAAGCCUUCCUGGAACACCCUCACCCUGUGGAGGCUGUUCCCACACUUGAAUUUCCUUGGCUUCAAUGAUUCCAGGCUAUGCCUCACCAUUUAUUCAUAAUGCUUCUCUUGCUUCCCUAGAUAGACUCCCCGUGGGUGUAGCCUUCCAAAUCGACCCUCCUAGCCUCCUCCAUUACUUCAUAUCCAGGAGACCUAAUUUAAGAAGCUGGGACAGUUUAAUGUAUAUUGAAGGUAGCACAGGUAGGGGCAGAUGGCCAGGAGACUAGCAUCUGGUCCAGUUAACCUGCUCUGGCCAAGCACUGGCUCUGUGCCUUGCACUGCGCAAAGCUCAGGAAGAGGACGGCUUUCUUCCAGAUUCCCAGGGCCCUCGAGGCUAGGCAUGUGCUCAGAUUGUGGGAACAGAGCACACAAGCUUCAGCGUAAAGCCUCGGAGGGCUCCUGAACAGGGACACCUGGCACGAUGAGACCUUUGCCCUGUGCAGAAACAGCUUCCUUAGCAAUAAACAGAGCAAGACUCCGUCGCCUGAAGGCAGGGCAAUGGCGCAGAUGGCCUUGCGGGGCCUCAGCUUUGGGAAAUAACCGUUUGCACUGGAAGCUCCCCCUCCCGUGUGAAACGCACGGAGAAGGGCAACUCUGCGCAGGCGCUUCCUUCCAGCAGGCUGGGAAAAGGAGCUGCUCUGAUUUCUGCUUGACUGUUUAGGCUCGGGAUGGACGCUCAAGACCGAAGCAGCUGAGAAACCAUCCCGUCGCCGAAUUGACUGCAGCCCCACUAGCGUGGAGAACAGCGUGGCUGUUGAAGAGGCAGACAGCUGUGGAUUUCCAAAUUGCCUCCCCCACUUCCAAGCCGUUUGACAAUGAAGAUAUAUAUAUAUAUAUAUAUAUAUAUAUAUAUAUAUGUAUAUAUACAUGUAUUUUUAUAUAUAUGUAAUAUACAUGUAUAUUUACAUAUAUAUAUAUAUAUAUAUACAUAUAUUUUUUUUUUACGUCUCUGAGCUUCUCUUUCCACACUGUAAAAUGGACUAAUAAUAAUGCUCUAGAAUAGGGCUGUCAGGAGCAUGAAAUGAGACUCAUAUACGUAAAGCCCCUCAUAUAGUCCCAGGCACAUUGUAAAUCUUUAGUAAAUGGGAGCCAGAGUUAUUAUUUUUCAACACUCCAUACAGCAUAAUUGAGGGGGAAAAAGGCAGUCACCUGAAACAGCUCUUCCUCCUUUCAGCCAAAAGGACAUAUUUUCCUAGUGAGAAAACGUGGAUGCUGGCCCCCCCCCCAAUGCUCCUGGAACAGCAAGAGAUUUUAUCUCGGGAGCCUCUGUGUGAUGCUAAUGUACAAACAUGACUUAGCUGAUGAUCACUUGUGAGCAUUGCAGAUAGAAGGAUGCCUCUGGCAUUGGCCACCUGUCCCGUGGGGGGACCUCCCAGGCUCAGGAGACUUCAGCCAGCCUCUGAGCUUUUCAGAAGCAGGUUUUAGUAGAUACUCUUUGGAGGCCUCCCCGCUCCUCCCCUGGUUUUCCCCACACCUGUCAGAAACCCGACUCCCUCCUCUGGGAAAACACACCCCUGGCCUGCUCCCUGUACUGACUCCCAAGGGCCUUCAUCCUCCGGUGAAACUGUCCCUGAGGACUCCAGCCUCUAUCAACCCUUCUUUUCGUUGAGGUCUUACAGUGAAAAUCUAGCAUCUAGAGCAAUGCUGUCUCACAAGAAUAGAAUGUGAAAAUAGAAUUUUACAUUUUUUAGGAGUAACAUUAAAGAAAUUAAAAAACAAUAAGGUGAAAUUGACUUUAAGAAAAUAUUUUGAAGUCUGCUGCGUGUUUCACGUUUACAGCAUAUUUCAGUUUGGACUAGCCACCUUUUGUGCGCUUCGUAGCCAUGUGCAACAAGGAGAUUUUGAAGACUGAAUGCUCCCCUCAGAAAAAAAGUAAAAUAUUUCGUUAAUAUUUUUUCAUAUUGAUUACAUGUUGCAAUGAUAAUAUUUUGGAUAAAGUGAGCUAGAUAAAAUAUAUUAUUUCCAUUGGACACUCCUUGGCUCUUUUUUUUUAAGAUUUUAAAAAGUUUAUUCAUUUUUGAGAGAGCAUAAGUCGGAUAAGGGCAGAAAGAGAGAGGGAGACACAGAAUCUGAAGCAGAGGCUCAAGACUCUGAGCCGUCAGCGUGGACCCCAACACAAGGCUCGAACUCACCAACCGUGAGAUGGCCUGAGCAUUCCACAAGCCCCCACUCCCUGGCCCUUAAGGGCCACUUCCGGCUCCUUUUACUAGAAAGCAAAGGCUUUCCCCCACCCCCUUGUACCAUGUACUUCCCACACCUGGGUCUGCCCCCAAGCCGACAAGUGGACAGAGAGAAAGAAAAAAUGCACAUUUACCCACCCCCAACUCUUCAAACGUAGUUCCUCUGGUCAGAGAGAAGGUUGGGGAGCCUGCCUAAACUCUGCUGCUGUUGCCACUGACCAGGACUACAGCUGACAGGUCUGAAGCUUGCCCACGGGCCGGAGGAGAAGGGGGAAGAAAAAACAAAAGAAAAGACAUAGAUUGCCCCCACUCUCUCUGAUCCUUAGGGUCCCAUUUACAUUCCUUGGACUAGAAGCAGGGGCUCUUCUUGGGGUUCUUUCUCCCUGUAACCACAUGCUGUUUCAGGAUUCAUAUUGCCCUUGAGCCCGGACCAGAAAAGGUGGGAGUAAAAACCUAGGAAAUUCAUGGUCUCAAUUUUACUUAGAGUUCUGGCUUCUUUUUUUUUUUAUUUUUAAUUUUUUUUUUCAACUCUUAUUUAUUUUUGGGACAGAGAGAGACAGAGCAUGAACGGGGGAGGGGCAGAGAGAGAGGGAGACACAGAAUCGGAAACAGGCUCCAGGCUCUGAGCCAUCAGCCCAGAGCCCGACGCGGGGCUCGAACUCACGGACCGUGAGAUCGUGACCUGGCUGAAGUCGGACGCUCAACCGACUGCGCCACCCAGGCGCCCCAGUUCUGGCUUCUUUUUCUAAUCCACCUGCUACCACUUACUUUUCAGAUUCCUCAGAUAGAAGCUGUGUGCAUUUUGUCUAGGGUUUUUUGCCUGCAUUCAGUGGGAAAAAUAAGGUAGAGUGUGUUUAUGUCAUUUUAACAAGAUCCAGAAUCCUCAAGAAACAUGUGUUGCAGUGUGUUGUAUUGCAUUCAGUCUCUAUGACACUUGAUCAUACACAAAUGGCAUCUAUAGAAACUUAGAUUGGAUUAAUUAGGAUAUCAUAUUCUAGACCAUGCCAAGUAUCCACUAUACUCACACACUUAGAAUGGAACAGACUGCUUUUUGCAUUGAGAACAAACACAAAGGGAUUUCAACACUUGUCCUUGAGUCAGGAAUGAAUGAAGGAUAAUCGGUGACUUUUUUCUUUGUGAAAAGUUUAAACAUCUAUUACCCCACAUUACUGACUGUCACAUAUGUGUUUAGUUAGAGACUGUAUAUUACCUCCAUGUUUUCAGACCACAGUUUUGUAAACAUCUGACUUGAUAAGGCAGCUGUUUUAUUUAUUUGGAAUCUCUGAUCAUCACUCAUAGUAGCCUUAAACUUCCUUUUAUGGUAGACAAUAGAGUUUGGAAUUAAGUAAUUAGGCAUGUAUUGCCGAGAAGAAGGACAUCCAUUUAUAUGGAUCAACUAAUUUCCCAAAGUAUUGUCCACUUAACCAAAAAGGAAGUGAUCCACACCUCUAAAAAUCAUUAGAGGGCCAGUCAUUACUUCGGACACAUGACGUGCUCACAUACUCACACAGAACUGAUAAUGCACUGAUAAGGCGAGCCAAAUUCCAGAAAAUGUUGUGAAAUAAUUGGGUGGUUAAGAACAUCACAAAACGGCAGAGUUAUUGGAAAUGAUAUCGUGGAUAUCUGCAUAGUAAUAUGUACAGCACAAAAUGUUUUUAUUUAGUUGGUUAUUCCUUCUUGUAGCCAUCAUUUAUUAAGUGUCUAUGAUGUGUCAUCUGUUUCCUAGACCCUCUCGUAUGCAUAAUUUGUGAGUAACCCCAGGUAUGUUCUGCUUAAACCAAACCUUACACAUAAAGUCUGAACUGACAGAACAGGUAUACAGAGAAGUAUAUAAAGAUAAGUUAUUGAGUUCUUAAAACAACAAACUUCAAAUUCUUUCCAUUUACACGUAUUAAAGCUACACACAUUUUGGGGGACUAGAGACUAAGUAUAAGGGGCAAAAGCCAGGGCUUUGGAAUCAGAAGCACCUAGAUUCAAAUCCUUAAAAUUAGUUUAAACCUCGACCUAGUCAUCUCUGACUUUCAUGAGAUAACAGUAUCUAUGUCAAAGGAUUGUGGUCAAGUGUGUAUGAUAUAAUGCAGCUCAAGUUCAUAGCACAAACAAACAUGUGGUAAGCUCCCAAUAUCUGUUUAACUACUAUAUAAACUAUAAAGUUUAUUUGUAUGAUAUAUAAAGCAAAUUAUUUAUCAAUGGUUUAUAUAUAUAUAUAUUUUUUUCAAAUAUAUGAAUUAGUUCUAUUACCUAUAAGUUUAGAAGAAUGAUUACAUGUAGAAAUAAGACAGGGAAUAUGCCGGAAUAAAAUACUUUAAUUUUCAUGUUUUCACAACUCCUGUCCUCUAAAUGAUAUCAAUUUAAUACUUAUCUCAUUUUCUUGGGCUAUUUUUAUGUUUCUCACUUACUAAGCAACCAUAGGGUAUGUUUGAGGAUCUACGGAACCCACGUGAGACAUCAUCCUUGCUCUCUUGGAGUUCACUUGCUAAAAAGACAAGAGGUACUUGAAAAGGUAAAUCUUUUGGAAUGAGGAUUAUUUGUGUUGCUAAACUUUGUGCGGGGGAAAGAAGGCAAGUUCACUCACUCUUCUCUUUAUGUUUCCCUCACUGGGUGGUGGCUUUAAUAAGAUAAGAAUACUUAAAUGGUUAUUUUCUUGUGCUUUCAAGUGGGGGUUGAGUCUUUGAGUGGAGUGAGCAGAAUACAGAGAUGAUUGCACACUGAGAUAGUCUAGGAAGUCGAGAAUCAUUUAAACAGUAAUAUAAUUUGUUAAGUACCUCCUGGGGCCUAGGCUCUUUGCUAGAUGUUUUCACACUUAACCCACACCAUAAGGAUGCGGUAUUACCUCCAUUCCAUUUCUGUGGUCGGUGAAUCUUAGAAAUGCUUAGUAACAUGUGCAAAGUAAAGGAAGCAAAGCCCAGUGUAAACCCAGGAGGGUCUGGGUUUUUUUUGUUGUUGUUGUUGUUUUGUUUUGAUAUCAGUCCUUAGCUCAAGUCAAGAAUAGGUAAUGCCUUAAAAUGCAGAUGUCUGUUCCUCUUGAAUACCUUCCCUUAUCCUUUCUUCAAUGGGUACAAUUCUAAUGAUUAAUGUGCGACGCUGGGACCCUACCCGGCUCACUUCUGUCUGUGUCGGACGUUGCUUAAUUAAUCACAGGGCUUUUGUCCACAGAAACUGGACUUCACUUCAGAAUCCUUCUGAACACAGCAUCCCAAAGCAGUCAAUCUCAACCAACUGACCAAAAUUAAUACUAAAAAUCUGUUUGAUGUGUCUCCCAUGACACCCUGCUAAUGACUUUACUAAUAGCACAUAUAAGACUACGUUUAAAUCAUUCGCUUCCCUUUUAGUUUUAAUCGUAAGGCUUCGGUGACAGGUCCAUUCAUCUUCCCAAAUCUAGCCCCUGUCCACAGUCUGCCACAUAACACAAUAGGCACCAAGUAGAAGUUUUGUUGGAUCCAAUGUAAGAAAAUACUUUCUGUUUAAACCUCUAGGACUACUAGGGGCGCCUGGGUGGCUCAGUCGGUUGAGUGUCCGACUUCGGCUCAGGUCAUGAUCUCGUGGUUCGUGAGUUCGAGCCCCGCACCGGGCUCUGUGCUAACAGCUCGGAGCCUGGAGCCUACUUCAGAUUCUGUGUCUCCCUCUCUCUGUGGCCCUUCCCCCCUGUCUCUCUGUCUUUCUCUCUCUCUCUGUCUGUCUCUGUCUCUCUCUCUCAAAAAUAAAUAGGGGCGCCUGGGUGGCGCAGUCGGUUAAGCGUCCGACUUCAGCCAGGUCACGAUCUCGCGGUCUGUGAGUUCGAGCCCCGCGUCGGGCUCUGGGCUGAUGGCCCAGAGCCUGGAGCCUGUUUCCGAUUCUGUGUCUCCCUCUCUCUCUGCCCCUCCCCUGUUCAUGCUCUGUCUCUCUCUGUCCCAAAAAUAAAUAAACGUUGCAAAAAAAAAAAAAUUAAAAAAAUAAAUAAAUAAAUAAACAUUAAAAAAACAAACAAACAAACAAACCUCUGACUACCAAAAUGCUGAACAUGUUAUUGGCUAAUAAUUAGAAUUGCUAACAUUUAUCAAGAAUUUAUUAUUUGCCACAGAUGGAACUAAGUACUUCACAUAUAUUAAUUUUUAAAUAGUGUUUAAACAAGGAUUCCAUGAGAUAGUUACAUUAUCCCCAUUUUAUAAAUAGUGAUCCUCCAGGUCAGAGGGCUUAAAUGAUUUGCACCAGGUCACAGGCCCAAACCCACAUGUUCUGACCCCCAAACCAAACACUUAACCACUACACUGGUUACAGCAAAAGCCCAUAUAGGAUAUAAUUUUCCAUCAUACUCUUAACCACUACACUGGUUACAAAGCCCAUAUAGGAUAUAAUUUUCCAUCUCAUGGCAUAUUUAUAUAACUGUAUUGCUGCCCAUUACUGGCCUUCCAGAACUCAGCCAGGUGGUCCCUGAGCUUUAUUUCAAAAUUUUGCCAGAAAAUUAACAUCUUUCCCUGCUCUUCAUUGGGUUCCUCCCGCCAAAACAACAACAAUCCCCCCAAACUUGUGAAUUAACCGACGAGAAAUAGAUUAAGGUCCCGGAGAAGUCUCUCCCUCCUUUUCCAGUUCCUUAUCCCCCAAACCAUUUUCGGGUCUACUCUGUGCUGGCCACCGUGGCAGGUGCCAUAGGGUACAAAGUUGAAUAAGACUUCCUUCCCCACAUGAGCAUACUCACAGUCUAGUACAGAAGAAGCUGCAUAAUAACCAUGGGCUGUUAUUCAGAAAGGCAGGGAAUGCUCUGGGUGCAUGAGGAAGAGCCACUCCGCUUUGCCUGAGAAUCUUGGAUGGUGGCAGAGAAUCACCCGGGACACAAAGGAAGGAAGGGCACGCCGCAGAAAGAAUAUAUACAACAUUGUGUUUCAGAGUCUAAAUCCAGGCAUUCCAGGGACAUAACUGUCGAUUUCAAGUCUCUGUAGGUCCCUCCUGUCCCUGGCAACAUGAUUUGGGAUCUUGUAAAUCGAACUCCAGUAGAUGUGCCCUGGAGGUCUAGAGUUCCCGGCAUUGAGGCGACCUCUGUACAUAUGUUUCCUACACCGACACAUGGAAAUAUUCUUCUAUUUAUUUAUUAUUUCAAUGCGGUGGUUGAUCAUGGUGGUUGAAGGGUUAUCACGAGUUUUUGAGGAUUUUAGUGCACCUUUUACAUACCCUGAGGGUCCACCUUCUGAAAUCAAUGAACGCCUCAUGAGCAUAUUCUUCCAGAACUGAGACCUUCAAAAAGAGGCACAUAAGUUCCCCAGUUUCCUAUGAAAGACAUUAUUCAAGUGUCCUCAAGUGACAGAUGGUCUAAUAAUUUGCAAAUACGUGCUCCUCACACUCUGAGGUCAGCUCUGUUUUACUUAAGAGCUUUCACUCACACGAGUACCAUCUGGAGCCCACAUCCUCUAUCUUGGGCUUCAAAUAAAUCCUGAUUUACCUCAGAAAUAUUUGCCAAGAGUCUGCUUGCUAGAAAAAUUACCAGUUUCUCUUCUUUGAGGACUGCCUUUGCAGUAUAUGAAACCUACCUGGUAGGCGUCCAUUGGAAUACUCUUUAAAAUGCUACAAGAAGAUACCUGUUGAGACAAAGAUUUGGGGAACUGAAGCUAAAUCUUCUUUUUCUUUUUCUUUUUGGUAUGUGUGGCGGGGGGUAGUCUGCCAAGAUUAAAUCAUUUUCUUUUAGCUGAAGCAUCCUAAUCCAAAUUAAAGCUGCAUGUGCUACAUCAUCAUCCCGAAUGAAUACUGCUGAGGUUUCUUUGCCAAGCAUCUUUUCAGCUAGCAGAAUUUGUAAGUCUGGGGCACAUUUUGAUCCGAUGAUGUUAUGUACGUAGAAGAAUGAAUGAGUGCUUGAGGAUGAACUUCAAACCGUGAAGGAAUCAUGUGCUAUUGUGUUCUUUGAAAAACCUGAAGAAUGCUUUUGUGGGGUCCACAAAAAGCUGGUGGAACAUUUGUGGCUAACGUUUGUGGAACGUUUGUGGCUAACACCUGGCAAAGGGAACCUGGGGGCUGGUGCUGAGGUCUUCUCUCCGGGGCAAAAACCAAGGUGCAUAUAAGAUUUUAUCAAUAAUUCCAAGGUGUCAUCCAAACCCAGGCCUGGGUCCACAGCACUCUGGAAAAUGCCUUAAGCAUUGGAGCUAAACCACUGAGAAAGGCAAGGAAGCUCAUCUAGCUACUCUAUUUUUGUGCCAGUCAUUAAACCCACAGACGCUCUGAGCACUGGCCAGCUUGCCGGGACUGGAAAUGAACCACUCCUGUCCUUUCACACUGACUUCCGCCUGAGAGCAGGAAGGCAUCCCUUUCCUCUCCAAAGUGGACCCGGAUGCAGCAGAUUCAACUGGUUUUAACUUUUUUUCAAACUUGAUUAAUAGUCAUUUGAGUCAAUUCCGGGUAGGAGGUCGGUCCUGCACACAUAAUUUUUUUUUUUUUUUUUUUUUUUUGUAUAUAGGGAAGUGAGUAAUUCUUAAGUUUUAGGGCAGGAAGAAAAUCUGGAACUUUACCAAGUUUAUUACAUUUGGGGGGAACAAUUAUAAAAGGCUUUUUAAAAUAAAUUUAGAAAAUCACCCACAAUUCCAUUAUCUAACAAUAGUGUUUUUGCCACUUCCAUGUUUAAAAAUCUAGUCUUCUCAAUAUUAAAACUAUAAAAAUGGGAUGAUGGCACCUAAUAUUUUGCAGAAUACAUUUCAUUAUUAAAAACUUUUGAUCAUUUUUUGAUACCCUUAAUUCCUAAAUAUAUUCAAAAAGUUGACAUGCAGCGUCACCUAGUAAUCCACAGAAUCCUCUUUGGAAACGCUGUAAAAAAUCAAACCAGAAAAUGUCUCAAGAAAGUUAACAGAGAAAGCUCUAGUAAGGAAAAAACUGGGUUUGAAUCCCAGUUCUCCCACUAACCAGCCAAAGAAGCAUGAACAAUGCAUAAAUAAUUCAAGUCAUAACCCUUUAGUGACCACCUGCUAUGUGACAGGGACUUUGUUAAGGGUCUUGCCUGUGUUAAUUUCACUCGAUCCCGGAACCCCAUAUGGCUAGUGCUAUUAGUAUUCCUACUUUGCGGAUGAGGAUAUAGAGGCUAAGGAAUGUUUCCUGCAUAAGAUCACAAAGCGAAUCAACACCAACUCGAUCUGGCCUGUGUCCACUCCACCAGACUGAGUUUCCCUGAUGCUCCUCCUCUGACUCUUGGAGACCUGGUCCCCGCCCCACCUCCUUCCCCACCGCUGUGAGUUCCCCUAACACUGGGCUAUUUCUCACUCCCAGCCUUAGCACCAACUCUAACACUCAACCCUCCCCUUCACCUUUAUGUUUCCCUCUCCAUGCCACUUGCUCCAGGAAGCCUUCCUGAUACUUGGUUAUACACUCUCUUCAUUAUAUAUUCUCUUCAUUCAUAGGCACAUGUUCAUUAAGAACACUUAUGGGGGUUAAUUCUUUUGGUAACUAUGAGCUCACCUUCCAUCUCCCCUGCUAGACUGAGGCUCCAAGGUGCCCUCACAUCUGUAUUAUUUACCCCCACAAUGUGAGUAAGUGACUCAUUCUGAAGUCUUUAACUGGCAAGGUGGUCAGUUCCUAUUAGCUCUUUUCUAAACCCGUGGCUUUCAGCAUGACAAAAGAAAAGUAUAAAAGAUGAAAGAAAUUGCUCAGUUAACUUGCAGGACUUUGGGUGAGUAACCUUGAGACGCUGGGGAUUUUGAAAGCCGGGUCCAUCCUCUGUUUCUUUUUGAACAGAAGCUUGAAUCUGCACACACCAUUUUUGCCGAGAGAGAACAUGAAUGGCUAUGGAGGAAGUGCAUUUACACUGCAGCCACAUGAAGCUUUAAGCCCACGGAACUGUCACUAAACAAAAAUUUGAUCGCGGCCACCGAGCUUCUCCCACUAUAAUUAAGACUGGAAUAAGAGGUCCUAGAGUGGUUGUGCUAAGGCUCAAUUUCUCCUGUGAGGGGCACCCCUGCCUCAGUUUCCAUGGCCAAAUAAAUAAAGGAGAUGCUGCAUCAAAACUGGUCUUGAAAAUUCACAGGGCACGUUAGCACAUUAGUCAGACUGGGAGGUCCUGCGGGGAGAAAAAAAAAAAAAAAAAAACACAACUAUGUAACUUUGUUCAGUUCCUGAGUUUAUUUGGCCAUGUUUAGUCAUAGAAUGCUGCCUUUGAUUAGACUAUGCCAGAAGCAGACCCUGAGAUAAGGAUUUAAGCACAAGAAGGUUUAUUUGGGAGGUGAAUUUGUAAAAAGCACCAGAAGGGGAGAAAGGGAGUGAGACUGGGGAGGGAAGGAGGCUGAUGCAGGGUGCGUGAAUGAGCAAGUUUACCCCUGUAGGCAACUCAAAGGCAGCCUCGCUGGGGACCCAUGGAAGAGGCUCAAACAGGUGACCCGUCUCAGCAGUGAGGAAACUGGAUUUUAUUCACCCAUUCUCAUCAGUUGUACACCGAGGGCUGCUUUGGGGGCCACUAGCUUCCUGUAUGGUAGCGGGAGCAUGAUGUCAGGCAAAGAGUAGCAGGUGUUUACAACAGAGCCCCGGGUGACAUGCACAGGGACUGUGAGGGCUGAGGGGAGGUGGGUGGGACCAUGUCUGCUGCACCAGUGUCCCUCUCCGCCUUUUCUUUUUUCACACAGGACACCCAUUCACACCUGGUGGACGUGGUAGGUGAGGACCAAAAUGUGGAAAACAAAAUUCCAAAAUUUGAAAUUCAAGCAGUUCGAUGAGUUCCCAGAAGCUAUCCUGCAGCUGAACACACGGAGUGAAUGCUAUGCUGUAGUUUGCAAAACCCCAAAGGAAAUUCCUGUGAAUGCCACCAAAUACCAAACAUAUAAAUCUCAAGACUCAGCAGAAAUAGCCUUGGAAAAUCGUAACUUAUGGGAUGCUACAUCAAAAAGCCUUCUAGGGAUCCAAACUUAGAAUGGGGUUCUAACCCAGGCUGUCUGUGAAAGCGAAAAACCCUAUUUCCCACAGCCAAGAGCACCUUGUCCUACCGAUGUAUGGUGACAGCAGGCUACGUCCACAACAAGCUAGGGCUUGUCAUGUAGAGAUACAGACAAAGCCGAAGAGCUCCGGGGAACCCCACUCUUAUGGACUGUCUUACAGCCAAGCAAAGUCAGACAAUACAAUAUCAAGAAACCAAUAGAGAAAAUAGCCAUCGAUGGUGGUACAGACUAUGAAGGCAUUAAAAUGGAUAAUGGGAGAAAGAGCAGCUGGGGGGAGAAUCACUUUAGGCCGAGUGAUCUGGAAUGGCAUCCUUAAGGAGGUAAAAUACGACCUGUCACCUCCUUGCUUCAGUGGGAGAGAAAGAGGGGAUUUUAGGAGGAUGAAAUAGCAAGUUCAAAAGCCCUGAGGUGGGAAUAUGAUUGGAGUAUUUAAGGACUCAAAACAGGGGCCUGGAGUGUCCUGAGGGAAGGGUAGAGUGCUAACAGUAAGGUUGACAAGGAAGGCUACAGUUGUAGUGUUGUGAGUAGAAAUUUGGUGUAUUUUCCCAUCCUUUUCAUUGUUCUUAAGGAAAAGAAAACUCUCCAAAAGCAUCAGGGAACAUUUGCCGAGUACCAAAUGAUGCUCCCAUGGUCUAGAUCCAAUUCUAUCUCCAGGCAGCCAUCUUUUUUUUGUUUUUUUUUCAAGACAGAGCACCAACUGGGGACAGGGGUGGAGAGGUGGAGAGAGAGAGAGAGAAAGAGAGAGAGAGAGAGAGAGAGAGAGAGAGCAAGCACAUCCCAAGCAGUAUCCACACUCAGUGCAGAGCCCAACACAGGGCACAAUCCCACGACCCUGGGAUCAUGAACUCAGCCGAAAUCAAGAGUUGGGCGCUCAACUGACUGAGCCACUCAGGUGUCCCCAGACAGCCAUAUCAAUAAUCUCAUCUCAUUCUUCAGCAUCUCCCACCAAGAUCUCAAGUGGCCUCAGAGAUUAAAAACCUGACUCUAAAAGCUGAAUGCUGACCUACCCUUCAAAAGUCUUACAGCCCAGUCCCAAAAAAGCAAUAAUGCAAAGAAACAGGGCACAGUGUUGCUAGGACUCACUUUUUGCUGGAAAGAUGUCUGCUGAGUAUACACCAUCUGAUCUCACCAAGGGCUUCAACCGAACCUUCGAGGCAUACCCCAGGGGUGUCCCUUCCGGAUUGCCAUUCACUGUCUCUACAGGAAGGAUCCCCAGGGGCGCAGUCACAAGACCCCCUCAGGCUGUCCCCUGAGGAUGCUAUUGGAUAGGCUGUCUCAGGAGUGCACUUGGCCUUGUAUGGCAAGAGAAGGUUGCUUCUUCACCCUCUGGCAAAGCCUAGGCCAGGAGAUGAGGGGAAAGAAGAGGCUAGGUCUUGGCCUUUAGGGACAGGGACAUCACAAGAGAGGGCUCUGUCACCCUGCAGGAGCCUGGACAAACCUCAAUUUUCUUUCACUGGCAUUUACUGGGCACCUGAUGUAUGCGGAGCAGGGCGCUCCUGCAGAAGUGAGUCAAGCACAGACCCUGCCCUCAAGGUGUUUGUUGUCCUGUAAAGAAAGAAACACUGGCCACUCCUGGUAGUAGCAAGCAGAAUGGAAUCAGGGUCCAAAGGGACAUUCGCACAGAGAACUUGAGGACAGUCAGGGGAAGGGAAAUUCAUAAGCUCCCUGGCUUUCUUUGGCUUUGAUGGCAGUUAACUGGGCUGACCAGGUAUGUGUAGGACUUUAUGGCUCCCUUGUCACACUGAUGAGGCAGGCUUUUUUGGGUGAGGAUGAGGCGACACUAUGUCAGGCAACGGAGCACUAUUGUCCAGAGACACGGGGAAGUGAGCAGGAGGAAAACAGCUCAUGGAGACCUGGAACAACGUCCCCUGUUCCUCAUAAUGAGAGCCACUCUAAGAUGUCUUCUCAGAAGAGAGUUCUCUCUCCCACUCUCACUACCCCCACCUUUUGCUUCUGCUGUUGCCCCUACAUCUGGGUCCUCUCAAGAUCUUUUUAACAGGCUCCUAGACCGACAGUCUGUUGGGUGUGAAGGUUACACUUAACCUUGGGCAGGUUGCUUCAUCUCUGUGUGCCUCGGUUUCCUCAUCCGUAACAGGUGGAUAUUAAUAGUACCUACCUCAAAUGGAAUCUGUGAGGGUUAAAUGAAUUAAUACACAGAGACAGAAUGGUGCUGUCUCUGUCGUCAGGCUAAGGUGCUUAUCUCUGGUUCCCUAACUGUGGCCAGGGUAACACGCUCUCGUGGACGAAACGGCUAUUUACCAGUUACAUUUACUUGGAAGGCAGCUGGGAAUAUUAGACGUGUUAAGGUUUCCUGGAUGCUUAGAACCUCUUAGAUUCCUCUCUUCUAUAUCACAGUAUAUUUCAAAACAAAUUUUAAAACUUAAAUGCUAUCAGAAACGAAUACAGGAUCAUUAAAAACCAGUUAGGAAAAAAAAAAAAAGUCUAGCAAAAAGCAGAUGAGCAUCAGAGUAGAGGUGGAAGGAGUCACUCUCCUGACGCUACAGUAAUCCUCCUAAUUCCAUGUGGUCUGCAUGGAGCUGACCCCACUGCAGGGGUGGGCCCAUGGACCAGGCUGUCUCUCCCUUAGGACUUCUGCUGUACCUAGUGAAUGAUGCUCUUUUCUCCCGGGACCCUUAAGAGAUAAGGUUGAAUAUGUUUGAAGAUUCUGACGGUGAAGAAUAGAGAAGCAAGCACAUUCCAGCUUUCUGGAUGAAAAGAAAGAAGGGUGGGAAAUGAAAGAUCUCCAAUGACAGUUUGAGGACCUGCGUCCAGUGGGGCCCCAAAUGAUAACUUCUAUUUAUUGGCCAAAAAGUUAUAUGAGCGAAUAUGUUUCUUUCAUAUAUUUUUUUCACUUCAACUUGUUUUGGCUGAGAUUCUGUUACUUGUCAAUGAAAUAAUUUUGACCAACCAUCCAGAAAUAACCACAUUUGCACUUGUGUAUAUUUCCUUCCAGUCUUUUUUUUUUUCCCUCGCUCAAUCUCUCUGCAUAGUUUUUUUUUUUUUUUAAAUGGAAGUGGAUCUUGAUCUACAAAUUUUAGUACUUUUUUUUUCCCUUCCUGAUCCUGUUAUAAAAUUUAGUGCCUUUGAUUAGCAUCUAAGUCUUUUGGGGAGAGGGCAGAAGAAUUUCUGCUGCCCCCACCCUUCCAUGUCACCCUUCUGAUCCCUGGAAGGUAUUUCAGAGGCCAAGGGGCUAUCCCGUGACAUCCACAGAUUGGCAGUUCCUUCCACGCUCAGUUCUAUACCGCUGAGCUGGAGACCAUCAGCUUUGAUAGAAACUUUGGCCUUAGGUCAGCUUGGACUCCUGCCUGGUCUUUCAAAGCACUUUCCUUUUAAAGCCUCCAAACCCAGCAUUUUCCAUAAACAUCUUGCUGCUUUUUUUUUUUUUUUAAGUGGAGAGAAAUUCAAGGGUGAGCAUAUUGUAUAUUAAUGGUGGUCGAGAGACAUGCAACAUGGACAGGAGUUUCAGGAAUCCAAAAAGGGAUGCACAGCAUGCAUUUGACUGGCAAGCAACCAUUCGGAGGAUAAUUAAAAAUUGAAAAUGCUGUAAUCACAUGGUAGGAAUUAUACCUGCGAUUCCUAAAGAAAAUCUGAGGUGAAGCAGCCUUUGCUUUAUAAUUAGCAUGAUGAAAUAAUACAGGCUACAGAACAUUUGCUAGCAAUUAUGGCUUGUUUGCUCUGCUUAUAGCUCAAAAGCAACAGCAACGUUUGUUUUGCUAAUCUCUCCUCCGGAUUUGUGAAUUAUUUGUUUUUAUUAUCUUAAAGAUAAACUGGAAAGAAAAAUCCAACACAGGGGGAAUUUUUAUAAGACAGAACACUCGAGUUGUCUUUGGAUGUGGACACCACACUUAAUUUAAUAAAAACCAAAGCAGACCAUGUUGGAAGCUCUAACGGAGGAAUGUGUUUAUAAUGAGGGAAGUGCCACAGGUCAGAAAACAAACAUGGGCUUUGAAACUGUGGAUAAUGGUCAUACCCGUGAUUCCUUAUUCUGCCGGGUGAUUCUGAACAAGUCAUAUCACCUUCCUGGAUGCUGACUGCCCUCCUCUGCCUAGUGAUAGCAAUCAUACCUGCCCAUCUCAGAGGCUAUGAAGAAUGCAGGAGAUAGCAUGCUUUUGAUUAUGAAGAGUGCUUUUAUAAAUCCAAAACGAUAACACUAUUAUAGUGUUCCGAUACUGUUCUCUAGAACUUACAGAGGGCUCGCACAUCUAACAGAUGCUGCGGUUAUAAUUCCUACCCUUCUUCCCCACCUUGUAGAUCACAGAUGUCAGCUACUUGAGUAGAGAUACUGUUUGAGGGUCAGACAGUCAGGGAUUUUAACCUCAGCGUGGGCUGUGUGACCUUAGGCGAGUUAGUGAUCUCUCCGGUCUUGGAAACAUCCUGUGUGCGGUGGAGAUAAAGAAACGCGUGCCUAAGGGUGCCUGGGUGGCUCAGUCGGUUAAGCGUCUGACUUCGGGUCAGGUCAUGAUCUCGCGGUUCAUGAGUAUGAGCCCCACAUCCGCCUCUGUGUUGACAGCUUGGAACCUGGAGCCUGCUUCGGAUUCUGUGCCUCCCUCUUUCUCUGCCCCUCCCAGACUCACACUCUGUCUCUUUCUCUCUCUCCCUGUCUCUCUGUCUUUCAAAAAUAAAUAAACAUUAAAAGAAAAAUUAAAAAAAAGAAAGAAAGAAAGAAACACCUGCCUAACUACCUGAAACCUUUCUGGUAGAUAGCAGGUACACAUAACUAAUUACGGUAAGCAGUAACACUCAAGUAUUAGGGUCAAAUAGGCUGAUAAAUGGGUACAGCAAAAUUAUAACAACAUCAUAACAGCUGUCGUGUUUUGACCACCUUCUCUGCCUUGAGUGCCCUUCUAAAACUUUCACAUGUAUUAACUAAAUGAUGCUCACAGCACUUCUAUGAUGAAAGGACUGUCAUUCUCAAUUUAUAGAUGAGUAAACUGAGGCCCGCAGGGAUGAAAUGUCUUACCCAAGACCAUCCAGCUAAUAAGUGGCCCAGCUGGGAUAUGGCGCAGGAAGUCUGGUCCCAGAGUCUGCACCUGUAACUUUCAUACUGCACUGUCUCUCUAAUUGCUAACAUUUAUUGAGUGCUUACUAUGUGAACAUUGUUCUACCACUUUUCUAAGUGGGUUGCAAUGAUUAACUCCUAAUAUUCUGAGCAAGCCUUUAUUAGAGUUAUUGUUUAGUUUUCAAAAAAUGACGCCUAGUUAAAUUUGAUUGUCAGAUAAAUGACAAAUAGUUUUUAUUAUAAGUAUGGCCCAGGCAAUAUUUGGGAGGUACUUAUACUAAGAAAAUAUUGUUUACCUGAAAUUAAAAUUAAAAUUUUACUGGGCAUUCAAUAUUUUAUCUGGCCAUCCUACAUGGGGUAGGUGGAAACUAAUCUAGUUCCUUGUGUUGAGCAGACUUCAGGAAACAGUAAUUUCUACCAUCAUUGGUAUUUUCAGGUUAUUCUGACAUCUGUUUAAAUUGUUCCCCUAGCCAACUAAAAUGAGAAGCUAUAUGCAUACAAAGAGUAAUAAUUAUGAUAUACUAAUAAAACCUUAAAAUAAUGGUGCCUCUGUAACUUGUAGAAACUAUCCAAAUGGAGUCUCAUGACAAUCCUGUAAAUAUUAUCUCUAUUUAAUAAUGAGAAAAUGGAGUCUCAGAGCUAUUAAAUAAUUUGCCAAUAAUUAUUGGCACACAAAUAAAAAAGCUAAAUACAACAUUACACUGUGGUUCCUAGGAUAUGAGAGCCGUGCCAUUGUAUCUCAGGGUUUAUAAUGACGAAAGUUAGUGGGAGUUUGGAUUCUAGCCCCAAUUUCCAUUAAUGGCAGGACACAUCUAAAAACUCAAGGCACAGUCAGCUCUAUAAAACGAGUCAGCAGCAAAAGAAAAGGCAGAUGGAAAAAAAUAACAUCUUCAAAAUCACUAUUAAAUGGUCCAAAAGAUCAUCUCACAUACUUUUUCCUUGCCCCUAGUGAGAUUUCUAUGGUGCCACAACCCUCAGGGAUAUGUCUGGAGAGUAUCCAUUUAUUUUGAAGUUUUAAUGUUUCAGGUGCUUUGAUAAGAACUUUACUACCUCCUCAAGUAACCAAGAGGUAAAAUUCUCAUUGCAUAUAUGGAAAAACCGACAUUCUGGAAAUUGUCAUCUGCAAAAGGUUUAGCUUCUGGCUUAAAAGUAACAGAGCUGAGCCUGCACCCCAGUCUUAUAUGACUUCACAACCUCUUCUUCUGAAAGAUACAUGAUACACGUGCUGCCAUGAACUAUCCCAUGCCCACUGCAGACAUUACUAGUCGAUCACGGUGUUCUUUCUCUUUGAGCCUGGAAAUGACCACAGAAUCCUUCUACUAACAUUACUCUGGGCAGCCACUACAGGUCAACGGCAGCAGACAUUCAAUGUUAUGCCGAGUAACCACCGCUGCAACACCUCCUUCUGACGCACACCUCCGUCUUAAUGGUUACGGUGAAACAAGAGUCAACUCUGCCCUCUACGUGAUGGAUGCUACCUUAAGGAGACUGUUUGGUAACUUUCAGAAAUGGAAUUCGACUGAGAUGUGAUGGUUCAGAGGAUGCAGUCCAACCGCUACUUAUACAGAGAGAGAGGAUACCAUGUGAAGAGCCCGGGGCUCUCUGCCACCAAGCCAGUUGUGAAGCCACCAUUUCCAAAGUCUUGAUGCUGCUGUGAUGGUCUGUUGCUUUCCACAGGAGGAAAACUGCACUCUACUCCUGCCAAGAAGGAAGUUUAAAACCCCACCUCCUCUCUGAGGAGUUAGAUUUCACUCUCAGACAGCAUGCUCUCACAGGCUAGUGACUGGUUUGAAGCUGAGAGUGCCCUCGGAUUGUGACACGGUACAGAUUGAGGAGGGAAACAGGCCACUCCCCUGGCUUCCCAGUCUAGAAACCAAGCCCACUUAGUUCACCUCUUUGUGCCCCCAGUUCCUCCCAUUAUCCCCCCCACCCCCAGCCCACAUAUAAUGAUGCUUUUCUUCUUUCCCUUUCUUGGGGAAGGAUUUAAGAGCUGUAUGGACACACCCGAUUCAUUGUUAGUGAAAGUUCAGGAAGAGACCGUGAACCCAGUUAGGAAUGAGCAGAAUCAAAAUGAGAGUAGGAGGGAAGGAAAAAGGGAACAUUACCCUUGCAAUAUGCCUACUGGUAAGAUACUAUAACUCAGAGAUCUCACGAUUGGGACCCCCAAAUUGUAUUUAGGCCCCAUCCUCCUCACCCUCAUCGUUGUCAAAACCGGCACAGAGCAAGUUUAUCAGGGUCAAAAUAACCUCCAGCAUAGGGAAAGUCUCUGCAGAGUCCACAAAUAAAGCAAAGACAUGACAAGCUUGGAAAGGUGGCCCGAGGGUGUGGUAAGUUGCAGGGGGUGCACAUGAGGAGAAAGGAAAACAAAUGAAGGUCUAGAGCAGGAAGCCAGCGCAGGGAGGCACCAAGUUUGAAGGGAAUGUGUAAUGUGCACCACUAUGAAGAGUGAGAGAGAGAUAGAUUGGUAAACCCUGACAUGGGGAGUGACUAGGAGCUUAGACUCCGAAGCCUAGCUCUGAAGACUGAACACAGACUGAAUCACCUCCUGCCAGCUCUGGGGCCUCAGACAAGUCACCUGUAAUUUCUAGGACUCGAUUUCCCAAUCCGGCAACAGGAACAUAAAUAGCACUUGUCCGAUGGUGCAGUUCUGAGAAUCGUGGUGAGAUCAUUUGUAUACAGUGCUUAGCACAGAGUCUGGUACCUAAAUAAUUCAGCACAUGUAAGUUGUCCCCAUAUCUAAAUAUGCCCACAAUACCUUAUUCAGACUUUUUAAAGUUGUAUAAUACUAUUUAUUAAAUUAUCCCAUUUCCCUAAAGCAUUUUCUUUAUACAUGUAGAUGUGCACAAAAGGAGAAAAAAAAUAAAGCUUUGAAAGCUAUGGACCAAACCCUGUUAACCGUGAGGACACGACGAUUGUUUUUUUCUGCUUUAUAUAUCGCUGUAUCUUUUGGUAUUUAUCUGAACUAGAAGCAUGUAUUAUUUUUAUAAGAAAACACAGAGAAAACUCUUAAAAAUACAAAGCAAAGGACUUCUGACCCUGAAGCUUGGGGUUUAAUUUGAGUUCUAAAAGGGACCAAGGUGGCUACAGCAACCUCAACAAAGGAACAGAUGUCCCCCGUCAAGGUAAGCCUUAGUCACGAGAGAGGACAAGUACUUGGCCAGAGUGUAAAUGAAAAGGAUGAAAGGGCUUCGUGAUGCAAAAUGGGACAAAACGCACAGGCUGUGAGGCUGCAACACAACACCUCGUAGUUCCCACGCCAGCAGACGAUGUGACCCACCCUCCACCGUUUUUAAUGGAGUAAGGUGCUUUGCGUCGUCUUCAAUGAAGGUAAAGUUUAUUCCUCUGCCUACAGCUGUGUCCGGACUGCACGUGAGGUGGAUGAAGUUUGGAAAAAGAGCAAUGCAUCUUGAAGAGAAAUUGUAGAGCCUAUUUGCCAAGUGAAGAAGGCUUUGUAUGGCCACCUUUGACUGAACUACUCUGAGAAUUUAAAAAUAAUUGUGGGGCACCUAGGUGGCUCAGUCGGUUAAGCCUCCAACUUUGGCUCAGGUCAUGAUCCUACGGUUCGUGGGUUUGAGCCGUGUUGGGCUCUGUGCUGACAGCUCAGAGCCUGGAGCCUGCUCCGGAUUCUGUCUCCCUCUCUCUCUGCCCCUCCCCUGCUCCCUCUCUGUCGGUCUCCCUCUCUAAAAACUAAAGAAACAUUUAAAAAAAAUUAGGGGGGAGCACCUGCGGGGGGCUCAGCCGGUUAGGUGUCAGACUUUGGCUCUGGUCAUGACCUCGCAGUUGGAGUUUGAGCCCCGUGUCAGGCUCUGGGCUAGCAGCUCAGACUGGAGCCUGCUCUGGAUUCUGGGUCUCCCUCUGUCUCUGCCCCUCCCCUGCUCGCACUGUGUCUGUCUCUCUCUCAAAAAUAAAUACACAUUAAAAAAAUAUAAAAAAAACUUUUUUGAAAACAACUGUGAAAAUAUAAAGACAGGCCUGCUGAUUGGAUUGAGGUUUUUGGAACUGGCAAUUAACCCAAGAAGCUGAUUUUAAUUGAAUGGAGAGGUAAUAAACAUUUGAUUGUAUUACUCUAGCUGCAAUCCAUAUUCCAAGUAUGAUUUUUCAGCCAAUAUUUCAUGAGUGAAAAUAACCUUCUUGCCUUUCUACCUUUUGGAGAAGGUGUUGACAAGGCACGAAGCAUCUGAAAUCACCUCCAUUGUAUUUCAGCUUCUGUCUGGGUCAACGAAACCAUAGGCUUUGUGUUCUUAAAUAACUCUGGGGUAGGAAGGUCCUCUUCCCAGGUGGCUUGUCCACACAGCUACAAGCUGGUGCUGGCAGAGGCCUCGGUUCCUUUCCACGCGUGCCUUUUCACGAGGCUACUCGUGAAUCCUCUAGCACGGUGGCUGGAUUUGGUCAAAGCAAGUUAUCCAAGAGACUAAGGCAGGUGCUGCAAUGCCUUUUAUGACCUACCCUCAAAGUCAUAAGCUACUAGCCUUGGACGUUAGCUCAGGCCAGUCCUGAUUCAAUAUGGGAGGCAAAUACGAAAAGGGGUAAAUAAAAGGAGAUGAGGAGUUUGGGGAGGGGGCAUCUUUUAGAAUGGCUUCCAGAUGGCUUCCAAUACAUAGUGACAGUUUUUAGAACCCAUCGGAAGCAAUAUUGAACAGAGAUUGCAGAGGUUAUCAAAGCCUGGGUUAAGGGCUGGAAGUUUUGAAUAAUCAAAAGAUCCAACUGUGAGGCAGGAGAUGAACAAUUUGGCCUCUAAAGUGUAUGUGAGCUCUAGUUCGGACCCAUUUCCUAGUUACCUGUAAGCUUGAGACCCUCUACUCUAGAAUUAAAUGGACAGCAGUGAAUAACUGGUUCCUUCAAUAAAAUAUUUACUGAGGGUCUGCUAUGUGUCAGACACAGAGCUAGGUCCUCUAGCUACCCCUGCCUAACAGUGCCAGCCCCAAGUAUAAACACUUACCUGAUAAAUGAAUUAUAUUUUUUCACAAGAAAAAUCAUAGGAUGCCAUGGGGAGCGAAAUGAGCCAGGCACCGUCAAGGAAGUGAUAGUAAACUCAGAAAUGAUGAGCAGGAAAGAUCUAGAGGAGGGAGAACGAGGAGGGAGUUGUUGGUGGAGGGAACGGCAUGUACGAAGGCCAUGAGGUGGGAACAUGAUAAAGUACUAUGAAUCCUGAACUUCCUGGCCUACACUCAGGAAGUUACUGAUAACUGAUUCACUCGACUCACUGCUUGAUUACUGGGAGGAAAGUCUUCAUCAUUUGAUACCAAAUUAUUUCUUCUUUCAGUUCUAGAUAAAGAUACGUAAGCUGUUUUCCAGACCCCCAAAGCACUGAGGCAAUGUUGUGAGGCACAUAUUAGGAGGAGAUAACUGCUCUUCUAGCUUAUAGAAUAGGAAAAAAAUAUACCUGAAUUAGCAAAGAAAACAUAACUGGGAAUUUAAUUGCUAAAGGCCCCGGUUCCUCCCAAUGCCUGAAAUUAAAAAUGAACAGCUUAAGAAAUGAGUGAAGUGGGUAUUUAAAUCUCAUGACCACUGACAUCAUAGGCAUCAUUGAACACAGGCAAAUCAUUACAAAGGGACUCUCAGCUAUUUGUAUGGAUGGUCAGGACCAUCCCUUUUCUGGGCUCUGAAAUGACCUCAGGUAUAAAAAAAAUCGUAAAUGAACAAAAGCAUAACCAUGUCAUGGUCCCUUUAAGAUAAAACUGGCAGCGUUUCACUAGAAAUUACUGACUGUUCCAGAAACGACAUUCUGUGUUCUGCAGUAAGGAGGAGAGCUUUUUUGUGUGUGUUUUCUUCCCUCCCAUUUGGUUACAACAAUGAGUCACCAUUACCUGCAAAGCUAGACAUGUAGAUUUGCUUCUGGUGCCAGAAAGGCAAGACAUUAGUUGGCUGGGAUUUAAAAUGAGAAGGGUAAAAAUGUUUAAUUUACCAGAUUUAAUUAAACAUGAAAGCUUCCAGGAAGGGAAACAUGCUCCCCAUCCCCCAUUCCCCACUUCUAAAAAAGUCUCUACUGAUCUUCAUUCCAAAGAGGCUACAUACAUUACAGAGCUAAUUUUUAAUGAUUUGUGUAAAGCAUCAAUUUGCCCCAAAUUAGAAAAACUGUGUAAUGACGACCGGUACAGACAGAACUCCCAAGUUUUAUCUGACAAAACCACACCUCUGAAGGAAACUUAUUUAAACGCGUUUAUAUAAAGGCUGUCUCUUCUGCCCACCUAUCUUUGGCCUCCAUGAGGUACAAAAAGGUGAGGUAGUGGAAAUAUAAGCUCAUACAUUUCCUAAGAAUAUGAUGAUUAUGUACAAUGUACAGCAGGCCUGAGUCGCCUCUUAAGACAACGUCUCUCCCCAGCCCUUUCCCCCCAAAUGAGGUCUUCCCAGGCAAGAAACCUGACUCUUAUUUUCAUAAUGCUUCAGGCAUGCAUAGCAAAGAGCAGCUCUUUCUGCCCCUGUACUUGAGACAAGACUCCUGCAUCUGAGUUGCGAAGUUAGGAUUUCAUCUCCGUGUCUUUGCGAAACUGAAUAGUCAGAAAGAAAACAAGAGUCGACUCAUUCUAUACCUUUGCAAAAAUAAAGGAAGGAGUGAAUAAUGAACGUGAGCAUAUACUUUUAAAAAUAUCUCCCUGGGAAGCUGAUAUAGAUACGGAUAUGUAUGAAUUUCAAGAUAUCCACUGGGUUCUCUGGGCACGGAUGGCUUGCCUUAUAACUAGCCCCAAGAUCUCUUUCGUGUCUGCAUAUUCACCUCAAAUUAUGUUUCAAGUCCUGAAGGCCAAUUUUCUCAGUUUUAAUGAAAUAUAUCCAAAUGUGACUCCCACGACUAAGUGACAGUGGAAGGGUAUACUUUUGGAUGCUGGAGGUGGUGGUGAAGGACAAUAAGCUGACAGCUUUAUAACAUAAAGCAGAAAAGGGGGGUGUUGAACCCCAAAUCAAGAGGAAGCAUAUUUUUUGAGUGUAAGAACCGAGUCUCUUACAAAAAAAAGGAGACAUUGUGACUGUAAGUGGGAUUUUUUUCCCCCAGUUUCUCUAAAGGGAUUUUUCAGGAGCACAUUGUUCAACAGAAAGCAUUACCUAGAUGAGACUGUCCAGACCAGAAUUGUUUUUAAUGCUAUUUUCUGCACUGUUAACACUCAACAAAUAAGCAGCCAUAUUCCAACGGUGAUCAGUCAAGUACAUUCAUUGCUCUAGUAUCUCUGCAUUCAUGGUGGCUUUCUUGAAUGCAGAUAGUCGUAAUGGAUAAAGGUAGACACUCUUAAAGAGCCAUUCAUGUCUGAGUCUCCUUAUACAUUUCCUUUAUACUCUCUGCAAAAAGACUUCUAUUCUCUUUUUGCUUUUCUGUUAAAAUUCUCUAAUAUCUUUGUUUGUUUUUUUUGUUUGUUUGUUUUCAACGUUUAUUUAUUUUUGGGACAGAGAGAGACAGAGCAUGAACGGGGGAGGGGCAGAGAGAGAGGGAGACACAGAAUUGGAAACAGGCUCCAGGCUCUGAGCCAUCAGCCCAGAGCCUGACGUGGGGCUCGAACUCACGGACCGCAAGAUCGUGACCUGGCUGAAGUCGGACGCUUAACCGACUGCGCCACCCAGGCGCCCCAUCUAAUAUCUUUGAUAUUCAGUACCAGCUUCUUCACCUUUACUUUUACAGAAAUUUUUAUAAUUGCUCAAGUUCAUUCACCUAGAGAAGACAGGGGCAUCCAGAAAGACGCCAUGAACUUGCCAUUUGGUCUACUAAACACAUAGCCCUUCAUCAAAAAAGAAUCUCUUUUAAUUUGGGAACUAUCACUUCACCAGCUUUCGGUUCUGAUGGGAAUUAGUUUAACCCAUCCACCUGCUGAAAUGAGAAGCAUGUGACCCAGCCGGACCAGUCAUCCUGCCUCCUCUGUGUGACUGGCCAGAUAAAUCCACAUAUGAUCAACGUCAGCCAGUAAGAGUCCUGUUGGGGGUUGACCCGUGGCGGCACCCCGUUGACUCUGAUGAAGAUGCACCUGGGAAGAAGCGAACCUGGAAGCUUCCAUCAAACCUGCCUCCGGGCAUCAGAGGAAGCUGACUGAGGAAAUGGAGCCCGUCCAUACUCCAAAAGAAAGAACCGAGAAAGGGAGAGAGGAGACUUUGAGUCCUAUCUCUGUCAUUGUUCACGAAGCUGUUCCUUCAGAUAUGUGAGCCACCCAUGAUUCUCCCAACUAAUCACCCUCUGUAACUCCUCUGGUAGUUCAGGUUGGGUUUCUGUAACUUCCUGACGAUGGAAGGUUCUAAUAGUUGUAACAGCAUAUCCAGAAGCAUCUUGCACAGUGGUGUGCACAAAAUAGGUACCUAAAGUAUGUGAGUAAAUUAAAGGGUAGAUAUUUAUUUAUUUAUUUAUUCAUUCAUUCAUUUUAAUAUAUGAAAUUUAUCAUCAAAUUGAUUUCCAUACAACACCCGGUGCUCAUCCCAAAGGGCAGAUUUUUUUUUAAACAAAUGAACUGUAGAAAGCAGAAGAGGGACUUCUAAAUCGCACAACUAUUUGAAUUUUCUUGUUGUUAUUGGCACUAAUAGUGACAUUGUGUCAGACCUACUGACAGUUCAGGUGUUCCUGUGCGAAGUGAUUAAAAUAGACCAAUGCCAUCCCGUGGAAAUACAACUGGAGGCACACGUAUAAUUUUAAAUCUUCUAGGAGUCAGUUUAAAAACAAACAGGUGAAAUUAAUCAUAAUAUACUAUUCUAUUUAACCAAAUAUGUAAAAAAUGUGUAAUUCCAACAUAUAAUCAAUAUAAAAACUACUAACGGGAUAUUUUAAUAUUGUGUGUGUGUGUGUGUGUGUGUGUGUGUGUGUGUGUCCUAAGUCUUAAAAAUCCGGUAUGUCUUUUACUCUUAGAGUGUAUUUCUAUUUGGACUAGCCCCGGUUCAAGUGCGCAGUAGUAACACAUGGCUUGUGGCUACUAGAGUGGACAAUUCGCUGGUUGUAAUUCUUAUUCUACCACCAACUAGUUCUAUGACGUUCAGAAACCUAUCUGCUUUAUUUGGGCCUCAGUUUCUUCAUCUGUAAUAUGGGGAUAAUGAUAAUCAUCCCUUCAUCAUAGGAUGGAUAAAGAGAGCAAGGUAAGUAGGUUGGAUGAAAUUCCCGCCACACGGAGCUGUGUUCUAGUGGGGAGCAUAGACAACUUACUGCUAUAAAUACAGGGAAACAGCAGAAUGUCAGACAGUGCCAGAAGACAAAAGGUUACAGAGAAGGCAAGUAACUCUUCGGGGGAUGGAGAGAAAGAGCGUGCUUGGAGAGAUGUAUCAGAAGGGGCCUCUCCAGGAAGGGGAUCGGUCACCUGAGAGCUCCAUAGUGAAACACAGCCAGCCGCACCACCAUCCACGGUAGGAGGCCAGGACCUGUGUUCCAGGAGCCUCAACACCGUCUUGCAGAAAGACAACCCAGAAACAGGUCGCACAGAGAGGACUCCCGUACUGUAACCCACGUGCCUGCAGCCGGCACCCGGUCAUGUUUUCAGUUUCGGUGGGAUGAAAUGCUGGCAACGGCCGCUUAGGGUCUCGCAGGCUUUUCUCGGGCAGCUGCUACAACUGUGCCACGCGCCGUGAGAAAGAAUUAAAGAGAGAAAACCCUAUUGACAGAGGAGGUGUGGGCCUCGGUGGUAUGAAAAAAAAUCAGGACCAGGUAAUCUCAGGCAACUCUGGGUUUGGAAAAGACCGGUACAGGUGCCAUGGGGCAGCCCCGACAGAUCUUCCCCUUGAGUGUGGAGUUUCGGGACGGUCCUGAGCUUGUGAGGUCCUGCAGAGACAUACUCUCUGGGCGGCGUGCCUCUUACAUUGCUGCUGCCGAGGGCCAAAUUGUCCUGGCUCGGGGCUGGGCCCACUGCUGGCUGCCUUGUUUUUAUUCCCACAGCCUGUUUCUCUUUGAAAGCAAAUUGCUCCCCAGGCUGUUUAUGACAUGUCUGAGGCAGCUGGUCUGGUAGCCUCUGGAGUGUUCCGGGUAUGCCCUACAGGUAAGGGAGCUUAAGAAGGCUAGCUGCUUCUCACAUCAACACGGGCUCCAGAAAAGGGUCUGUGCCAAGACCUUGCUCAGCACCUAAUAUACCUCAAUUCCUUUCAUCCUCCCUCAAACAAUCCCGAGAGAGGUCUUACUACCUACAUUUUGCAGCAAAGGAAACUGAGGCUCAUAAAGGUUAAGUCAUUUCCUCAAAACCACACAGCAAUUAAGUUGUGACUCCAAACUCUUUGAUAUUUCCCCUGUUCUGGGCUAAAUGGCAACAGUUUAGGCUGGAGAGAGGGGAAGUGCCGGGCAGGUCAUGUGGUAAUCUAUGGGUCUUUCAUAAGUAGGAAACUCAAGCAAGGGAAGAACUUGAACUUGAUUCUACUCAGUCUCUGACUUCACACACCCAGGUCACUAUGUGUCGAUUUCUCAUUUUGUUCUCGAGUCAGCUCCAAAGACAACAGAUAAUGCGUAGAAAAGAUGCACUUUAAGGGCAUAGGGAGUGCAUCGCUGGGAACGGAAUCUAGAGAAAGGAAGAAGGAAUUUGGAUCGCUACUGCAAAGCCAGAUGUUGAAUUCAUUAAUAGAUGCCUUUAGGAGCGUUUUUAGAAGCAAAGGAUCAUAAGAUUGAGACCAAAAUUCAGAUGAGAAAUAGAAAGCAAAAACAGAUUGCAUUAUUCAUCCUCAAAAGGUCAUCCUUCCCACCUGCGGCAGCAAGUGCAGUUUAAAUUUGGUUACGUCAUAUGGGAUCUAUACAUAGACCCACAGAAGCCUUGAAACCUACUCUACCUCUUGUCAUCCCCGCUUACUGACGCUGCCUCCUUGUCAGAUUCAGUGCUUUCUUUUUCCUUGACAUCCUUGGUUAUAUUUGAUCUCCCUGACACUCUUGUCACUCCCCCUCCUCAUUCCUGUGUCCUCUCUUGCCACCUGUGAGAUCGUAUGUGCCACGGUUCUAUUUACUGUAUAAAAAAUAAGCCCCAAACCGAGGGGCUCAAAACAACGCACGCUUAUUUCAUGAUUUUUGAGGGUCAGGAAGCCAGGCACAGCUUAACAAGGUCCUCUCUUUCGGGGUCUCUCUCAGGCCACAGUCACGGUGCCAGAGGGAGCCCAAGACCUCCCCAUGAGGGUACAAUCUGCUUCCAAACUCAUUCAGUGGUUGUUGGCAGGCAGAUUGCCCAUGGGUAGUUGGAUUGAGGGCUUCAGUCGGCAUUGGUCGACCAUUGGAAGCAGCCCUCAGUUCCUUGCUAGGUGAGCAUCUCCAGAGGGAACUUCAUCAGAGCAAACAAGAGAGCAACAGCAAGCAGAAAUCAGUCUUCUGUGAUCCAAUCCCGGAAGUGACAUCUCAUGACUUUUGCUGUAUUCUAGUGGUUAGAAGGAGGUCAAGAGAGCCAGCCCUUGCUCAAGGGGAGGGGACUGCGCAGGAGGUGGGGACGAAUGGUGGCCAUCUUACAAACCUGCCUAUCACAAAAAUCUCGUGCAACAUUUCUAUUUGGUACCAUACCUGAUAUAUCUAAAUGUCAAGUAAAUGAUGGCUGUGUUUGACAUUACAUUCUCCUGCUCUCCUACCUCUUCCACUGCCCUAGAGCUCACCCCAAGAGGAUGGAACAAUUAUUGUGGCAUUAAAUAUAAGAAAACUUAAGUUUCCAGCCCCCACACCUCUCCACAUACAUACUUUUUCCCCGUUGGGAAGCCAGCUUAAUCUUUCCAAAACCCAAAUCUGAUCAUGUCCCUUCCUGCUUAAAACCUUUCAGGGGGUCCCCAACAUCCUUAACAUACCCUUAUCAUGGCUUUGGAGGCCCUACAUGUUAGACCCAGAUGAACCCCUCCAAUCUCGUUUCUCUCCACAUCCCCUCUCUCCUUUUAUGUUGCAGCCAUACUUACCUUCUUUUAGCUCUACAAACAUACAAGGAUUUCUCUCCUCUCUCCCAGCCUGUGCUAAAUACACUCUCUCACUUCAAGCCUUUGUACGCUAAGAAAAGGGGGGGAGUUCCUUAUCUAGAACCUCCAUGAGGGCAGAGAUCAUGCCUAUUAGAUUAUGAGCCCAUCCUUAGGACCCAGCACAGGGCCUGGUGGCAGACAACAGCCACAGAGGAAAGACUGUGCCCCAUGGAAGAUGGUGGCAGAGUUUCAAUUUGCCCUGACAGCACCCCACAGGCAGAGGGGCUAUGGACCUGCCGCAUCCAGGGUUUACUUUCCGGCACCUGCCUCUUCUACUCUACCUCAUUCCAGGAUGCCUUCUUGGAGAACAGAAAAAGGUGACAUCAUAUCUUCCAGGCGCUGUGUUUCUAGGGCAGGGAAAUACAUGAAGACACAUUUGUAUCAAGUAUUAUAUUGUGAAUUCCUGACAUACGUUUUUGAACGAAUGAAGGACGUAAGGCAUCCACAUACAAAGAACACGCGUCCAUCUUGCAGACGACGUCAGCUAGCAUUCAUUACAUACUUACGACAUGUCCAGCAGGCUGCAAGGGGGUUCACAGGCAGCAACAGCAGCAAUCCCUCCUUUAUUGUUUACAGCACUGUGAGCGGACAUAAUUAUUCCUGUUUCAUGAACGAGGAAUAUGAGGCUCAGGGAGGCACAGUUACUUGUCUGCCAUCAUGCAGAUAAGAAGCAAGCUGAAUUGGGACAUGAUAAUGACAAUGACAGCUGCUGUUAAGUAAACCUUUACCAUAAGCCAAGCUUUCACCAGUACUUGAUAUGAGUCCUCUUACUUAAUGCUCCUAGCAACCCAUUAGAAUGGGGACUACCUUUAUCACUAAAUUAGAAAUGAAGAAACAGGCUCAGGAAACUUAAGAAGGCUGCCUCUGAUUACACAGCUCGAAAGAGGCUGCAUUGGAAUUUACUUUUUUCAGUGCAUAUUUUAUUACAGUGAUAUUUUAACAGAUAAUUUCACUUCCAGAUAUGGAACAUAUUAGUAUGUUAAGACAACAGGCUGAUAACAGUAGCCAAGGUUAGCCCUUUUCCCGUAAGAAAAAAAUGGUGGUAUAAAUACUUAAGAAGCUCAAAAUCAUCACUUUAAGAAAAAUGUAUCUUACAGUGAGUUUUAGUUCUACUUGAUAGGAAAACCAAAUGAACUUAAAGCCGGACAUCAAUAGGCUACUCACCGGCAUGUUAUUCAAGAAAAGAAAAACAUAUUAAUACACAAAAAUAAUGAAACGUUUGUAUUUCUUGCGUUUUCAUUUCCUAUUGUCCUAAAAACAAUUACUCAAAUGUAAUUCAGGAUUUUAUUUCUCCAGCCUGGCUGCUCACUUGCAUUCUGGAAUGUGAUAGCACAGACGUUAACUAUUCAGAAUAUCAUGACCUACUGUUUGUGGCUUUCUAGUGUUGUGUCAUGCUCCUACCCAGCCCUGGGAUUUGAACCCAGGACCAUCUGGUGCCCCAGAUCAUGCUGUUAUCACCACACAAACUACCUACGCAGGCCACAGUAUGAACCACAAACCAUGGGGAAAAUUUGUUCCUCAAAUACAAGACGUUUGAAAGCUAUUGUGUGCUUGUGCAAGAAAAGGCCACAAACUCUCUAGAUUCCAAAAAUAAUUACCCCAGGCUCCUUUGAGUCCCUUCUGGGUAACUCAUCGGGAAGAUUUCCCAAUGGUCCAAUGGUUUUAAAAGCAGACCGAUAAUCAGAAUCAGCUGGAAGGUCCUUAAGAUACAUAUUCCCAGGGGCCACCACAGACCCACAGACUCACAAUCUCCAGGCCCAGGGAUUAGGAAUCUGAUUCCAGAGGCCCCUCAAAGAUUGUGAUGCCCAGCCCGAUGAGAGCCGCCGGUUUCCCCGAGCCCGUGUUCCCUAGAAGAACACCACCCCAUGGGACUUCCAUGCCUGCCACCUCUUUCUUCACAAACUCUGAAGGAGGGUGCUUUACUGCCAGCUGGUGAUUAAGAAUAAGCAAGCUCAGCCUGAAAAUGCAUAUUCUUUUCCAGGCAGAACUUAUAAACUCCCUUUUCCAACAUUAAAAAUAAGAUGAUGAUGACAAUGGUAUCUAAAGUCACUUAUGGGGCAUCUACCAUGCACUUUAUAUAUGGCAUCUCUAAUCUCAGCAACUCUACAGGGCAUAUUUUAUUCUCCCCAAUUUUCACGUAAGGAAACCAAGGCUCAGAGAGGUUAAUUAAUUCGUCUAAAUGUGUCCUUCCAGCAAAUGACAGAAACAGGUCAUUUUAACUCCAGAGCCCAAGUUCCUUCCCUUCCCCUCUAGCUGUGUCACCUUGGGUAGAUACUUAACCUGUCAACGCCUUAAUUUCUCCCCCUGUGUAAAGAAGAAAGCAGAAGUACCUAACUCACAGGUUAGAUUAAAAGACACGAUAAACAUAGCACUCAGAGCACGGUAAUAUCAGAUAUUACAGUAGUUGGGUUUUAUACCAGGGUUUCUCAAGCACGUCUUGGAAUGCACACAUCCUCUCUAAAUAGUGUGUUAAGGACGCUGUGAUGUUCCACUGAGGAACCCAGUUUCACUCUACCUCUAGCUGGAAGAUAUAUGUAUUUCAAUCACUUAGCCUCCACCUAAUACUUUGGUCCAACCAAGAAGGAAAGGGACCUUUCACAUGCGAUUUGGAAUGGCAUUGCUUGCAUGAUCUCACCGUCCACCAGCACUUGGAAAAGGCCCUACUAGAAGAACAUACCAGUAAGAAGUACUUGCUUUGAUACUGGCUGCUAAUCCCAUGGCCCAGCUUGACAUUGUCUCUUAGCAACGUCCUGUCCUUUUCCCCUUUUCAUUCUUGUGCCUCUAACGACACUUCCUUUUCUCCGGUUUCUCUUCAGCCUCGGGCUUUCACGGCCCCUUAAGCCUCGUUUACACAGGGAGAAGCAGGAGCGAAAGGCCCCGUGCACAUAUUUAUGUUAAUAGUACUGAGGGGAGGAACAGCCUGUUCUGGGGGCUGCUUUCCAACUGUCACAUAAAUCAGUCAGAAAAAAAAAAAAAGUUACUACUUUCACAAAGACACUGCCAGAGUGGUCUUGGCAAUGCAUCAUCCCCCUGAACCCCGCCUUCUCAAGUGCCUUCAGUAACGUCUCCCUCAGUUGUCAGGAAGAGAGGAUGAAGGAUUUCAGAGAUGCGAAGGAUUUCCAAGUCAGAAGGGACCUUUGAGAUCAUCCAGUGCUAAAUCACAUGGAAACUUCUGGUAAAUACCUGUGCCUGGGGCCUUUCCCCACAGAUUCUGGUGCUGUUCUUUGGCCAUGAGGCACAGACAAGAUUUUCAAAGCUUUCCAGGUGACUCUAAUGUACAACGAGGGCUUGUGGUAUUGAUGUAGUGAUAGCCCCAUGAAGAGAGGACCAGACCUCCCUCAGAUCAUGCAGGGAGUUAGUGAUAUCGGCAGAGCCCUGACACCCUGUCACAUUUUCUCCCAUGAUGUUAUGCCGUAGCUAAGUUCUGGUGUUAACCUGCAGAAACACUAGAUGGUGGUUUUACUAGAGUUGUGCAUCCAAAUCACUGGACGGGCUCCUUCAUUAAAAAAAAAUUUUUUUUUAAGUUUAUUUAGUUUGAGAGAGAACGAGAGAGCGAGUGCACACGCAUGCAAGCAAUGAACGGAGGAGGGGCAGAGAGAGAGAAUCCCAAGCAGACUCCACACUGUUAGCUCAGAGCCCGAUGUGGGGCUCAAAGUCAUGAGCCACGAGAUCAUGACCUGAGUGGAAAUCAAGAAUCGGAUGUUUAACCAACUGAGUCAUCCAAGAGCCCCAGAAGCUCUUUUAAACUCACUUUCACCCACCUUGUUCUACCCGGACCAAUUGAAUCAGAAUUUCUUGGUGAAACCCCAGCACACAGAUUCUGAAAAAGCCUGUGGUGGCAAUUUAGAUGUGCAUCCCAGUCCAAGAACUAGCCUGCUGGAGAGACCACCCAUUUUGGAGUUAGAAAAACUUGGGUUCAUAUCUCUGGUCCAUGAAAUACUAACUGUGGUUCCUUGGACAAGUUACAUGACCUCUUUCAGCCUCAGUUUCUUCAUCUGCCAAAUGGGACCACAUAGGUAAUUCCAUUCGUCACUUUUAUAGUUCAAGAGUCAUUUCUCCUAGAAAGUCACAAGUGAGCUUUCAGAGGAAGCCAUUCACCCAGCUUUCCAGGAAAUGCUCUCUUAGAGAACACACUAAACUUCUCCUUUGUAACACUGAGCAUAACUCAGUGAUCAAGUAGUAUGAGGCUUAAUACAUGGUUUUUGAAUGAAUGAAUAAGCAAUCAACAACGAUUCAACGCAUGUAUAAUGGAUUACUCGCUCUUCGUCCCCACCACCAGAGAUGAGCUAAGAAGGCGAGCUGUCUUGUUCACUGCUGCGUCCACGGUGCCUAGUGUAAGGCAGGCUGAACAAAUGACUGAUAUAUAUGAAGCACCUGGCACAUAUCCACAGUAAAUGGAACAUGUAAUAAAUAUUACCUGUUGUAACAAUUAUCUUCAGAUAGGCCCCGUGUUUUACCCAAAGGCUCACAACAGAGCUGAGACUUGAACUCAGUCCUCUGGACCGCCAGGCUCAUUUUCAAUCCAUGAGGUCAAUCUGCCUUAAGGUUUUCCUACUGGGAGGAGGGAAUCUAGGAAAAAGUGGCAGGCUGUCUGUGCCCACUAGAAUAAGCUGGAAACCCAACGGGUUCUUGCACGCUUCCAGCCUCCACUGUGCAAUCCACGCAUGCCCACAUAUUUGCAGACAAUAGUGACUGUUAGCAUAAGCAUCUUGAUUCUUUCUCGAGAAUGCUUUGGAUCAUAAACUCCUUAAGGGCAGUAACCAUGGUUUUGGCUUCCACCACAGGCUACACCCAUGGGAACUCCGCUGUUCGCUCAUGACAGAUUGGUGGCAGCACCACUGUGUUGAUCCCAGCACCUUACACAUGGUGGGUCCAGAUACCUGUGAUGAUUUCUGGGGUGCCUGGGUGACUCAGUCCAACUCUUGAUUUCAGCUCAGGUCAUGAUCUUGCAGUUGUGAGAUCGAGCCCCACAUUGGGCUCCGUGCUAAACACGGAACCUGCUUGGGAUUCUCUCUCCCUGCCUCUCGCUGGCCCUCCCGUGGGUUGUGCACACACACACUUUCUCCCUCCCUCCCGCACCCCUCCCUCAAAACAAACAAACAAACAUUAAAAAAAAAUGAACACCGGCGGUGAUUUCUGAUUUCCCCACUAGUCAUCAUGCUGUCUGUGAUUAGGGGGAAGCUGGUGAGUGGAGGGGCCCAAGGAAGAGACGACAUUCACAUUAUUGGCUGCAUAAGCACACACUGUAGAAGGGAGUUCAGAAUAAGGCUAGGGGUGGAUGUUUCUGAGAAUAACUCUGGGUGAUUCCAUGUCUCUCUGUAUAUAUCACAUGGAAAUCAAGAGCUUUUCAAAUGUUCAUUUUAUGUGCUCCAGAUGUUAUGCCAAGUACUUUAAAGACAGAAUAUCAUUUAAUUCUGACUCCGAGUGGUUGAAAUCAUCACUGUCAGCAUUUUACGGAGGAGAACACUGAGGCUGAGAAUAAUUUGCUAAAGGCUACAAACACCAGGAUGAGCCAAGACCAGCCCUGGAAACAGACCUAAGUGAUGGUUCCAAGACCAUAAUUCAUUCGUCAAAUGUUUACUGAGCGGUACUAUGUGCCAUGUUGUUUUCUAGUUGCAAAGUAUGUGUUACAGAUGAAAGUCAAAGUCCUUGUGGGACUUAGGUUCUGUCUAGGGGAGACAAACCAUAAAUAACGAACCUAAACAUUAACUAAAUUAUGUGAUCUGUUAGAAAGUGAUGGUACUAUGGGAAAAAUAGGGUAGUGCAAAAUGGUGGGGAGUAGGUUGGAGAUGAGUGUGGAGGACAGGGUGGGAGCGUCUGUGAUAUAGGUUUGCAAUUUUAAAUAUGGUGACUGAGAGAGGCCUCAGCGACAAAGCCACAUUUGAGGAAAGAAGGAAAACUUCAAAAAGCUCUAAACUAUAUUAUGUUCAUUCUGCCCACCCCACUAAAAUGAAUGGAUGGAUGAAUGAGUGAAGUACCACUGAUUAGCACCUGCUAUGUCUCAGGUUCUGUGCUAAGUGCUUUUUCCACAACUUCUCAUCAAGUCCUUACAAUGACCAUAUAAUAACGAUAUCACCUCUGUUUUUCUGAUGAGAAAAUUGAGACCCAGAAAGGAUAAAAGAUACUGUUCAGAAUUAUUUAAUGAGUGAUGGGGCUGGGAUUUCAACUCAGCUCUUCAACUCCAAAGCCCAUGCUCUUCUUACUACAGGAUGCUGAUGAAGAGUAUGGGGUGGUUGGGGGCUGUGAACACAGAGACACAGCAUGGACCCACCUCUGACUUGAGAAAGCCACCCUGCAUCAUGCCCCACAAGGGCAGGGCAGCUGUGAGGCUGGGUGCCCCCCUGGUGAGCCAAGUGCGCACAGGUGUAGGUAGCGUGGCUGACGUACGGUGUGCCCUACAUGCCAUGUCUCCCACAUAGGUCCUCUUUUCUCCCCUACCUGGUGUGAAAUAUGUUUCUUCAGUAGUUACAGCAGAUAGAUGUAAAGAAGCAGUUCUUGAAGAGCUAUACCGUUUGCCAAUAUCAAAAAGCUUAUGGUUUCUGGAAGCUCUCCAGGAGGGCUGCUCUUUGACCAAGGACCAGUAGCACCCUGGACACUGUAGGCCAGAGGCUAAGAUCUUUCUAGGAUGCUUUUGAAGGGAGCUUUCAUAAACUUGCCGGGGUCUUGUUCUUGACCAGACAAGUGUGGCUCUCAUGAAUGAUCUCCCCCAUGUCUGGGGCCUCUUUUCCAUACACUACACUUUCUCUUUCCUAGGAACACUAGGAGCUCCACUGUCUAAGAAGACUUUACUUGAAUGCAGGUCGGCCCAGCCUACGAUGUAUUCUGUCUCCCUCCAGCCUCAUGAGGCUAGCAAUCCAGUCAUACCAAAUGACCUCCAUUUGGAAGCAUGCAAGCAAAAGGGGUGGGUCGCCUGAGUGACACUGGUCACUCAAUAAUGGACCUACUGAGACAAUGAGGCAUGCACAUGAAGUGACUGGUGUGUGAGUGCUUUGCACAUCAGGAAUGCCACAGAAUAUACUUUGGAGAUAAUAAGGAAGAGGAGAAGGAUGCUAGAAUUUUCUCACGAAUGCCCAGAGUUUCACAACCUUGGUCCAUCCUUUGACCCCAAGCCAACCCAAAAGCAUAGAUUCUGUCCUUUGUACCCACUGUGCAUACAUAUGUUGAAUAUUUAUAUAUAUAACAAUGACAACUAGUAUUAACCAAUUUUUAUGUUUUGAAAGCAUGGAUUCAUGGGCAUUUAGGUGCUACAUCUCAUUUAAGUGAUAAAACAACACAGUUAGUGGGAUGUAGUGAUUUAAAUACCUUUUUUGCAAAGGAAGAAAAUGAGGCCAUAGAAGCUCAUUGACUUUCCAAGGUCAGAGCUGGAGAAUGAUGGGAGUAUAACGUGGGGCCCUGAGUCACAUCCUCAUGUUUCUUUCCUGACAAGGAAAGGCUGUUAGGUACCAGAUUAAUUUGCAGCAAGAGCAGUAUGAUCACACUCCACUUGUCUCUCUUCUUCCUGUGUCUCUGUUUGCACGGGGUCCCUAUUCUUUCAUCCCUUCCCUUCCUGUUUCUCUCCCUCCACCCACCUUCUUUCCUCCCUCUCUCUUUUUCUAUGUCUUGGCUUGGAUUUAAAUUUAUACCAGGCUGAAAUGUACAGAAAAGCUCCAUUACCAGGUGGUCUCACCUACAUCUUCCUAUGGCAGAGACCCCAAGAGGGACAUUGCAAUGAGACCUUAGUACAUUAAUCCGGAGCUCUGAGCUGGUGGCAUGCCCGCGUGCCUCAGAGGAGGCAAAAUUCUCAUUAGAAGCAGCAUCAAUGAUGGCAUCCCGUAACAGUGUGGGCUCACACAGAGGGAGAGAAGAUCCAGGUUACCUAAAGUCAAGGCUAAAGCCCUAGGCCCUCAGGGCCCUUCCUCAUGACUCCUUUACACCAUCACACUUUGAUAUAUUUGCCUGUCCAACAUGUGUCUCUCCACUUGACUGAGGUAUGUAGGGCAUGAGGACCAUACGAACUGUGUCUGCCUGGUUAGCACUGUCCCUUUGGUUCACAGCACAGUGUCAGGCAUUGUGUGAGCCCUUAGAAAUAUGUGGGGAAUAAAUAAAUGAAUGAAUAAUGAAGGAAUGAUGGAAUAACAAGAGCUUAAUAUGUCAUUCUCUUUAGGACCACUUGUCUUUUGAAAGAAGAUUCUAAUCAAGGAUGCCUCUUAAGCCCAUUAGAAUUUUCACAAGGAAGGGGUUCCACCUGGGAGGCCAUCCUGGAGUGGAUGCCUGGAGUGGAGCGUGAUAAGAAGUGCAUCUAUCCAGCAUUUCUCAAAUGGUACCUAACAGAUGCCUUCAUAUGAAAUCAGUCUCAUCACCAAAACUAAGAGUGGCUGGACCUCAAUGAACAGGGACUUUGAGGAAGUGGAGGGGGAAAAAAGGCAGCUGGGUUUGACUUCAUUCCACCCAGAUGUCCUUUCUGUGAGCCUCUGAUUAUUCUAUCCUGAAUCUGAAGGAAACGUGUAGAGAUCUUGAGUCACAACCUAGAAGGCCAAAUUCUUAUGGGACAAUAAAAAUCUGAACCAAAUGCUGGCCCUGCUGGGUCCGUCUGUUAUUGGAAUUAAGUCCCCCUUUUCAUUUUAUUCAAACUGAAGAAACUUUCUGGCAGGGUGUCAGGUUUCAAACAGAAAUGUCAGCCAAGGGCUCAUGAGGCCAAGAUCCGAGCAAACUUGAAUCAAUUUAUGCUUUGGGUAAAACUUCAUAUGGAAUUUAGUGGUCUGGUGGGUCCAUUUGUUAAAUAUUCUUCAUUUGCAUGUCCUGGACUAAAACCCUGCAAGGAGCUGUGUAUAAAAUCAGCAUCAGAGGCCAAAGUAACCUCUUUUACCCAAAGUGAGGGUACAUCUGUAGAUGAGUGUGAAGGGCAUACUAGAGUGAUUUUCUUCCCCAAUACGAAAGCAGAAAAGAACUUGAACAUGUGCUAAGCUUGAUUCAAAUCAUGAUCUGAUACAGCCAAAAUUAACCCUAUUCAUAAUAACAAUAAUAACCUUUACUGAAUGUUUAUUAUAUGCCAGGUUCUAUACUAUGCACCCAACAUUUACUGGUCCAUUAAUCCUCGUGAUGAUUCUACAAAGUAGGUUUUAUUCCUUGCUCUAUUUGAUGGCAAACGAAACAGAGGAGCAGAACUUCCGAAAUGUGCCCAGCUUGCAAGCCAGCAAAGAUCAGGAUUGAAAGCUGGACAGUUUGCCUCCAGAACCUGUGCCCUUAAUGUUGGUCAGGGACCGGUGGGGUAAUGAAUCCCAUAGGCAGAAAUAUAAAUAUGAUGCUUACAGCAGGUUUAGUUAGAAUCUCAUACCCCAUGGGGCAUUUUUAGAACCCCAUUUUGAUGGCAGAGAUAGGUAAGCCACACAGUAGAACUGGGUUUUUCCCUUGAGUUGCUGGUAUAAAGAGAAGCACUAGGAUAAUUAACUGAAAAAUCCAGUCUUUGAACACUUUUGCUUUGUACCAAUAUUCUGGACAGAUCAGGAUUCCCCUUGUUCCCUGAGAUGUUGAAGAAAUGUUUAAAUCACCCCUUUGCACUCUUAGCAUUGGAUGGAGAUACAGCCAGGGACUGUCUAGGAUCCUGUGGCUGUGAAGAUCAGAAUGAAGAACAACACGGCCAUAAGGAGAUGCCCUGAUGGGGGACUGGCUGGCCUCACCCAUCCACUAAAUAAUUCACAAUUACACACUUGCUCUUUGCAGCAGGCUUGAAUCAAACUCAAACCUAAUCAGCAAACAGAUGACAAGAUGCCCGACUGCAGUAAUAUGGAUGAAAAUGCAAAUUAAAUUCUAUUUUCCACAUAUCAUUUUGGCAAACAUUUCUAAGUUUGAUAAUAUCAAUCACAGCAAUGGUGAGCGAAAACAAGUCCUUUCUCCUGAUGAAAGUGUGAAUUGCAAGAGCCAUCUUGGAAAGCAUUUUGGAAGUAUUAAAAAUGUAUACCACCUGUGACCUAGCAAUUCUGUUUUAUACAUAUUCAUAAGAAUGUUCAUUACAUUAUCAUUCAUGGUAUCAAAAAGUUAAAGAUAGCUGAAUGUAAUACAUCCAAACCACAGAAUGUUAUACAGCUCAUAAAAAGACAGAUAUUUAUGUACUGACAAUAAAAAAUGCUUAAGACACAGUGUUAAUUUGAAAAAUCCACGCAGCAUGAUAUUAUCCAAUGAUAUUAUCACACACACACACACACACACACACACACACACACACACACACACACCAAUGCAUAGGAGAAAGGAAUGAAAAAUAUACACCAAGCUCAGAGAUGAGAUUACCCCUGGGGAAGCCCAAAGAAUAGACAGCAAUGGUCACAGGUACUGUCAUCAUUCAAUCAUUCAACAAAUAUUGUCUAGUGUCUUCUGUGUUCAGCAUUGAUGCUACUUUGUGAUCAACAAAACACAAAAAUCCUUGCAACCAUGAUACCUGUGUCCUGGCAUUGCUGUUUUGUUAUGUUUAUAGAACAAGAAUGUACUCAUAAUACUUGUGUAAUUGAAGAUAAGUAAAAACAAAAGCAAAUUUAAAAGCACAUUUUUCUAUUAACAAAAUGUCAAGUGCCUGUUUUGGCUUUUGAGAGCCUUUUCAAACAGUUCCAACCAUAAAUGUGUAUCGGUGACUGCCAUGUGGCUAAUGAAAUUCCUCCAAGGACCCCCUUGGAUGGUUGGCACAGAUGGGGCACAGUGACAAUUUCUUAUUGCACAAUGGCAGGCAGAAAGUUGGUCCGAUCCUUCAUUAACAUUUGUGGGAGCAUCAUUAGACACAAGUAGCACAAAGUGGACAUUGGGUGCUAAAACCCAACCUGAUUAUACAUAUAUUCACCAAAAUACAUGUACAGGAUGGUCUUAGCACCACUAUUCAUAGUAACCCCAAACUGGAAACUGUCUAUCAACAGUUGAAAAAAUGAAUAAUGUACUAUAUUCAACAAAGAAAUAUUACACAAAGACGAAAAUGUAUGCAUGAUAACUAUAUGUAACAAUGUGGAAGAAUCUUACCAACACAGUGUUGAAUGAAUGAAUCCUAGUAGAAGAGUAAGACACCACCUAAUUCCAUUUAUUUAUAUGACAUUCAAUAGCAAGCAACAAUACAUGACACCGGAAAACAGGAUAGUGGUUAUCCUUGGGAGGGAGUAGUAGCUAGGGUGCAUUAUGAAGACUCUGGAGUGUGCUAGAGCUAUUCAACUUCUUGCUCUGGGUGCUGGUUAUUUGGUACGCAUCAUUUAUGAAAUAUGUAAAACUGAGUUUUACGGUUAUAAUCUGUGGCUUUUUUUAUAAAUAUAUUCUACGUCCAUGAAUAGUUUACAAAAAAACAAGGGGUGCCUGUGUGGCUUAGUCGGUUGAGCUUCUGAAUUUUGGCUCAGGUCAUGAUUUCAUGGGUUCGUGGGUUAGAGCCCCACGUCUGGCUCUGUGCUGACAGCUCAGAGCCUGGAGCCUGCUUCAGAUUCUGUGUCUCCCUCUCUCUCUGCCCCUCCCCUGCUCGUGCUCUGUCUCUCUGUCUCUCUCUCAAAAAUAAACAUUAAAAACAAUUUAAAAAAAUAGUUUACAAAAGACAAAAUUAAAACCUAAAACCCUAAAAUCUAACCUGUUUCUUGAAUCUCAUCUUGGGCAAGUCACACGCCUCCUCGGGGCUUCAGUUUUAGCAUCUAGAGAAUGGAAGGAUUUGCUAGCUGAUCUGUAUAGGCCCUUCCAAAUGCAUAGUUCUGUUGUAUUACUUCUUCAAUUCCAAUACUCAAUUUCUGAAGCAAUAGGAAAAGAAGAGAGAAAGUAAGCCUUGGAUCACUUGCUAUCAGAAUUUGUAGAAGGCUUACAAAGUCACAUGUAUCCCAUUUUCAAGGCAUUUGUUGUAAAUUAAAGACACAAUUAAUGAACAAGAGAGGUUCUGUCUUCCAGGAAAAUGUACGGAGUUCAUUCUUUCCCAAAGUGCUCAUGGGAUAAGUGUGAAUAUGCCAAAUACUGCUUUCUGCCAAGCCUCUUCCUAUCAUGCCAAUUCACAAACCCUGCGAUGGGGGAGUCAGCAAUUGCAGAGGUGGGGCUGUUCCUGGUAGGAAGGAGGCAGCUACCAUGCUCACAACCUACUGCUGUUUGAAUAGGCACUUCCUCUAUGAGGGGAGUUGGUUCGUAAUUUUCCUCUUUCCGCUACUGGAAGUCCUUGAAUGGCAACAUCACAGCUUGUACCCAUUCACAACAGGAAAGUUUGACAUCCGCAGACACUCUUGGCACGAGAUGAGGAAAAGUCCGGUCCUGUGUGUCAGCUUCUAUAUUAGAACCAGGAAAGUAAUUUCUAUAGUGUAGACCAUGCUGUAAUCUUCACACAAAAUGUUGGGCUCUAAGGACUCUAGGGAGUGUUUUCCUAGUUGUAGCCACAACUCACUGACAUUUGCAAGGCAGGACCCCAAGGAGGGCAACGGUUUAAGGACCCAAACAGACACCCUUUAUUAACUCUAACCCCAAGGAAAGGUGAUUUGGAAGUGGGAAACAACUUCUAUGGAGUGUGCUCAUUGUAGGGAUGUUACCCUGUUCAGGAGAACUGAGUCUCAUAUAAAAGGUGGGUUCUCACAGGAAUACUAAAGUUAGCAGCUGAAAAGAGGCAAGCACAAAAUCUGACAGGGGGCUUGGGCAUGUAAAUCAGCUCUUCUCAAAUGAUCACAGGUGAAGGCCAGUUUUGUUGUUUCCUUUAAUUUUGUUUGGUUAAUUAUUUCUACAAAUUAUUUCACUGUUAUUAUUUUAUUGUUUCUAAUCUAAUCUAGUCAAUACAUUUUUCAAAAAUAUAAUAAAAAGGAACGAUUAAAAACAGAAUAAGGAGACAGGCAAAAUAGAAGCCCCAAGUUCUGAUUACUAGUUUCAACAGACAUUAUUCUGUCAGGUGGCUGGAAAGGCUCAUAAAUGCUUCUUCUUGAUCUGGGUGCUGGUCAGGUAAAUGUGUUUAGUUUAUGAGAAUUGUUUGAGCUGCGUGCAACGUCUCUAUGUAUCCACUGUUAAUCCAUGGCGGUCUGGGGAUCUCUGGACCAUGGCUCACUGGAUGCUUUCUCACACUUCCAAGAGCAUUCUUCUUUGGGAAUAAAGAGAAUGAACACAAUGGCCAAUGGCCAAUGGCCAAGUAGGGGAAAGAAUAUUGUGAUAACAAAGGUGACUCAAGAGGAUGGAAGAACAGGUAGGAAAGUAAAUUUCUCUCAGAAAGCAAGGUUUUAAUGAUGAAGCAAUUUUGGGUAAUGAUGGGAGAAACCUGUUGCUGUCAUAAAAAAAGGACGAAAGAGCAUCAGUAAACGGCCAGAUUAAUUCUGUACAAGGACGCACAGAGAUCUCUGCUCACUGUGUUGGAUAAAUCCAGGUGCUAAUCGGCAAAUAUGCACCACGUGACAUACUAAAGUUCUUGUCCAGGUCAACCCUGGGACACUGGGCAGGUCAAGCAUCACUUCUGUCUGCUCAUUUCCUACUCAAAGAUUGCAGAUGGAAAACCAAUUUUUACAAAACCAUUUUUCCUGUUUCACCAAAGACCAGAUAUAGAGUUCAUGUCGAUAUCCUCACAGAUAGUGAUUCUUGAAAGCAAAUUUAGAAUGAGGGAAAAUUACCACAAAACAUUAGGAGAAUAAAUUGUAAAACUAUUUAAAGUCACAGGGAUUAUUUCUCACUGAAGCAAGCCAACCCUUCUCGUAUCGUUCUGGUAUCUUGGACAAGAGACUGACUUAAGUAGGUAAGACACAAGACUGAAAUCCUACAGGCAUUUGAGUUUCUAGUCCAAGGCAGCUGUUGGGUGAUAUCACCCAGUGCGAGAACAGCCAUGUGUGGAGAGAAUUAGCAGAUGAAAAGCAAGUAAACUCGAUAUGGGGUGUAUAAACGUGCUUUCUCCGUCUCUUUCAAUUCUCCUUAUAGAUAGACACACCUAAAAGUGAAGUUACAUAUGUAGAUGUUUAUACAAAGCAUAAAGGACACAGAAAGGGCCUGAGACAUAGAAAACAGUGGAGGAAGAUAAACAUUUCAUGAUUCAGAUCAUGUUGCUGCCCCAAUUCAUAGAGUCUCUAAGGGAAUAGCGAUUCAACUCUUUCUAUUGAACUCUCAGCUUCCUUCUAAGGAAGAAAGAGUUUGCUAUGAGCAAAGGAAGUGCCAAAAAAAAAUGCCAAUUUGUGUCACACUAACAACUUUCUUAAGGCUGAAUGUGGAGUUCGUAAACUCUUGGCUAUAGUGAGUGCAGACGGCCUUGGGUUCUUCAGAAGGACUGUGGGAAAUCUGAGAGGAGAUCAAAUUAGACACCCACUGAUCAGAAAAUGUUCUGACAUCAGAGUUUUAUUUGCAACAAGUGGCGGGGUUAACUCUUCCAUGGCACCUGAGGUGAACUCAGAAAAAUGGAAUCCCUGAAACCAUGUUUGGGAAUGAUUUCACUGAAGACAGACAGAGAGAGACAGCAACUGCUGGAGGGAGGACAGGACAGCAAGCAAACCAAAGUGAGACUCUGUAAUCGAGACGACCUGUGGGGAAAAAUGGAAAAAGAACAGUCCAACUUGCCUGCCUCAGACAAAACAACCUUCAAAGGCUACCUUCCUCCUAGUUGGUGGGGUACAGUCACUUAGAAUAACUACCAGUGCAUGAUACAUAUUUAAAACUCUCCUUUCUGGGUUUAUAAUUUUCAUAGAGGCAACUUCCUGCAAACUCCAGUAAUGAAUGUAAGAUGAUGCUCCUUUGGGGGGUUGUAAAGACAAUCUAAGAACAAGUCAUUUCAGAGGAACAAACUUCGCAGCCGGAGAUCAUUUCCAUUGCAUAAUGUGCUUAUCCUUGAAGCGUUCAUUGUUGCACUCUUACCCGGGUGGGUCAUUAUUUUACUUACCUCAUCAGGGAAAUCAUUGUUUAAAAACCGAACAUAAACGGUGAAAUCGUUUUCUACUUAUCUUUUCCAGGAUAAUGGCUUCCCUCCCCCACUUCCCGCCACACAAGGGUUAGGCCCAUGUGGGUGAUGAAUUGCUCCAAGACUCUGACAGUCCCAGAGAGAGGGACGAGAGUAAAAAUAACUAGCUGAUUACCAAUAGGGAGCAAAUUGGCCACUUGAGAAUUCAGUGGCUAGAAUGACAAAUGAGAAAAUGAAAAUCCUCAUCAAGAGACUAGACUUUCUGAUUAGUCCAAGUGCUGAUGACCACUUUUCAUGCCUCUCCCUCCCUGCUGGGUGAUGAUUUACAUCUGAUUGGACAUCAUCUUGUAUUUGGGGCAGUCGUUUCUAAAAGGGUGUUUGGAAGACUUUGAAGUACUUAAUUAUAACCAGGAGACAUUUGGGGGCUGAGCAGUGAAAUGGAAGAUGCUCUGUCUUUGGCUGUGGAAUGUUCAUUUAUACAAGGAGCCCAUGUCUGGUUGGUUUGGUCUGGUUUUUCAUUCCAUCACCCCAUAAGGCAGCCUUCCAAGGUUUUCUGGACUCUAGAAGAAAAUAAAAAUGAGAGUAUUCUUGGCUAAGGGAUCCACAUGCAAGGCAGAGUCAAGGAUUUCAAUAUGUGGAUAGACUGGGCUUUCUGUUAAUAGUCAACUACUAAAAAUAGAAAUAGUUUGGGAAUCCUUUGAAGAGAGGCCAUUUCUACUAGCCCUGAUUUGAACAAAUUCAUCAAGUGAGGGAGGAGAUUAGAAAGUGAACCAUAGACACGCUAGCUGUUCUCAAAAAGCUUAAAUAUAUCAGGGGUGCUAAGUCAUAGAUACAGAAUGAGAUAAAACAUGACCAUGAACCAUGAGCCCCCCAUUUGGGGAUAGCCAUAUGAGCUGUAAGAAUGAAGAGGAAAAAGAGGGGAUUUGAAGUUAGGUAAUCAGGAUAGGAUUCAUGGAGAAAAGUGAUAUGACCCAGGCUUUGAAAAAUGAAUAAAACUAUAGUAAAUUUCUAGGUGAAAAGAGCUUCAAUGAACAAUGGUACUAGUAUUUGUUUGUCUUAAUGAUUUGGUAUGGAGUGAAUUGAAUGGUUUAUCUUGUGCAAAGGGGGUGUACAAAGGUGACUCUGAACAUAAGUUUCCCAUGUAUGCAUGGGCAGGGAAUUACGUUUGGUCUUAAGAGCCUGGAAGAACAUUAAAGGUUCUGAGCAGAGUUAGAACUCUGUUAGAGGUCUGUUAUCUUCAUCUGAUGAAAAGAAAGCAAAACAUUGUUCUCUGGAACUUCACCAACAGGUAUGAUCAACAGAUAAGACUGCCAUUUUGAUUCUUCUUUGGCUUUCACACUUGUGCUCUGGAAGAGAAGAAUGAAUAACACAGUGCCUAGCAUAUAGAAAAACUCAACAAAUGCUGACGAUCGGAUGAAUGAAGCUGAAAUUAUUUAGAAUCAGAGUACUUCUGUUUGGUAGGACAGUUCAAAAACAUCUGAAGUUACCUCAGCCCUCUCAAGAAGUAGCAAUGAAUAAUUUGAAAAGAACAAAAUUAGGACUUAUGUGAACUUAGGCAUUUAACUUCACCCUCUUGGGUCUGAAUUUUCCUCACAUGAAAAGACAAGUUUUAUGAAUGGGUUCUAACUGCAGAAAGUUUUUUGUGAGAAUAUUUUGGGAGAGAGAUGCCAUUCCCAGUUUAUGUUGGAGACUCAGAGGAGCAUAUAUCCAAAACAAGGCUGAGGACCAGUGGACUAUGUUCCUUUUAAACUCAAAGAGGCUGUGAUUCUGAGUCCAAGGAUAAUUUACUUCCUGGAUGGACAAAUGGAACAUCUGAUGAUACCAUAGCUUUGCCAAUGUUAUCACCUUGCAGGAAGCCUGUUUCUGAUUGGGUUAACCAAAAUAAAGAGGAAAAUUUUUUUCCUGUCAACCCAGCUUUAGAUUCCCCAGCAAUUUAAGGAGAAUUAUUGAUCUGAUCAGCCAUACUGGGGUGUAAGCGACCAUCAAAAGAGAUGAAUCAUUGAAAGACACCUGCUCCCAUCAGAACAUGACAUUGGCAAUGUGUAACCUCCAACAUAGUCCUUUUUUGUAGAAUUUUCUUUCUCUAUAUCUACUUCCUUUUUUUUAUACUGGCUUCUGUUAUAAGGUUAUUGGAAAGAAUAACUAGUUAAUGAUGGGGGAAAAAGCAGUUGGGAAGAUUAUAUACUUUUGUACUCAAGACUAUUGUUUAAAAACAAUAUGCAAUAAUAUUUUUGCUGAAUGUACACACUCAAAGUCACUCUGAUCUGGGGAUUUGUCCAGACAAAUAUGAUGCUGACCAGAUGAAGUAAGAGCAGUUAAAGAAAAUGUUAUUGUUCCCCAGAAGCUAUAUCAUCAGUGUAAAACUCCAGCAUGGAAAGCUACUUCUGCCAAUUUAUAAUGAGGCAAGACACUUAUUAAUGAUUUUUGGCUUAAUAUAUUAAUGAAUAGAAAUCCGAGGGGUAAAGGACUUACAAUGUAAUAAGGAAAACUCAAGAAAAGAUUAGGCUCUAAUCAAAAUAGACUGUUUUUAGACUGAUUUUCAUAAAUUUAACUCUUUUCCUUUAUUUAUACCAAAAAGAAAUGCAAUGUGGAAAGCUGAUUGCUAUCACUGAAAAAAAAAAGAAUGGAUAUUAAAUUUUAAUAUAAUAUUAAUAAGCUGCAGAUGCCAACUUACAAGAAGAAACCAUAUAUAGGCAAGAAUAUAAAUUCUUGGAGAGAAAAUUUUCUGCCUAUAAAUAUUAAGAAAUUUAUUUUCUAUUUUUUGAAUAGUAAUUUCCAGGUUUAACUGAAAAGCUGAUUAGAAAAAGCACCAUUGGAAAAAGAGCUAAAAUAGUGAUGUUUUGAACAAUGACAAUAACAUUUAUUAUGAUUACCUUUUCUUUCUAUUCUUCCUCCCUCUCAAUCCCUUCUACUCUAAUAAUGAUGUUCCUUACUAUUCAUUAGGCAAUCUAGACUGAGGAGAGACAAUUUCCUCUAAGAAAAUGUGUUAAGAACUUUUGUUUACCUCACGAAUAGAGUUCUCCGGAUGGCACUUUCCAAUAGUGAGUCAAGAUCACUCUAUUUGCCACUUAACUAUUCUAGACUUGUCCAUAUUUUAGUAUUUUACCUCUUUGUCAUGAAAGCAGAAACUUCUACUCCAUCUGUAAUUUUCUUGCUUCUACUGACAACAACAGUUGUUUAUUAAAAGUACCUAGCAACCAAAUGUCUGUUUUCCACUGUGCAUAGUGACUUGUUUCUAGUCACCCAGAAAUGAACUUAUGGGUUAACUCCAGCCUGAAGCGGUACCAUAGGUUAUAAGUAACAAAAUGUUUAGCUCAAUGUCCCAUAGUGUCAGCAACAGGAAGUGCGUGAUAAAAACCUAAGUAAAGCUGAAAAAUGGCCCGAAUUGCAGUGGGCUUUAUGGUACAAUCCCAGUGGGGGUCCUGUGGUUUUCCACAGUACCGAAUCUACUCCCAUAUCAUUGCUUAUAAGUUCUGAGAAGAGUUGGCUCAGUGUGUGUGUACCGUGAUAUUGAUUUGUUAUUCUAAAAAUUACUGUAUAUAAUAACUUUUUAAAAAAAAUAUACUGACCUGAUUCUACUAUGGUCAAAAGGAGGGUAACACUGGGGACAGAUUUUCAUCAUAGCAAACAACCAAGGGGGAAAACAUGGAGACAGUUACAAAGGGGAUAAACUAGGCUUACCUCUGUUGAGCUCUAAUUGACUGCUUAAGGAUGAGAGGAUCUGACUGUAGAUGAUUUAUUUACCCAAAUAAAAAAAACACACAAGGGCAUUUACUAAAUGCCUUUAGCCAUUUAGUUUAUGGCAUGUUUAAAAGCCAACAAGGACUUUAAUUUUCUAGUAGUAUGGAAUCACUGGCAUUUUCAUGUCAAGACUGUGACUAUACAUUAGUUCUACAGUAGAUGUUAAUGAAACCUAUAUUAUGGUUGGAAUCUCCACGGGAAACUUAUAGAAUUUUGUGGUGUUUCUUCUUCAGUAUCUGAAACAUAGAAUGGAGUUUUCUCUGAACAUCUUUGUAUUUGUGGAGGUUAAGUUUGCAAUGCAGAGACAUUACAUCUUGAAUGUUUCAUGGUGUCCUCAAGAGGUUAGGGAGAGUGACUGUGGUUUUCAAACCAAUGUGAUGGGCUCCUAAAAUGCACACUAAGCUCUAAGGGAUUCUGUGCUCCUCAUUCAUUCUUUAUGAUUAUAUCUCUCUUAGUGUAUGGUUUUCUUUAUUUCAGAGCCGAGAAAACUCGGUUUCAGCAAAGUUAAUCAGUUAUCCACAACGACACAGCUAAUAUACAUUCAACCCAAAUGAAUUCCAUUGAUUUAACAUCUUGAGAAAUUUCUGCUAGGAUCCUAAACGGGCUGUACCCUGAGAGUCUACCUUGAAGGCUCUCAAAACAAGUAAAGACUUAACUGAAUACCAGAGAAGAAGGAAAAGUGAGACCCCCACACCUAUAUUGUUGAGGUGUGUGUGUGUGUGUGGUUUUUAGCUUCAGGUCUGUUAACUGUGUUUCUCGGACUUAGGGGAAGUCACUGUGGAUGCCUUUCUUUUCCUUAUUUGUUAAAUUGAGGUGGACAGAAGAGUGAAUGGAUCAGUUCAACUGCAUGCAAUCUUAGGGCUGAUGCUGAAGGAUUCCAAUGUGUGUGUUUACGCCAAAGCAUGAUAUGUAAAAGUCUGGAAAAUACUGUAGCUUCCAGGUCUUCUUUUCAAGGUACUUGCCUUUUCUCCCACCUCUCAAUUGGGGAACUCCCAAAGUUCUACCCCAAACCCUCAGUUCUUCUCUAGCAGUGCUUUUUCCUUGGGUGGUCUCACCCUUUUCUAGCUCUUGUUUUAAAGUCUGUAUUGUCUGAUAUUAGCAUAUCCACAUCACAUCCUUGUAGUUGCUAUUUUCAUGAUAUAUCUUUUUACAAACUUGUUCUCUCUCUCUCCAUAUAUAUGUGUGUAUAUAUAUAUAUAUAUAUGUAUGUAUAUAUAUAUAUAUAUAUAUAUAUAAAAUCUUUGAAUCCAAAUGAUCUCCUGUAGACAGCAUACAGUCGGAUCUUGUUUGGUUUUUUAGGGGAGGGUGGGGGAGAGGGGAAAGAUGGGUGAUAGGCAUUGAGGAAGGCACUUGUUGGGAUGAGCACUCAGUGUUGUAUGUAAGUGAUGAACCAUGGGAAUCCACCCCGAAAACCAAGAGCAUACUUUAUACUCUGUAUGUUAGCCAACUUGACAAUAAGUUAUAUUUAAAAAAUAAAAUCAAAUACAAUCUAAAAACCUCUGCUUUUGAACUGGAUUGUUUGAUCAUGCAUAUUACAUGGUAUUAUUGAUAUGGUUGGAUUUACAUCUGCCCCCUUGGUUUUUGAUUUUCUAGGUCUCAAAUUUCUUUGCUCCUCUGUUUCUCUUUUACUGUCUUCCUUUGUAUUUAAUGGAUAUUUCCUAGUGUAACAUUUUGAUUUCACUCACAUUUCAUUGCAUUAAAAAUAUUUUCUUAGUGGUUACUCUAGAGCUUAUAAUAUACAUUUUAGCUUAUCAAAAUCUACUUCAUAUUUUUAGUAGCUUAGUUCCAGUGAAAAGUAGAAACUCUACUUCUAUCAAGUGCUGUUCCCCCUUCCUUUUAUGAUUUUUCUACACAUUUGAUCUAAAUAUGUUACAAACUAAACAAUGCAUUGUAAUAAUCAUUACUUUAUGUAAUCUUAUGUAUUUUACAGGCCCUGGGAGAAGAAGAGCAAGUACCUAUUUAUAGAAUUUAUUAUAUUGAUCUUUUUACCAUUGCUGAUUCAUCUCUAUUAUUCCUAUGGAUUCAAUUAUCAUCUGGUAUCAUUUCCUUACCCCCCAAACAGCUUUAUUCCCAACCACCUCCCUUGUACUGUUGCUUUCGACUGCAUUCCCUUGCUGUACAGUAUAAGCCCUUCAGUAUAAUUAUAUAUACAUUGUUUUAUAUAUACACAUUUACUUUUUAAAAUAGGUUAAGAGGAAAAAGGGGGAAAUAAUGCAAUUACAUUGUCUUUUUUGUCAUUUUUUUUUAAUUGAGGUGAAAUUGACAUAACAUAUAAUUAACCAUAGUAAAUUAUAGAAUUCAGAAGCACUCAGUGCACUCACAAUGUUGUUCAACCACCACCUUUUCUAGUUUUAAAGCCUUCCAAUGCCCCCCCGAAGAAUAUUCCACAUCCAUGAAGUAAUCACCUGCCAUUUUUCCCUCCCCCCAUCUUCUGGCAAACACUAGUCUGCUUUGUGGCUUCUAUGGAUGUAUCUACUCUGGAUAUUUCAUAUAAAAGGAAUCCUACAAUAUGUUUCUAGCUUCUUUCCCUUAGCAUAAUGUUUUUGAGGUUCAUCCGUGUUGUAGCAUUUAUCAGUAGGUUCAUUCCUUCUUUAGGACUAAGUAAUACUUCAUUAUAUAUAUAUAUAUAUACCACAAUUUGUUUAUCCACUCAUCUGCUGAUGAACAUUUGGGUUGUUUACAGUUUCAUCUUUUGGCUACAAGGCAUGAUGCUGCUAUCAACUUCCACGUACCAUUUUCUAUGCAGGCAUGUUUUUAUUUCUCUUAGAUAUAUGCUCAGAAGUAAACUGCUGUGUCAUAUACUAAUUCCGUUUUUACUAUUUAAAGAAAUACCAAAUUAUAUCCAUACUGCCUGCACCAUUUUAUAUUCCUAUCAGCAGUAUACACGUGUUUCUAUUUCUCCACAUCCUAGUGAAUUGUUACUAUUCUUGGUUUCCCCCCACCCCACCUUUAUAAUAGCCAUCUUAAUGAGCAUGAGGUGGUAUCUCAUUGUGGUUUAAUUUGCAUUUCUUUCAUGACAAUGAUAUGGAACAUGAUUUCAUGUGCUUUUGGUCAUUGGAAUAUCUUCUUAAAAGAAAUAACUUUUCAAGCCCUUUGCUUUUUUAAAAAAUUGGUUUGUCUGUCCUUGUGUUUUUGAGUUGUCAAAAGACUUUAUUUAUUCUUAAUAGUAAAGUGUCCCUUAUCAAAUAUAGGAUUUGCAAAUAUUUUCUCCAUUCUCUAGAUUGCCCUUCCACUUUCUUGAUAAUAGUUUUCGAUGUAUGAAAGUAUUUCAUUUUUAUGAAGUCAAAUUCGUUUAUUCUUUUUUUCUUGCUCAUGCUUUUGGUAUCAAAUCUGAGAAUUCACUGCCAAAAUGAGGUCGUGAAAAUUUACCCUUAUGCUCUAUUCUAUAAUAGCUUUAUUAUUUUAGUUCUUAUAUUUAGGUUGUUAAUCACUUUUAGUUAAUUUUUAUAAAUGGAGUGUGACACAGGUCCAGCUUCAUUCUUUCCUAUGUGUACACUCAGCUGUCCCAGCACCAUUUGUUGAAGAGACCAUUCUUAUCCUAUUAAAUGAUCUUGGUUCCCUUGUUGAAAGUCAAGUGCCAAUAGAUUUUUGGGUUUAUUCUAAACCCUCAAUUUUUUCCUGCUGUUCCAUAUGUCUAUCUUUAUGCUCAUACCACAGUUUUGAUUGCUGUAGUUUUGUAAUAAGUUUUGAAAACAGGAAAUGUGACUCUUCUACUGUUUUACUUUUUCAAUAUUGUUUAAUCUAUUCGGGGGUCCAAAUAGAUUUUGAGGAAUAUUUUCAAAUUUGAGGUGUAUCUUCCCAUUUCUGUAAAAAGGCCACUGGAAUUCUGAUAGGGAUGCACUGACAUUGUAGGUUGGUUUGGGGAAUAUUGGCUUCUUAUCAACAUUAAAUCUUCUAAUUCGUAAACACAGAGUCCUUUCCCAUUUAAUCAGAUCUUUAAAAAUUUCUUUCAGCAAUGGUUUGUAAUUGUCAACGUACAAGACUUUCAUCUCCCUACAGUACUCUUUUGGAGGCUAUUAUAAAUAGAAUUAUUUCCUUAAUUUUCUUUUCAGAUUGUUCGUUUCUGUGUAGAAACAUAACUGAUUUUGAUUAUGUACUCUGUAAUUGUGCCGAAUUUCUUUACUAGCUUUAAUAGUUUUUGUAUGUGUGUGUUCUUUGGGCGUUUCGCUAUAUAGAAUCAUUUCAUGGGCAAAUAGCAAAAGUUUUACUUCUUCCUUUUCAAUUUAGAAGGCUUUAUUUUUUUUUCUUGCCUAAUUGCUUUGCCUAGGACUUCUAGUGCAUUGGGCAACAGUAGUGGUGAAAGCCUACAUCCUUCUGUUGUUCUUGAGCUUAGAAGGAAAGUUCUCAGCCUUUCACCAUUGACUCUGAUGCUAGCUGUGGAUUUGUGGUAAAUGCCCUUUACUGAGUUCCAUUAUAUUCUUUAAAAUGUUUACUCUUUUUUUGAGAGACAGAGAGACAGAGCAUGAAUGGGGGGAGGGGCAGAGAGAGAGAGGGAGACGCAGAAUCCGAAGCAGGCUCCAAGCUCUGAACUGACAGCACAGAGCCCGAUGUGGGGCUUGAACUCAUGGACCGUGUGGUCCUGACCUGAGCCGAAGUCAGAUGCUUAACUGACUGAGCCAGCCAGGUGCCCCUUCUUUAAAAAAAAAAUUAACACAUUAUAUUCUUAAUUUAUAAAAUUUUUUUUAUCAUGAAAGGAUGUUGAAUUUGUCAAAGGCUUUUUCUGAAUCUACUGAAAUGAUUAUGUGGUUUUAUUCCCAAUUCUAUCAAUAUAGCAUAUCACACUAAUUAAUUCUUUUAUGUUAAAAGGCACGUUUAUUAUGUUUGAAUUCCUGGGAUAAAUUCCAUUUGGACAUAGUAUAUACUCAUUUUAGCCCACUGUUGUAUUUGGUUUGUUACCAUUUUGUUGAGGUUAUUUGCAUCUAUAUUAAAAGGGAUAUUGGCCUGUAGCUUUUUUUCUUGUGGUAUCUUUGUCUGGUUUUGUUAUCAAAGCAAUGCUGAUGUCAUAGAUUACUUUAGUUAGUAUUCCUUCCUUUUCAAAUUUCUGGAAGAGUUUAAGAAGGAUUGGUGUUAAUUCUUCUUUAAAUGUUUGGUGAAAUUCACACUGGAGAUUUCUGGUCCUGGACUUUCCUUUGUUGAGAUAUCAUUUACUACUUAUUCAAACGCUUUAUUUGUUCUAUGCUGUGGUUGCUAUUUUCUUCUUGAGUCACUUUUGGCAAUUUGUGUGAUUUUAGGGAUUUUUCCAUUUCAUGUAGGUUACCCAAUAUAUUAAUUGGAUUAUAAUUGUUCAUUGUAUUCUCUUACAUUCCUUUUAUUUCUAUAAAGUAAGCAACAAUAGCUCUACAUUCAUGUCUUAUUUUAGCUAUUUGUGUUUUCUGUGUUUUCUUACUACAGCUAAAAUUUCUUACUACAGCUAAAAUCUGAAGCAGGCUCCAGGCUCUGAGCUGUCAGCACAGAGCCCGAUGUGGGGCUCAAACCCACAGACUGCGAGAUCAUGACCUGAGCUGAAGUCGGACGCUUCAUCGACUGAGCCACCCAGGUGCCCCAAAUGAGAGCUUUAUUUUUUUUUUUUUUUAAUUUUUUUUUCAACGUUUAUUUAUUUUUGGGACAGAGAGAGACAGAGCAUGAACGGGGGAGGGGCAGAGAGAGAGGGACACAGAAUCGGAAACAGGCUCCAGGCUCUGAGCCAUCAGCCCAGAGCCUGACGCGGGGCUCGAACUCCCGGACCACGAGAUCGUGACCUGGCUGAAGUCGGACGCUUAACCGACUGCGCCACCCAGGCGCCCCGAGAGCUUUAUUUUUAAUGUAGGCAUUAAAAAGCUCUAAAUUUCCUUGUGGGUACUGCUUUCACUGCAUCCUGUAAGUUUAAGUAUGUUGGGCUUUCAUUUUCAUUCUUUCUAAUUUCCCUAGUGAUUUAAUCUUUGACCCAAUGGUUAAGAGUAUGCUAUUUAACUGACACAUAUUUGUGACUUCUCCAGUUUUCUGCUAUUGAUUUCCAGCUUCAACCUGUGUGGUUGGAGAAUAUAUUUUGUAUUAUUUCAAUCUUUUUUAAUUUAUUGAGAAUUGUUUUAUGACCUAACACAUCGUAUAUUCUGGAGAAUGUUCUGUAUGAACUUAAGAAGAAUGUGUAUUUUGCUGAUGUUCAAUGAAAUGUUCUUUAAUAUGUCUUCUAGAUUUAAUUGGUUUAUAGUAUUGUUCUGGUUCUCUCUUUCUUGAUUGGUAGUUUGGCUAGAUGUUCUAUUCAUUUUCACUUUUGGAAGUGGAGUAUUGAAGUCUCCAACUAUCAUUGUAGAAGUGUCUAUUUCUCCCCUCUAUUUUGUCUUUAUUUGCUUUGCAUAUACACUACACAAUGUCCUUCUUAGUCUCUUGUUAACAAUUUUUGACUUACACCUACUUUGUCUGGUAUUAGUAUAAAAACCCAGCUCUCUUUUGGUUACUAUUUGCAUGGAAUAUUUUUUUUUCCAUUCUUUAACUUUCAACUUAUUUGUGCCUUUGGACCUAAAGUGAGUCUCUUAUAAAUAGCAUAUAUUUAAAACAUUUUUUAUUUUUCUUUUUUUCAUCAUGAUAAGUGUAAUCUUUAAUCCUUACCACCUAUAACCCCUCCAUCCCCCUGCCCACCUCCCCUCUGGUAAUCAUCAGUUUGUUCUCUGUAAUUAAGAGUCUGUUUCUUGGUUUGUCUCUCUGUCUCUCUCUUUUUUUCUUUGCUUGUUUUCUGUUUUAAAUUCCACACAUGAGCGAGAUCAUAUAGUAUUUGUCUUUCUCUGAUUUAUUUCACUUGGCAUUAUAUGCUCGACCUCUAUCUAUCUUGUUGCAAAUGGCAAAAUUUCUUAUGGCUGAGUAACAUUCCAUUGUAAACCUAUGUAUCACAACUUCUUUAUCCAUUCAUCUAUUGAUGGACACCUGGGCUGCUUCCAUAGUUUGGCUAUUGUAAAUAAGGCUGCAAUAAACAUAGGGCGCAUGUAUAAAACAUUUUGUAAAAAUCCAUUCUGUCAAUCUCUGCCUUUUCAUUGGUGAGUUUGAUUUACAUUUAGAAUUAUUACUGAUAAUGAAGGACUUAGCUCCGCCACUUUACUAUUUUAUAUAUGCCUUAUAUUGUUUUUGUUCCUCACUUCAUCAGUACCAACUUCACUUGUGCUUGAUUUUUUUCUAGCAUAGUAUUUUUUUUAUUACUUUUUCAUUCCCUUACCUGUAUAAUUCUUAGUUAUUUUCUUAGCGGUUACUAUGGGGAUUACAGUCAAACCCUCAAUAUGUAUCAGUCUAGUUUGAACUGAUACCAACUCCAACUUGGCUUCAAUAGUAUACAUUAAUUCUGGUCCUAUCCAGUCUUCCAACUCAUUUUUAUUGUUAUUAUUAUCACAAAUUACAUCUUUAUAUAUUCUGUGCCCAUUAACAUAGAUUUACAUUACUGUUUUAUGCAUUUGUCUUUUAAAUAGUACAGGAAACAAAAAAGAGAAGGAAAAAGCCCCAAAUUCUGUAAUACUAGCUUUUAUGCAAUUACCUUUACUAUGGCAGAACUAUACCUCUAGGUCUCUUUUUAGCAUUCUUUUUUAGGGCAGGUGUAUAUAAACUCUCUUAGCUUUAGUAUCUUGGAAUGUCUUAAUUUCUCCUUUGUUUCUAAAGGAUAAUUUUGUCAGACAGAAUUCUUAGUUGACACUUUUUUUUUCUUUCACAAUAAAUAUAUCAUGUCACUGCCUUCUGGCCUUCAUGGUUUCAGAGGAAAAAACUAGCUGAUAAUCUUAUUAGGGAUCCCUUAUAUGUGAUGAGUCCCUUCUCUUCCUACUUUUAAGAUGUGCCUUUGCUUUUGACAGUUUGAUUAGAAUGUUUAUUGAUGUGGAUCUCUUUUUUCUCCUUGGAGUUGUAUGAGAUUCUUAAAUGUAUAAAUUGAUGUGUUUAAGCAAAAUUGGGAAGCUUUCCCUUGUUAUUUAUUCAAAUAUGUUUUCUACACCCCUUUCUUUCCCUUUUCUUUCUACUCCUUCUAGGACUUCCAGAAAGCAUAUGUUGAUACCUUUAAUGGUAUCUCAUAGGUUUUUUUUUGGCUCUGUUCAUUUUUCUUCAUGCUUUCUUCUUUCUGUUCCUCAGAACUGGUUAUUUCAAUUGUUCAAUAGUUUUAUCUUCAGGUUUGCAGAUUCUUUCUUCUGCCUGUUUAAAUCUGCUGUUGAACACUUUUUGUUAAUUUUUCAUUUCAACUUUCAUAUUAUAUAUAUACAUAUAUAUAUUUCAACUUUCAUAUAUAUAUACACACACACAUAUAUAUAUACAUAUGUAUGUAUGUAUAUACAUAUAUACAUAUGUAUACUAAAUAGAAAUGCCUAUAUAUAUGUAUGUAUGUGUGUGUAUAUAUAUAUACACACACAUACAUACAUAUAUAUAGGCAUUUCUAUUUAGUUCCUUUUAGAAAUUUCUGUCCGGGUACUCGGGUGGCUCAGUCAGUUGGAAUGUCUGACUCUUGAUUUCGGCUCAGGUCCAGGGUCUUGGGAUCGAGACUUGCAUUGAUUGGGCUCUGUGCUGAGUGUGGAGCAUGCUUGGGAUACUGUCUCUCCCUCUCCCCCACUCACGCACACUCUCUCUCUCAAAUAAAAAAAAAAAUCUGUCUUCAUUGGUAUUUCACUAAUUGUUCCUACAUUAUUUUCUUGAAUUCCUUUAGGUCUUGUCUAUUAAUUCCUUUAGCUCUUCACAUAUAUUAGUAUCAUUAAUUUAAAGUCUUGUCUGGUAUGCCCAAGUUCUAGGCUUUCUCAGAGAUAUGUUAUAUUGAUUUUUUUUUUCCCCUAUGAACAGGCCACACAUUUCUGAUUCAUUGCUUUGUAAUUUUUUGUUGAGAACUGGACAUUUUUUAUGUCAUAAUGUGGUACCUCUAGGAUUCAGAUUCUCCUUUUCCCCCCGGGACUGCUGAUGUUGCUUGUAGAGGGAUAUAGUCAUCUGUUUGUUUACUGACUUCUCUCAACUAUUUUUGCAAGGACCCUUUUUCCUGUCAGGUGUGAUCGCUCACUAAAGUCUCUGUUCUGUUAUCUCAGCAGUUGGCGAGUGGCCUGAUGGAGAAUUCCUUGAAUCCAUGGAUCCAAUAAUGAAAGAAAUAAAGGCAUUAUAUUCUUUUAAUUACCCAACAAAUGCUGCCCUGAAGCUGCUUCAGUCUAAGAGGGCUGCAAUAAUAGCCAACUCGUGCACUGCUCCCUCAGUAAUCUGCAAAACAGAUCAACACAUAUAACCCUGAUCCUUGGAAACCAAGGUGCUUAUUGUACAACCUGGCAGCUUUAAGACACAUCAGAAACAUAGGCUGCCAUUCCCACAGCUCCCUGAUGCAAGGCCAGAAAAUGGAAGAGGGUAGCUUCUCUGUGAAAUGCAAAAAUUCAUUGGCCAGCGUCUUACUUAAGCACUCUCCUAGAUACUGCCAGAGUUUGACCAGACUCCAGAUUUCCACUAGUUGAUUCUGAUUAUAAAUGCCUCCUCAGAGGUGCUUUUUUCCCCCAGGGGUGGGACUGGUUCCUGAAGUUUCCUACUUCAUCGUCUUCCAUGACAUCACUCUACAUUGUCUUUUAAAAUUGUCUGUAUUGACACUCCAUGUUUGUGUGUGUGUGUGUGUGUGUGUGUGUGUGUGUUGGUUCAAAUUAUUGUCUGAUGCUACUACUUUUCAGCCCAAACAACUUCCAUCGGCAUUUCUUGUAAGGCAGGUCUGCUAUCAACAAAAUCUCCCAGCUUUUGUUUAUCUGGGAAUAUAUUUACUUUGCUUUCAUCUUUAAAAGGGUUUUGCUGAUUCUUGCUUGACAGUUUUUUCUCUCAUCACUUUAGGUAUGCCAUCCCAUUGCCUUCUGGCCUACAUUGUAGUCAAAAGUUGGCUGUCUACCUUGAUGGAGUUUCUUUGUAUUUGAUCUUGUAUGUGAGGAGUCAUUUGUCACUGCUUUCGAAGUGUUCUCUUUGUAUUUGACUUUCAAGUAUUUUACUAUUAUGUGUCUGAAUGUGGUCUAUUUGUGUUUAUCCUACUUAUGGAACUUCUUGAAUGUAUAAUUUUUCAUGAAAUUUGGGACGUUUUCAGCUAUUAGUUCUUUGAAUAUUUUUUCUGUCUCUUCUGCUUCUCCUUUCCUUGUAUUAUUUUCAUUACAUGUACAUUGAUAUGUUUAAUGAUGGCCUAUAUUUUUCUUAUUCAUUAUAUUCAUUUUUCCUUUUUAAAAAUUUUUUUCUUUUCAAAUUGCAUGAUCUCUAUUGAUAUCUAUUCAAAUUUCUGGGGCCACUUUUUGUCUGACAGAGAAAAUCUACUUUUGAACUCUUCUAGUAAAUUUUUCAUUUCUGUUACACUUUUCAACUACAGUUUGUAUUUGGUUCAUUUUUUAUAAUUCCUAACUCUUUACUGACUGUUUUAAUUGGAAGAGACAUUGUUCUCAUAGGUCCCUUUAAUUGUUUAAACAUGCUCUUCUUUAGUUCUUCGAACACAUUUAUAAUGGCUGUUUUAAAGUCUUUGCUAAGUUCAACACCUGAAUUCCUUCAAAAUAGUUACUAACGCCUUCUUUUUUUCCUUUCGUAUAGGUUACACUUUUCUGUUUCUUUGAGUAUCUUGCAAAUUUUUUUGUUGAAAACUAGACAUUGUAGAUAAUGUAUUGCAGCAACUCUGGACAUUGAUUCUACAUCAGCCCUUGCCCUCAGGGAUUGAUAUUAUUCGUGUUUUCCAAGUUAUUGAUUUAUUGGUUUCAUUACUUGGCUAAACUAAAUCUGUGACGUCUAUUUCCACCCAGUGUGCAGUUUGUGAUAUCCCUCUUAUUUUUUGUUUUUGUCUUUUAGUCGGGUUAUUUGGGGGUCACUAAUUAAUUGGCAUAAGCCACUUAUGGGUUAAAGGUCAGGCUUAAUCCUUGCUGGUAAUUAGACUUUUGCCUUUACAGUGGAUAUGUGAGUAGCAUUGAGGCUACUUCCAGAGAUGAAGACGUUUACAUUUUUUGUGCCCUGUUUUUCUAGGGACUUCCCCUCUCCAUUCACUCCUGAGAGUGCAGCCUCACACAUACACACACAGUCUUCCAGACUACCCGGGAUAUAUGUGAUUUUAUUUUUAAGCCUAUCUUCUUAGAAGUUGCUCCUGGGUUCCAGUUGCUUAUUGCCCAGUCAGUGUUUGGUUAGAGGUUAUCCUUAAGCCCCUGGUGCCAAUGCUAGAUUUGUAUUUAUUUCAUUUUUUCUGUGUGGAGCUUGGAAAUAUUUUCAAGUCUGCCCCGUGUCUUGUUCUGAUUACUCUUGAGUAGAGACCGUCUAUUACUUGUGUACUGCUCCUUCAACCCCCAAGGUUACCUAGGAUGCCAGGAGGGCUCUUCUUGGUGGUCAAUUUCUGUGGCUGUUUUUUGUUUGUUUGUUUUUUGUUGUUGUUGUUAAACUUCCGAUUGCUCUACAUUUUACUCAUUGCUACCAAUGUCAUGGGGUUAUUAGCAUCUUCAUAAUUACUCUCCAUCAAGAUCACCAUUGUUUUCAGCAACACUGUAGGCACAGAAUUCACCAUGUUUUGUUCCAAAUAAAGUCACUCCCCUCAGUCAGAGAUGUAGUGGCCUGCCUCUCCACCCUGGACUGAAGCUCUAUGCUACUGAACAAGAAUUUGGCAUGGGGAGAGAGGCCCACUUCUCAUGCAGUGACACCCCUGCUCUAUGUCUAUAAUCAGGCAUUGGGGAGGGAUGGUGGCCCCUAUUAUUCUUGACUUGACCCUCCUAGCAUGGGACUCCUACUCUACCUGAAAACUGCUCAAGCAUGACUAGAGUCCAAUACUAUUAGCCUGUCAUAUUUGGCACAUAGCUUCUGUCCCACAAGUUGGGGCUAGGUGGAAACUCCAGUCCACUGUGAAAAGAGCUUUUGAAACAUGGGGUUUUGGGGAGACAAUGAAAAAUGCUGGAAGCCUGCCCUUUCAUUGGUGAUUCCAUAAGAUACAGCUGGGAAGUGGGUAUCAUGGCUCAAAUAUUACAGACUUUAUGGUUCUUACUGAGAUUUAGUAAAUUUAUUUGAGUGAAUAUUUCUCCAUUUACUAUAUGCCCUUAGGACAAUUUCUAGAGACUUUAAGGAGAUUUAUGUAUUUAUAUAUUCACAUACUUGUAUAUAUUUUAAUUGUAUCUAUAUAUUAUAUAUAUGGGGGAGAGAGAAGAGAGGGAGGGAGAGAGAAUGUCUAGAUAGAUAAAUUUUCUUCAGCUAAAUAGUUAUUUUGCUCGGGUAAAAAGUUUACUGUGUCUAUACUGUAUCAUUCCAGAAACUGGUCUCAUAUUCUGCCUCUUAAAUAUCAUCUAUGAGGUAAUGAUGCUCAUGUGCCUAUCUCAAACCCAGCCUUUCAUAUGGACACCAUAGUUCCAUAUUUAGCAGACUAUUUGUCAUCAAGUAGGUUUGGGUUUGUUUGUUUGUUUGUUUGUUUGUUUUUACCAAAAAUGUUCUCUACAGGUAUUCCUUAUUUCAGUAAAUGAAACUACUAUUGUCCUGGUUAAUAAAGUAAAAAAUAUAAGCAUCAGCCUGGAUGCCUCCCUCUUACCAACUACAUAUAAUCCACUGGCAAGUCUCAUUGGUCCUGUCAACUGCUCACUAUCUAGAAACUGCUCACUUCUUUCCACUUCCAUGCCUCCUACCUGAGUCUAAAUCAUCCCCCCCAUCCUGAUCUAUUAGAAUACACUUCUAAUGCACUCUGCCUUCAUUCUUAUGUCCCCCACCUCCAAUCCAUAUCAUGAACAGUUCCCAGAGUGAUCCUUUUACAUAUAAUAUAAAUAUAUGUCCCCUAGUGCACACCGUGCACCACUGGCUUCAGCCCUCUUUUCCUCUCCUUCUAACCUCAUCUGGAACCCCUCCCUUUCUGUUAUAGUCACACUGUCCUCCUUCAUGGUAUGCUUACCUCUGUCUUGGUUCUCUCCUUCUCCCUUUCCAAGACUGGCAUUUCUCCUCUUUGUUUUCUUAAAUGUUACCUCCUCGGAGAAGCUUUCUAGGUAGUUUUCCCCCUAUUAUUCUCUCUUGCGUUGUCCCAUUCAUUUCCCUUGCAGUUCUUGACAUACUUGGUAAUUAUUAAUUUCUUUAAUGAUUUAUUGUCUGCUGCUCCCACAAGAUGGUAAAUUCCAGGACAGCAUGAAGCACAGUUGUUUUCUUUGCUGCUCUGUAAUAAAUACCGACUACUGGGGUGCCUGGGUGGCUCAGUCGGUUAAGCACCUAACUCUUGAUUUCAGCUCAAGUCAUGAUCUUAUGGUUCAUGAGAUUGAGCCCUGUGCGGGUCUCCACACUGACAGCACAGAGCCUGCUUGGGAUUCUACCUCUCCCUCUCUCUCUGCCCCUCCCCAAUUCGCACAUGUUUUCUCUCUCUCUCUCUCAAAAUAAAUAAAUAAACAUUAAAAUAUAUAUACUACAAUUAUUAACAGCUCCUACUGACCAAGCACAGAAUAUGUGCCAGUAGUUCUAAGAUACACAUACAUAUAUACACACACAUACACAAAUAUAUAUACACAUAAUUACACUCACAUACAUGCACACAUGCAUGUCAAUUCCUACACGUGUGCACACAUGUACACACAUACACACACUCAUUUAAUCCUCACACCAACCCUAUGAGAUAAUUUUUAUUAUUUUCACUUUACAGAUGAUUCAGCAAAAGCAGAGGCACGUUAAGUGACUUGCCCAACGUCACACAGUGAGUGAACAGCCUAACCAGACUCUGUUCCAGCUAUUCCAGAGUCUAUGCCCUUAAACAUUUCAGACCUUUCUCAGUGCAGUGCCAAGAGCAAAGCAGGUGCUCAGUUAGUAUUUGUAGAAUCAAAGAACAAGGAGACUGACAAAAUGAUUUUAUCAUCCCCUAGAGCAGUGCUGUCUGACACAGCAUUCUGAGAUGAUGUAAAUGUUCUACAUCUGUGUUGUCUUAUACAGCAGUCAAUAGUUGUAUGUGGCACCUGACCACUUAAAAUGUGGUUAGUAUGACUCAAGAACUAAAUUUUUUAUUUUAUUUAAUUCUAAUCAGUCUAAAUAUAAUAGCUACAUGUGACUACUGACAACCACAUUAGACAUUACAGUCUAAGAUUUUAUGAGGUGGUGUCACUUUUGAUGCACUGAGAUUUAUAUAGCCUUGAUGAAUUUAACUCCAAAACAGAAGACAAAAUUCCCUUUUGCAUUUCUUUUUUCCCUAGUGACUUCCACCCCCAGUUUUUCAAAUAUCCUUCAUCCUCCUACUUUACUUCAUUCCAGCCUGUAGAAUCAAACCUCCUUCAUGUGCAGCUCCAGCAAAGCCAUUUUCCCCACCCCUCAACAGUCCUUUCAAGUCCUUCAAAAGUAUUUAGUCAACCAACAUCUAGAGCCUACUUGGAUGGGGCACUGGCCCAAGUCCUGGGAAGGGUGGAGGGAAAUAGAGCCACAAAGACAAACUAAACAAGGUCCCUAUCUCAUAGUGAAGGGGAGUUGGUUAGACUAGUAAACUCACACAUAGUAAGGAACCAAUAAAGGGUGUGGAAGGUAGGGGGGCGGGGGAUGGGGGCAGGCUGAAUGUCUAGUUUCGCUGCUGUGGUUUCCAUACUGGGACUCUGCGUUGUCUACUUGGCAGAAAUUGCUGCACUGAUUUCACUUGCACUUGGACCACUAGAAUAAAUGGGAUCGACCUGGCUUUGCUUUCAGAACUGAGGUUAUAAUGGACAUGAGAAAAUCUUACUGGUGUCUAGAAAGAGGCAUCAGUAAGGAAGGAACUGCUAUUACAUUUCACCCUGCUGACUUGGGCGGAUAGAAGAUGGAUCUAGUUCUCAGACCACCACCCCAUCUUUUACAAAAAAAGAAAUCAUCAAAGAAAUAGUAUAUAAUAAUUAGACUGAGACUCAAAUAUUAAAGAAGAAGAGGAGGAGGAAAAAAUGUGCACAUUAAUCACCUAACUCAUGGGCAAUUACUACUCGUAUUUCUAAACAAUGUCCAGUAACUGGGGUAGUGAAAAUGCAUUUCUUCCCUCCCACCAUUUGCAUACUUGGCAUCUCACUUACAUUGUACACAGGUUACAGUAAAAAGAUGCUGCUUUGUUUGGAUUUUGCUUUUUCUGUGGAAUCCAUUAUAAAGCAAUGUGCUUUUGUGUGUCAAAGAGCAGAAAGGCUCUACUUCCUCUUUUCAAAAGGAUUUGGGCAGAAGUCAACUACUGUAUUUAUUCCAUGCAGUUCUCCUUUUGAUUACUAGAUGUGUGCUGGUUGUAGAUGCCACAGAAAAGCAGUGAAUGUUCUCACCACAAAGGACUUUCUAUCUUAAGAUGGGUCUUACAGCAUCAUGCUUCUGAAAGCAAAAUGUUCAGUCACCUAAAUGUCACUCUAUAAAUAGGAAGCAUUUAAACACAUAGAAACAUCCAGAUAAUGCCUUCCAUGCUUCAUUUUUCAUCUACAUAUCUGCUAUCAGUGCAUAGGUGGAGUGACCAUGUAUUUCGUUUUUUCUCAAACUUCCUCAAUCUUACUCUUUUCAAAAAAAAGCAGUUCAUUAAAAUCAAAAUCAAAAGAGAUUUCACCGUGAUAACUCUCUAACCAUUUCCUUUAAAUUUCACGACAGAUUAGAGAAUCAAAAAACAAACAGGAAAGACCUAGAUCAACGGUCCCAGGCUACUCCAGACUAAUGGAAGUAUCACCUAAGAAAUUUACUCCCUGGGGCGCCUGGGUGGCGCAGUCGGUUAAGCGUCCGACUUCAGCCAGGUCACGAUCUCGUGGUCCGCGAGUUCGAGCCCCGCGUCGGGCUCUGGGCUGAUGGCUCAGAGCCUGGAGCCUGUUUCCGAUUCUGUGUCUCCCUCUCUCUCUGCCCCUCCCCUGUUCAUGCUCUGUCUCUCUCUGUCCCGAAAAUAAAUAAACGUUGAAAAAAAAAAUUAAAAAAAAAAUAAAAAUAAAAAAAAGAAAUUUACUCCCUGCAUCUAAGUUUAUUUCCCAAAGUGUGCUCCUGAGAACACUAGUUAUGAGCGGUAUCACACUGAAAACAUUCCAUAGUCAAUACCCUAAGCCCAUCUGCCCACGCAAAAUGGUUGCGUUGGUGUCAUGAAUAUUUUCACCAGGAUUUCCCAAGCCUUCCGAUGUACCUUCCACUCCACUGCACAUUCCCACUGCCACAUAAAAACUCCUAACACAAGCAAGUCCUAGACCACAUUCUGCCAAACAUACACAUAUGCAAUAGCAAAUAGGCAAACACACAUGAACGCAUACUGUUCUUGUAAGUUCUAGAAAGUCCCAGUCUACCUUUGGGUUCUCGCAUAAGCCCCUUGCAUAAAAUAUUCACUCUAAGAUGGGCUGAGAUCACAGUCUGCUGGGUGCUAUCCUAGCAGACUACAGGAUGGUGUCACGUGACAGAGAGCUCCGUGAAGUGUGGAUGCAACACCUCAAGGACCAAAGAGAUCAGAUGACUGAAUCCUCUGGUUCCCGUGGUUCGAGGGAGGGUUGUGGGGCUGUGAGAUCAUUCUGGCUUGUAAUACAUCUGAAAACCACUAAUUUUAAUAAUAAAAAGGCAUUUCUAUUUCCUUUCUGCAAACCUAUGGUGUAGAUUGCAAAAGUGGCAUUCACAAUGUCUGAGCAACUACCUCUGAGGUGCAAGUCUUUCUGAGGGUUGCUUCAAAUGCUAAUUUUUCCUACUGGGUAGGCUAACUUGCACGUACCCAUAUACAAAACAUUACCCUGUUUGUUAAAUGCUUACUAAAGUCAAUCACCACAUUGAUCCAAUAAUGCAUGCCUGGGGAUUCAAAGAAAUCAUAAACAUGCUAAAGAUUCUUACAAGUCCUACAAAAAAGAAAACCUUGGCUCAAUCCAGAAGAUUUUAACUUAUGUGGCCUUGGAAACAUCAGGACACAUGCUUUUGAGGAAAAUACUUAUUUGAUCUUGGAAGCAACCUACUACAUAUUGUUUCUUUUUAAAGUGGAUUAUUUUUUUUCUUCUUUUAAGUAGGCUCCACGCCCAGCAUGGAGCCAAGCGCAGGGCUUGAACCCAUGACCCUGAGAUCAACGACCGAGCUGAGAUCAAGAGUCGGAUGCUCAACCAACUGAGCAUCCAGGUACCUCUCCAAAGUACUUUCUAAAUAGAAGUGCUGUUAGAUGCCAUUCUAAGUGCAGCCAAUUCUUUACAGACAGAGAAACGGUCAUUCUGUUGUGACUGUAAUGUGCAAGGAUGUGCCCCGUAGAGUCUCAUAUCCUCUCCACCCUGUUAAUAAAAGGACAGUUCCAUCACAGGAAAAGAUCUCUUUCACUACCACUCUCUUUGUCAACUUUCUACCUUGGUUCUGUUUGGAGUGAUAACCUCUAUCUCGUGACAUUGAGGUAAAACGUGUAAAUAUGAAUGCCAACAACUGAGAAGGCAGAGAUAGCAGGAGACUGAAGAUACUGUGGAGAUACUGUGGAUACCUAAACCAAGGUUGCCGACCUCUGAUUAACUCAUUAAUUGUUUACAUUUCUAUUAUCUAUUUUGUUUGUUUGGCAACGAGAUAUAUUUUUCACUAAGCACGUACUUUUGCAGAACCUCAUCCCAUUAACUAAAGAACAGCCUUCCAUUACCUACUGGGGAAGAUGCAGUUCAGGGGCUGUCAUGGGUGGCUCAGAACAAGCCCCCCAAAGCACCUGGGCCUCCCCUCUACUUCAAAACUCAGCAUAUCGCCCUAUAGUACUGAUUUGCAUACCUAUCACUACACGGCUUGCAUUCUUGUGGUACUGCCUCCCAAUGGCUCGCACAGAACCGGGCACAUGCAGUCCCUCUUGGGAAAUCUGUUGAAUAAACUGAUAAUGUAGCAUUCUCUCUUUCCUCAGUGAUACUAUCUCCCUCUCCAAAAACUUUGUCCUUUUGACAGUGAAUUUAAAAAUAAAAUACCACCUAACAUUUUGAUAGUGAUGGCUUUAAAAGACAGCAGUGGCUUGCGGGGUGGGGUUAGAUACUCUCGUAUGGUAACUGAGGAACACUAGGUAUAAAAAUGACUGAGGUCUAACAGGGUAUCAUUGCUCCCGACCGAGGCUGAUAGGAUCUGGUGUGGCAAGGCGCGCUGCGGGAUGGUGCUGCAUAGAGGUCAAAGGCAAAGGCCGUGGAGCCAAAUUAUCUGGACUCCACCCUCAGUUCUAUCACUCACUUACUGGAUGCCCUGAAGCAAGUGUCUUCUCCUCUCUGAGACUUUGUUUCCUGAUUCUAAAAUGGGGUGGUAUCUAACUCAGGAAGUCUGUAGGAGGAUUAAAUACAUUUCAAAAUGAAAAUAUAGAAAGUGCUUAACACAAGACAUGGCACUUAGUCAAUACGCAACAGAUUUUAGUUAUUGUUAUUUUCCAUCUCAGGUACUAUCUGGCAGUUGCUUCUCAAAAAUUCACAGAGCAUCACACACAUCUGUUCUCUACCACUUAGAAAGCAUGCAAUACAUUUUUAAUGAAAAAUUUAAAAACAGUUAGUAGCACACCUAUUAGAAUGGCUAAAAUCCAGAACACUGACAACCCAAAUGCCGACAACGAUAUGGAGCAACAGGAAAGUUGCAUUCGCUGCUGCUGGGAAUGAAAAAUGGUGCGGCCACUUUGGAAGACAGUUUUGAAGUUACUUUAAAAACUACACGUAAUCUUACCAUUCACUCCAGAAACUGUGCUCUUUGAUACUUACCCAAAGGAGCUGAAAACAUGUGGCUGCAUAAAAACCUGCACGUGGAUGUUUACAGCAGCUUUAUUCAUAAUUGCCCACGCUUGGAAGCAACCAAGAUGUCCUUCAGCAGGAGAAUUGGUAAACUUUACUACAACCAGACAAUGGAAUAUUAUUCAGUGCUAGAAAGAAAUGAGCUAUGAAGCCAUAAAAAGCCAUGGGAGAACCUUAAAUGUAUAUUACUAAGUGAAAGAAGCCAAUCUAGGAGGCUAUAUACUAUAUAGUUUCUACUCUUUGACAUUCUAUAAAGGGCAAGGGAAACUCUACAAAUUUUAAUGGUUGCCAUGGCAGGGGAGGAGCAGGGGCAGGAUGAUAGGGAAGCACAGAGGAUUUUCAGGGCAGUGACAAUAUUCUGUAUAAUGACAGAUACCUGUCAUUAUACGUUUGUCCAAACCCAUGAAAUGUAGAACACCAAGGGUGAACCCUUAGAUAAACUAUGGGCUCUGAGUGAUAACAAUGUAUUAGUGUAGGUUCAUUAAUUAUAACAAAUGAACCAGUCUGGUGGGAGAUGUUGAUAAUGGGAGAGCUACACAUGUUGGGGGGGAGGGGAGGGCAACGAGUAAAUAGGCUGCUUCUGUACUUUCCUCUCAAUUUUGUAGUGAGCCUAAAACUGUUCUAAAAAGUUUUUUAAAAAAAUUUAAAACCCAGCAGGUAGCCAUGGAUAAUUUCUAAGUAGCCAAAGGGAUCACGGUAUGUCAGAGCUUGGGGUCUGGGGUCCACUGGCCUGAAGUUCCCUCAUAGCCUAGCUGUGUCACCAAGAGCAAGUCAGUUAACCCUUCAAUAUAAAAUAUAAAAUUCCCUGCAGCAUGUUUGGAAGAGCGAACGGGCUCUGCCUAGUGUCUGACACUUAGCAGUCAAUAAAUCUUAAUUCUUUUUAACAAACCCUCUGGGAGGUUCUGAUGUACUGGGCUGAAUGAAAAUGUACAUUUUAUUAAAAUGUCCCUUUUUGGCUGUCUGAGGCCCUUUCUAAAUCUAUGACAUUCAGCUAUACAUUGAGCACCAAUCACCCUUGGAACUUUUCCACUCUCUGCGUAACUGUGAACCUUACCACGCUAAGAACAUUACACACACCAUGUCAUUUCUCAUUUAAUAAAGCAAAUUGCUACAUGCAAGGGUAGUUAUUCUCAUUUGCAAAUUCAUAUCUAAUUAGCUCUCUAAAAGCAAACUGCAAAUUGGAUCCAAGCAGAUCACUCCUACAGCAUUUGCCCUGGUGAACUAAAAUGAACAGUGGGUCCAUUCUGCAGUUUGCCAAAGAUACUACACAUGGUGAUGAAAUUGUGUUGACACGUUUCUCAGAAGAAAUCCUAGUCUACAGCCAUACCACCCUGAACGCGCCCGAUCUUGUCUGAUCUCGGAAGCUAAGCAGGGUCGGGCCUGGUUAGUACUUGAAUGGGAGAAGAAAUCCUAGAGGAAAUUCUUCUUGGUUGUCUGCAGCUAUAGGCAUUUGCCUUCCUUCCACAGUUUGAAGGGAAUUACAAGAGUUGAGUGACAAACUUUUAUGGAGACCGGGAGGCAAAAGGGUGACAGUGUGGGAGAAAAAAAAACAUCUCCAAGGGACAAUCAUAUGGGGAGAGACAGUCAACAGCCAGAACUAAGACCUCAGUGAAGUUCAUGUUGUACAGGUGGAAAAAGUAAAUGGUGGACAAGUGAAUAUCAUUUGGGCAAGAGGGAGAUCGCUUGUAGAAGAGAUAGUAUGUCUUUUGUCAGUGGUAUGUGGCAGAAUUUUAUUCUAGGCAGACUGGGUAUAAAGAAGUGAUGGGAAGCAAAGGAUAUAAAAACAUUUAUUAUGUUUCCCUGUCCAGCACCCAUGCCCUCGUUUUUUGAACUCAAUGCCUCAGUUUCCUUUGAGGAGUCUUGUACUCUAUGUGGUUCAGGUGCUGCUGAUACCAGUCCCCUCUCUGGAAGGUAUGGGAGAGACAAAUGACCCAGGUGCAGCCAGAGUGAAUUUUCAGACCUUUCACUCUAACACUAUGGGAAGUCAUUUUCUUUAUAUAUGAAUGCCAAGCUCAUAGGACAUGAACUCUGGGCUCCUGGUGUCACCCAAAGAGGGAGCCUACUUGAACAUAACACCAACAUAGGGAAACAAGAGUAAGCAGGUGAAGAGAGGUGGCUUUGCUGGGUCACUAUUUGAAAAUAUGCAUCCAGCCAGCCAUGAAUCUUCUGGACUUUUCUGUAUAAGAGUCAGGGAAACCCCUUUUUGCCUCAGCCAGUUUGAGUCAGUUUCUGUCAUUUGAAACUGAAAAAAAUCUGACUCAUUACUAAGAUAAAGGAGAAGUCACAUCUACUUAUAGUAUGUACUACCUUUUCCUCAAACACCAUGUAUUGUUGAUAUGAUCAUAUUGGUCUAUAGUGGCCAUGUUUUCCCAACCACUUCCCCACAAAAUCAGCUUAUCUGCUCAGACAGGUAGAAUUUUACUCAUAGAACAGCAGAACGUCUGAAUAUCAGAACUAUUCUGAAAACCUGGGUCAUGUGCAAAAAAACACACUUCCUGAUAGUAAUAAUCACACAGUACCAUUCCCCUACUGAACUCUUGAAGCAUGCAUUUCAAACUCACAUUCCUCUAUUUAGUAAUCAGGCUAAAAAUAUCUUUCCUACACUCUCUGUGUGAAGAUUAAAACACAUUGCUCAAAGCUGUUGCACCACAUAACUGCAGCAAACUCUAAGCCGGUCAACCAAUACUUGGACCCCGUGGAGAGAAUCCCAGGAGAGAAUUCAGCCCUCCGCACCCCAUCUUGCCAUUUUAUCUGCUGAGAGUGAUUCACUCCAGUAACCUGGUUCCUCAGUAUCUUAGUAACCACUUUAUUAUACAAAAGCGAUCCUACCUUAUGCCAUAGAAAAGUUCUCCCGAGAAGCUGUACAAACCCAGGUGUGUUCAUUCGAGAUCUAUGGUCUGCGCACUAUACACGAUCAUUUCAAAGACGUCCCAUUUCAAAAUCUUAUGAAUUGGCAGUUGGCAAGAGAUUCCUAAUGCUACGUCUUCUGGUAUGACUUUUGCAAUCAUGAUCUCACUUUUGUAACCCAGAGGCUAUCAUGGGAUUUAGUACUUACUAUGUACCAGGAAUCAUGUUAAACACGUUAAACAUCCGCUGACCUGGUCACAAAAGCUCAUGACAUAGCAUCUAUUGAGAUUUUCAAUUUACAAACGAGGAAACACAGAACAGUUGAGCAAAACUGCCAAGAUCACGCACUUCGUAAAUGUUGAAGCCGAGGCUAAAUUCUAGGCCAUCUCUUCUACUUCUCAGAGUCCAAGUUCUGAAUGCCAGUUGAGGGUUGGGUGGUCGUCCACACUGGCAUCUGCUCUGCUCUGCUGCCAGCUGGUGAUGGGCACCUGAAAGAACUAUUUGCCCUUUGGGAGUUCAGUUUUCUAAUCAAUGAAAGAGUGAUCUCCAAACCCUCCUCCAGCCCUGGCACGUGGCGAGCCACAGGCCCUCCUCCUGGGUUCCUGAAGGGUUCCCUAUAGGCAGACACCUGCUAGAGCACAGUUCUCAAACUUACUGAACAUCAUUAAAGUCUAAGGAAAUUGUUAAAAACAAAGACUCCCAAACCCUCAGGUAGAGGGGUUGCAGCCAGAAGUUCUAGGAUGGGGCACCAAGAUCUACAUUUUAAAUAAGUCUCCUGGGGGAUGUUGAUAUAUGAACUGUGAUUUGAAAGAGCAAUGGCAGCUCUUGGGAGCUAAUCAGAAAUGCAGAUCUUGGGUCCCACCCAAGACCCACUGAAUCAGAACCUGCAUUUCACCAAGGUUCCCAGGUCAUGCUUGUGUAUAUUGAAAUGAUCCUAGAAAAGGGCCAACCUGAUUAAUCCUGACACCACACUCAAUCUUGAAACCAAGGUAAACACAGCACAUCCUUACCUAAUUGUUACUACUUUUAACUUCUCUAUAAUUGCUACUCCUAAAAGCAUCAACUGCAAGUGUGCUUUCAAGUUACCUUUGCCAGAGCCAUAGGCUUCAGUCCUCCAGGGCCAUCUGGGGAUAGGGACUGUGUGAGGCAGCCUACACUGAGGGGCCUCCAAGCUACAAAGUCUCCUUCAAACGAACCACUCCACUUUGAUCAGUUUUAGAAUUGCAGUUUGAUUUUCUUUGAAAACAGGGUUUUGUUGCUUUUAGUUUUUUUCUCAACCAACAUCGUGCUCCAUAGUGCACAUACAUCAAUGCCAUUAGUACCUUCCCCAUGAUACCCAAGAGAUGGGCUUAGGGAAUGAACCUGGCUCCGUUUUCUCAAAUGCUUCCCUAAGGGGCAGAAACAUGACCUUCAAAAUGUCAAAACCUGCUCCUGUUCCCAGGAGGACUAUUAAGUUACUUUCCUACCCUACUUUAAUAUGCAAUGACCAAGAAAGACACUAAUGUGGAAAAUUCUGAAUUCAGCUCACAUACCAUUGCUAGUUUAUAACAAAAGCUCUAUGUAUCUUCUCUUAUAAACUAAAAGGUUCCCACCAGUCAAUGGGAAUUUGAUCCUUAAGGUAAACACAAGCAGUCCAGACCUUUCUUUAGACCAAGUACUUUGGAGAUAUCUUUAGUGAUUAGUAUUGCUGGGUGGCUCUGGAGUUAGAGAGUCUCAGAAUUUACUUAAUAAAGAAGUUAGGGGGAACCUGAGUGGCUGAGUUGGUUGAGCAUCAGACUCUAGAUUUCAGCACGGGUCAUGAUCUCACAACUGUGAGAUCGAGCCCCACUUUGGACUCAGUGCUCAGUGUGGAGUCUGCUUGGGAUUCUCUCUUUCUCUCCCUGUCUUUCUCCCCCUCCCUCAUUCAUUCUCACUCUCUCUCUUUUUCUCAAAAUAAAUACAUAAACAUUUAAAAAAAUAAGUCACAAGAGGUCCAGGAAAAGAUAACCUCAGUUUUAUUAACACCUAACGACUGGUUCUCACCUGGGAUACACAUAACAGUCAUCUGGGGAACUUUGAAAAAUCUUGAUGCCUAGGCUAUACCCAAAAAAUUACAUCAGAAUUUCUGGGAGUAGGUCUCAAGUUUUAGUGGGUCCCUACACAUCUUCAAUGUGUAUCUGAGGUUGAGAACCGUUGACUAGGGCACUAGACAUGGGAGCACUAGAAACAGAGUUCUGUAAGACACACGCUCAAUGGCCCUGCUCGCCCCUCUCUUGGUCCCCCUCUUUCACAUACAGAUGACCAUUCAUUUAUUCAUUCAGCAGUUAUUUAUUGAAAACCUACUAUGUACUCACUUGUAACUGGGAAUUAUAAACUCAAAAAUCCUGUUCUUGUGGAGCUAAUAGUACUACAAACACAUUUUUUUCUUUUUAAUUUUCAGCCUAAAUAGGUGCUAUAAAGACGAUGAAUUCUCAUGUUGGUGUAGGAUGUAAACAUAGCCUCUCUGAGAAGGGACCACCUGGGUUCUGAGUUGAAUUUUGGGAAGGAUGUAGUUAAUCUAGGGAUGAAGCUCUUACACAGAAAGAAUAAGUAUAAGUGGACCCCCAAUGGGAAUGGUAUAUUGAAAGGGUAGAUAAAAAAAAAAAAGUCAGGGUGGCUGGAGCACAGUCAAUGAAGAGUAAGUUAAAAGAAAUGAAGUCAUAAUGGUAGGCAAGGACCAGAUGGUGUAGGUCUUUACAGACCAUAUUAAAGAUAAUCUGAUAAAAGAAAACCUCAACAGUGGGAAACCAUCCACACAAAAGUUCAUGCCUAUCUCACGGACAACAGCCUAUAGUCUAACAUAAUACUUCUGCAUUUUAUUUUACUUUUGUUUUUGGCAAGGGAUGGGACAGGGUUGGCACUGUUCCUUGGGGACACAUAAUAAAAUUGCCUGGGAGAGGGGUUCAUUCAAGCUGUGUGACACACACUGUCUUUCUCCACAGGUGUGAUUCUAUUACACUCCCCUAGGGGUGUGACCCUUGUCCACAAUGAGGGACUAAGAACAGGAGUAGGCCAUAUCCAGUGAUGUCAAAUAAAAACAAUAUGCACAUUCAGAAUUUGUAGGUCUAUAUAUUAAGUCCAGCUCAUUCACCCUAAAUUUCUAUAUUCUCUAAGUAUAGGAUGUCCCACAACAUGUCAAUCACAGGACCCAAACUGCAUUCAUCUUUAUUCAUAAAUAGACUGGUAUCUCCUAUAAUCUCUAUAUCAGGCGGUAUAAAUAGAUGGUGGUUGAGGCUGGAUCAUGUGAUGAUUCUUCACUCACAAGUCUGCUUCCUGGGCUGGGGUCGCCAAUAUACCUGAGUGGGAGCUGGUCAGGCCUCUCUACUCCCCUGUGGUUAAGCUGGUCUUCCUCAGAGCAUGGUGGUCUCAGAUUGGCUGACUUCCCCUAUGGUAGGUGGCUUCUCCCUGAAUGAGUGUUUCAAGAGACGGGAUGUGGAAGCUGCCAUGUUAUUAAAGCCUGAGCGUGAAAAUGGUCACAGCAUCACCUCUUCAAUAUCCUCUUGCUCAAAGCAGUUCCUGAGCUCAUCCAGAUUCAAGGGUAGGAGUCAAAGACUCACCUCUCAAUAGGAGAAACAUUGAUAAAUUUGUGGCUACGUUUUGUCCACCACAAGAUAUAAAGCAUAUACACACAGCAUGUGGUAUAAAAAUAUGUAUCACUGGAAAUAUAUUUUUAUAUAUGUAUAUAUACACAAAGCAUGUACAUUAUACGUACAUUAUGUAUUAUAUAUAAUUAUACAUAAUAAUUAUAUAGAGAGAGUGCAUGGUACAUUUUAAGGUAUAAUGUUUCAAAUACAAUCUGCUAUAAUAGUAACUAAAUGCUAGCCCAAUCACCUUAUAGUGAUGUCCUAUAAUCUUUUCGUAAACUUAGUGGAAGAUAGGAUCAACAGAUGUUGGGAGGAAAUUGGAAGAGUGACCAAAAUAAGUGGUGAGAAGAAACAUUAACUUCCCUGUCAGAGGCAUGAGUCACCCUCCAUUAGGUGGGCACCACAGGAUUUAAGGAAGUUGCUGUCAUAAUCCUUCCAGUGCAACCAAUGUGAGGCUGCCCAGAAGAGGAGGCCGUGAGGGAGAUUCACUUCAUUGCCCAUGCUGGGUGUUCUGAAUGCUUUCGUGUAAAAGGUAGCACCAUCAGCAGGGAACAGGACACGCCAAUGUGACAGUGAGUCACCAAGUGAAAUCAUGGCUGCUCAUGGUCCGAUGCCUGUCAUGCUGGGAGCACAAUAAAAUUGUUCCAAUGUCCCACCCCCUCCAAGGAAAGGUCAAAGAAGUUUCAUCUUAGGGCACCCAUGAGGAGAGGAGAGAACUUCGUGUCUCAACUAUUUAUUUUAUUUUAUUUUAAAUUCCAGUAGAGUCAACACAGUGUUAUAUUGGUUUCAGGUGUACAAUAUAGUGGUUCAGCACUUCAUACAUCUCUCAGUGCUCAUCACGCAUGUAUUCCUUAAUCCCCAUUGCCUAUUUCACCCAACCCCCCACCCACCUCCCCUCUGGUAACCAUCAGUUUGCUUUCUAUAGUUAAAAUGGUAGCCUUCUUGGUUUGUCUCCUUUCCCCUUGCUCAUCUGUUGUUGCUGUUGUUGUUGUUUGUUUCUUAAAUUCCACAUAUGAGUAAAAUGAUAUGGUAUUUGUCCUUCUCAAUAUACCCUCAAUGCUUAGCAUUAUACCCUCUAGAUUCAUCCAUUCAAGUAUUUUCAUAUAAGAGUAUCCUUGGAUUCUUUUUGAGGGCAAGGAUACCUCCAAUUUCUCUUGAAAUUUAUUGUGAGGGAAAAGUAAAAAUUAGCCAACCUAAACACGUUAUAUAUUAUGUGCGAGAAGAAUUCAUUUUGACUUAGGUUUAUCCCAAGUAUGCAAGGCUAGAAGACAUUAGCAAGUCUAAUUGAUGUAAUUCACCACAUUAGUAUGUUGUGGUAGCUGGUCUUAGAGAUGGCCUCUUGGCAUCAUAUCCUUGCACAGUCUUCUGGCACUGAAUCUGGGCUGGCUUGUGACUUAUUUUAAUCAACUGAAUGUGGCAGAAGCGGUGCUGUGCCAAUUCCAGGAACAUGCCUUAGGAAAGACAGGCAGCUCCUGCUGUGCACAUUGGAUCACCAUGUAAGAAGUCUGCUAUCCAGCUGGAGAGAACUUCCGGAAGCCAGAGAGAGAGAGAGAGAGAGAGAGAGAGAAAAGCCUAAGACUGUGGACAAAGACUGGUCCAGCCAUCCCAACAUCUCAGCUGCACUGGGACUGCAAGCCAUCUCUACUGAGAUGCCAGACACGCAAUGAGCCAUGUAGGAUGCUCCAACAGCCAAGCUGAGCUUCCACGUGACUCCAGCCCCAGCCACUUUCUCCCCGUGACUGCAUGAGAGCAUCCAAGUAACAGGAGCUGAACAGUCAUCUUGCUACGUCCUCUCAUUCCACAGAUGUGGAAGGUCCACCAAAAUGGUGGUUCUUCUAAUCCACUAAAUACUGGCAUGGCUUCUUAUGAUGUAAUAGAUAACCAAAACAUUAAAAGAGAAUAUUCAUAUGAUGAUUUCCAAGGAUGCAGAAACACAAAAAGCAUUUGACAAAAAAUUCUACACUCAUUCAGGAUUUAAAAAAAAGAAAAGAGGGGCGCCUGGGUGGCGCAGUCGGUUAAACGUCCGACUUCAGCCAGGUCACGAUCUCGCGGUCCGUGAGUUCGAGCCCCGCAUCAGGCUCUGGGCUGAUGGCUCAGAGCCUGGAGCCUAUUUCCGAUUCUGUGUCUCCCUCUCUCUCUGCCCCUCCCCCGUUCAUGCUCUGUCUCUCUCUGUCCCAAAAAUAAAUAAACGUUGAAAAAAAAAUUUAAAAGAAAAGAAAAGAAAAUCCUGGAGCAAACUAGGAAUAUGAGGGACCUAAUUUACUUAAUUUGAUAAAGUAGAGCCACAAAAAGAACCCCAGCAGUCAUUUCACUUGAAGGUAUAUUCCUACUCUCAGAUCAAGAAAAGUCGAAGCUCCUCACUAUUACUUCUAGUAAGAAUUAUACAGAAGGUUCUAGUCAGUGCAGCGAGUCAAAAAAAAAGAAAAAAGAACAAACGAAUGAAGAAAGAAAAAAAGAAAGAAAAGCCAUAAAGAUGAAGAAGGAAGAAAAAAAUUCUGUCCCUUAAAAAUGGUAUGAUUUUAUAUAUAUAAAACCUCCCAAAACUAUAGCUAUGUUACAUGUAUUAAUACAAUAAUUAAACAUCUUUUCUAGAUAUCAAUAUAAAAAAUCAACUGUACUAUAUACUAGCAAACAAAAAAUUAAAAUUAAAAUAUAGCAUUCAUAAUAGCAUCAAAAACGUGUAAGAAAAAAUCUAACAGAAGAGUUCUAAGACUUCUAAUGAAUAAAUUAUAAAAUAUUAAUAGACAUUAAAGAAGACCUAAAUAAAUGCUCACAGAUUGAGAGCAUCAAUAUUAUAAAGAUUAAAUUCUCCUCCAAUAUAAUCCCAAUUAUGUGUCCAAAUUUUUCAACAACAUGAGAAGCUGAAUCUAGAAUGUAUACGGAAUUGCCAAGGAUGAAUAUAGGCAAGAAGGACAACAGUAGUAUGGGAACGUGUGCCCUGCCAGGGAUCAAGAAUUAUUAUAUCAGAAUUAACUGUAGAUCAGGAUAGGUAAAUAGACCAGUGGAAAGGAGCAGCAAACCCAGAAACGACCCAUGCAUGUAAUAUGGGCGUUUGUUGUAAGACACAUGCAUGGCAGUUUGGGAGGGAAAGGAAAGAUUUCAAUAAAUGUUGCUGAGACAAUUGGGUAUCCAUGUUUUUUGAAAAAGAAGAAGGAAAUAUAUAAAUAUAUAUGUGGAAUAUGUGCACAUAAUUAUGGAAUAUAUAUUACAUAUGAUAGUAAUAUGUUAUGUGGAAAUAAAUAUAAAUAUAUAUAUAUCAUGUACAUAAUAUACCACAUAUGUAUAUAUAAUUAUGGAAUAUAUAAUAUGUACAUAUAUAUUUACAUAUAUGUAUAUAUUUAUGCUUAUAAGAAAGAUAUAUUUAUAAAUAUAUAUUUAAAUUAUAUAAUUUAUAAUUUAAAUAUUUAUAUAUUUAUAUAUUUCCAUAUAAUAUCACAUACAAAAUAAUUCCAAUUAGUUUCUGACUCAUAUAGGAGAGAAUAAACCAUGUUUUCAGGAAUGCAGUGUAGAUAAGAAUGUCUUAAAAUACAAAGGACAAUAUGGAAAGGGUUAUAUAUUUCGCUACAGUAAAAAAAUAUACCAUUAAGAGAGUGAAAUCUAUAUAUUGGGGUAACACAUAACCAACAAAAGGCUUGUUCUCAGAAAACAAAAAGAACUCUCCCAAAACCUUAAGAAAAAAAUAGGUAAGACAACAGAAAAAGUUCUGCAAAAGAUUCAAGUCUUUUGUUUUACAAAAGAGGAAAUCCAAGUGAUCAAUCAAUAAAUAUAUGAAAAGGCGCUCAACCUCAUAAUACAAAAUAUGCAAAUAAAAACCAAAAUGAAUUGUGUACAUCUACUGGAUUGAGAAAAAAAAAAUGUUAAGUCUGAAAACACCAAAUGUUUGGAGAACACAGAACUUUGGGAAUUCUCAUACACAGCUGGUAUGAAUAAUGUAAUCACUUACUUGGGUAUCUACUCAAGUUAAAGAUACACUUAUCCCACGACUCAGAGAUUUCAACCUUGGGUGUGUACCUUAGAGAAAUGGGUGCGUAUGUGCCCUAGGAUGAUUGUAGACUGCAGCAGAUCAAACCUGGGAUACCCACCUUGGGUACAAUGGAUAAAUUACAGUAUAUGCACACAUGGCAUGCCAUGCGGCAAUGUAAAGGGACACGCGGCACAAAUAAAUCUUGUGAGCAUAUACUGAGCCAAAGAAGUCACAUACAAAACUAUGAUUCCAUUUCGAUAAAAAUUCAGAAACAUAUAUUUUGGGAUAUUCAUUCAUAUUAGGUAAAACUAAGAUGAAGAGAAAGAUACCAUAAUGGUGGUUACCUCCAGGAGAGGCUGAGGGAGCUGUGAUGGGCUCACGGGCUGGGGCAAUGAUCUUUUUCUGGCUCAGCAUAGUAAUUAUAUCAGUGUUCUUUUUUUCCUUUCCUUUUUUCUUGUUGUAAAAUAUAUAGAACAUGAAAUUUAGCAUUUUGGUCAUUAUUCGCAUACAGUUCUAUAGCAUUAAGUAUGACAUUCAUACUGCCAUUCAAUCAUGGAUCCCCAUUUUUACCAUUAUUCAACUAACUGCAAAAAUGUUUUAUGCACUUUUCUAUGGGUUUAUCUCUCAAGAAAAGAAGCAGAGAAAGUCAAGGGUAUGUGCAAAGACUCAGUCACAGAGGUAUUAACCAUAGUCCUGUUUAUAAUAAGCAACAAUAUGAAACAUUCAAUCACUACUUUGAGUUGCAUGAAGGGACGGAUCAAAUAUCAACACACACAGACCUGUGGACGGGAUUUCAUACAGCCUCCAGAAAUGAUAUCACAGAAGAAGAUGCCAUGGCACGAAAGACAAGUGAGGUGUACAGUGAGGUGGAAAAAGAUAUUUAUGAUACAUUAUGCACAGAUAUUCCAGUAUUUUAAAAUAAACUACAAAUACUUAUGCAAGAAAAAAGAAGGAGAAAUACACUAUGAUAUUAACUAUGAUUCUAUUUGAAUAGUGGUUGUAUGAGUGACUUUUAUUUUUAUCAUUUUGCUCAUUUGUAUAGUUGCAAUUUUGAGCAAUGAAUAUGGAUUACUUUUUAAGGGAAUAAAAAGGAGCCAAUACAUUCUACUGGGAAAUGAUAAUGAAGAAGCGACUAGAAAUCUCCAAAUGGGAAUCUGAAACCUGGAAUUAGCUUCUAGGUGUAUCUGGAGAACAUCUGGAACCCUAUCAGCUCCCAUCAGCCUACUGGAAUAUAACUUUUCCUUGUCAGUUACCUCUUUCCUACCGGGUUACUUUUUCCCAGAGUCCUAGCUCUGACAGUGAGAUGAAAUUCUAGCUGUCUGCCAUGGAAAAAAAUUGGGCCGUGGAGGUAGGGGGAUCCUUUGAGAACAGCCGGCUCCUAAUUGAAAGGAAGUGAAAAUCCUCCAAACAUUUGCACGCACAGUUGAUGGAUCAUCCCUCACUUUUCCUCCAUCUGGUCUGUGGCCUCUUGCAGAAAC